GAUGGCGGUAGAGACACAUUCUUGGCAGCUACUAUUUGAAACAUCACCCCUGCAGAGAAACAGCCCGUAGACCACGUCAGAGUUUCUGCCAGAGGUUGUGCUGUAGAAUCGAUUGUCACGGGUGGCGUUGGAGGAUAGAGAGGAGAGCAGGUGAUUGAGAUCGGCUUGGUAAGUACCGUUUGUGGGAAAAGUGGUCGUGUUCGAACAACUAUGGUAGAGGUAAGUUUGUUGCGCUUCAAUGGUAAAGCUAAGCAAGGAGAGGAACAACAGAGUUCUGAAGGACUUGUAGACAAACAUUUUUUCUGUUUCUUUUUUCCUCGGACCGUAACAGAGAUGAGUUUCUCAAUAUGGGGUUUCCACCGGCACUAAAAGACUUGUACUUCAAGACGCCAACAGUGAAAAACCAGGUGUAGCCAAUUUAAUGGGCCGUCUUAGGCAACCUUGAAAGAUGUAAAGACAUUUACGUGUCUUUGAUGGAUGGGAUGGGAGUUGGAGAUAAAUGUCAAGUGCCGGUUUCACAUUCAUGGUGCCUUAAAAUCGCAGGCGCACUGAUUGGAAGUUAGUGCUCCUGGUUGUAACAUACUUUUUUCAUUACAUUUAGAUUUCUUUGAUCCUCUGUCAAAUGUGUCCCUACCAUUCCAUUCAUCUAAAGGAGGUUUUUUUUUUUUUUUUUUCAAUACUAUUAUAUAAAAAUAUUUUAUGAUUUAUUUUCAAAGUUCUUUGAUCUUUUGGUCGAAUAAGUAUAGUUUAAUUUUAAUAAUAAACGCUUGAAUUAAUUCUUUGAAUAAAAACAGAUAUACUUCAAAAAAGAAAAUCACAUACAUCUAUAGCCAAAAUUUUUUUUUCUUUUGUAUAUUAUUGAUUUAUGUAGAUAUCUCCCAUUCUUUUGUUGAAAAGGUUUAAGUACAUUUUUCGGUGUCAUUCAGCCAAAAAAGGCUUAACAAGUGUUCAGAAGCUAGCAUCCUUAGAAUAGUGCAAUAAAGGGAGAUGCAACUACUAAUCAAUCACCGAGGUGAGAUAUUUGAAAUUGUAACCUCAUUAACAGAACAGAAUUUAUUAUUUGAAGAUGAUUGAAUUGGUUCUGCAACAACACGUCCAACAGAAAAUGCAGGUUCUGCUGGUAUAGGAGGUGUUAUGGUCUCGCUUGCCAACAUGACAAUCACAGAUGACAUGGUAGGUCUGUCUGCUGGGUCUUCUUGCACGCACAACAGCCCAAUAUGGAUGCAUUUAAGAACCUGAGUGGCCACACACGACUGAACAAGGAGCGGGUCUAUUAGCUCCAUCCCUUGACCCUUAGACCAUAGUUUCCAUGCCUGCAAUGUUACUUAAAAUUAGAAUGGUACAACACUACAGCCAUCUACAAAGAUAGGAUAAAAACGUACAAACGUUAGGAGGCUUUCACCAUGCUCCGAGAGAUGAAAGCCAUUGUUCCUUUUGCCACUUAUAAUCUCCAGUAAAAGGACUCCAAAACUGAAAACAUCGGAUUUGACUGAAAAAAGUCCUUCCAUAGCAUACUCUGGUGCCAUGUAUCCACUAUUUCAGUUCAUAAAAAUAGAUAAAAUCAGGCUAGAUUAUGGAAAUAUCAGAACCAAGAAUCUUUCAGUUUGAACAUUGUGCUGUCACAAAAUUGAAGGAUGAUUACAAAUUUUAGAUUAUAAAGAACAGCAAUGUUCCUCUGCGGAACAAACCACAGCAAAGACUGUGAUCUGAUGUACUGCUUUUCCAUUUUAUGAGUUCAAUGCUGAUUCUUUCUUUUCAAUAAAAUUUUAUUUGACACAGACGCAAUAUUAAAGAUCAAAAGAAAACUACUGAAGAACCUAGAUUGGUAAAAAAAAAAAAAAAGAACUGUGAGCCUAGAAGUGCAUGGAAUAGUGGACUUACUAUGUUCCAACCACUCUAUUUGUAUUUGCUUCAUUUUGAUUUCCACCAAAAAUUCUUGCCAUUCCAAAAUCUGAUAUCUUUGGGUUCAUCUCGUGAUCUAGCAAAACAUUGCUAGCUUUAAGAUCUCUAUGAAUAAUUCUAAGACGAGAAUCCUCAUGUAAAUACAGGAUGCCUCGGGCAAUGCCCUUAAUAAUGCCAAGACGCUUCUGCCAAUCCAGUUGCAAACCAAUGCUUGAAUCUGGAAAGGAACCCCCCAAAAGAAUAAUAGUAGUUAGUUGAUUUUUUAACAUAUUGCAUGAAGAAUCCUGUUAAAAAACAGAAUGAAACAAUAAUUUUUUGUUUGAGGAUCAAACCAAAGAGGAACACAUCAAGGCUUUUAUUGGGCAUGUAUUCAUAAACAAGCAGUUUUUCGUUCUGCUCCAAGCAGCAGCCCAGGAGUCUCACAAGAUUUCUAUGUUGUAGUCUGGCAAUUAACAUCACUUCAUUCUUGAACUCAAGUAACCCUUGCCCAGAAGUUCUAGCGAGCCUUUUAACUGCAAUUUCUUUUCCAUCUGCCAAUUUGCCCUAAAAGAAGGAAUUACAAAGCAUCAUAAAAGAACUAAUUAUGUGAAGUUGAAGAGGUGCAUCGUAUACUAAAAGUAUAACAUUCCAUCACCAUGGUCACCUUAUACACAGGGCCAAAUCCACCUUCUCCAAGUUUAUUUUCAUCACAAAAUUGUUUUGUCGCUGCUUGUAAAAUAUCUAACUGAAUCGAGGGAAACUCCUGAGAUCUCACCCCACUCUCACCUUGAAAAUUUUCAAUUGAGUAGUCAUCGCCAGAUCUUCCUCCUAAUUCAAGUAACUGAACUUCUUGGCUGUUAUGAUCUAUAUUCUCUUCAAGAAAAAAUGAAGUGGAUGUAAGAUCCAAUUUCAUACCUUGAAAUUUUCUCCUUCUCCAAAGGAAAAUACCUCCAGAACAGAACAGAGUGACGCCAAAAAUCGUGGAUAAACUUGCAACAAUAGGAACCCACUUUGAUUCGCCUUUUUUGACACCUUCUAAGUCUGUUACUGCAAAAGAAAGUUAUCUUUCACUUGAUUAUUAGUGGAAUAAAUUUCUAAUUUUUGUGUUCUUCUUGCUGUUUCUAUUUUACGGAUAUGAAUUCAUUUAUAAUUAGUUUCUGUAGCAGGUAUUUGUCCUACUUUCUUUUUUGAUGGAUGAAAAGUUCAGUAAUUAAAAAUUAGGCAAGCUAAAUUCUCUAGCAUCUGAUGAUACUAACCGUUUGAGCCACUGGUUUUGUUUACUGAAGGUUGGGGUGCUUUUGGUUCAACUCCAGGAUUCUUGAUAAUCGUAUUGUUUGGUGAUUCGUCUCGAGGUUUUCCAUAAAAUGGAUAUAUCUCAUACCUGAUGUUACAGCUUGGUCCUAACACUCUCGCACCUUGUUUUCCAAUUGCGAAAGAUGGGAUUACAGCAAUUGAGCUACGUAGACAAGAUUGACAGUCUGCAACUGACAAAUCACGGGUGCAUUGAGCAAGUCCAUACAGCUUCAUAGAAAUUGAAACAUUAACUUCUGUAGUUGCAUACAUGCGGUUAGAAGCAUUUGAAAGCUUCGUAAUCAGAUUGUUGUAAGUCUCGGCGAGAUUCUUUUCAAAUUUAUCAGGAUCCGUUACAUUUUUAAUAUUAUACAUACCAAUAGAAGGUGAUAGCUCCAUGAUAGAGAAGAAAGAUCUAUAGGAAUAGCGCAAAAGGCAUUCAUCAUACCAUAUGAUCGCUUCUUUGUCAUUAGCGCACUCCUCCAAGAUCUUAGCGGUUGCUGCGUCAAUGCAGCUUUGGCAGAUAUUGAGUUGAACAUCACCUCUACAGAGGAAAAGGCCAUAAACCUUGUCUUGAUUUUCCCCUUUUGUAUCGCUAAAGAAACCAUAAUUACUUCCUUGAUCAUAAAGCUGGCGGAUGAGAAGGCGCUGAAGGUUGUAAUCGAACUGGCUGGAACGAUUAUAUCUUCCCCGGCAACUUGCAGAGAGAUAAGUCGGCUGUAUUUCGGACAUGUUUUGUGAGAUAACAAGGAGCGGAGAAGAAAGAAAGAAGAGCAGGUAAAAUGCUCCUGAAACAGAAAGAACAACAUAAUAGUGCAUUUUCUUCCAAUGUUUUUCAAUAAUUCAGAAAUCUGAAUUUUAAGGCCAUAAUUUGUCCGGAAUGGGUUAUUAACUGAGACUUCUGACUCGUUCACUUCCACAACUCUUGUCUGCAGAAGAAAUUAUCCCCACAUUCUUUAACCUUUUUUGACCAAGCACGGCACAAACAUAAUCUGUACUGUUUCUCCAACACUAAAAAAAAUGUUAUUAAUUGUUUUGAUCAUCAUGAAAAUUUCUGAUUAAUUAUUUAUGUUAUGUCGUUACCAAGCUUUUACUUAGCUAAGGUAAUUAUUAUUAUCUAAGUUCUCUACUAUUUUUUAAGAUUUACCACUUUGUUAAAGCUUAGUUUAUUACAAUAGAAUAAUUGAAUAAAGGCUCUCAAUAAAUUAAUAAAAAUUUUAUUUGUGAAAUUGAUUAUAAUUUAAAAUUUGAUCAAAUGUAAAAGGUUAAAUAGUCUUCACCCUAUAAAAUAAUUUUAUUUUUUUUAUAAAACACAUAUAUGCUUUCAUUCUAUGUAUAUGAUUAAUGUUACUAUAAAUCAGUUUUGUGCAUAUAUUAUUAUGUAUUAAUUUAUUAUUAUACAAUAAUAUUGAUAUAAUUUUAAUACUUAUAUUUAUAAAAUAAGAGGACCUUUGCUUACGAAUUAAUAUGGUGGAGUGACAUAAUAUCAUUUUCGGAGGUGACGUCAUUACUCUUUCUAGAAGUGAUGUAUUGUCAAAACAGCUGGAGACUUAGCCACUAAGUACAGUCACUUAGACACGCCGUGUAAGACUUAAAUUAAGUAAUUUUAUUUCUAUAUUUGUAAAUUUUCCUUUAAAAAAAUUAUAAAAUAAAUUUUUAUUAUUGAAUUUUGCUAACAAAAAUCUUUAAAAAAACAUUUUAAAAUUAUUAUAUUAAAUAAUAUUUUCUUUCAAUAUAUUAAAAAUUGAUAUAUUAAUUGUCAAUUAUUCAUUAAACAAAAAUAUUAUCAUAAAUACAAUAUUAAUUAAUCUUAAAAAUUCGUUAACAAAACUUUUUAUUAUCAACUAUAUCACUUAUCGCCGGUAUCAACCCUUCCCCUAGAAAAAGAAAGCACUUAAACGUCUUGGAAAACCAGUAAACCAGUCACGACAUUGCAAUUUUCAACUUAAAUUGGGAUCAACAAGUAAAGUUUUUCAAAGAUAUAUUUAUUUUUUACAAAAUAUUAAAUUUUAUAUAUUUAUAUUAUAUUUUAUAUAAAAAUUAUAUAUCAUAAUUUAUAUCGAUAUAAAAAUAUAUAAUAUAUUUUUUAUUUUAUUAAAUUUAUAUAUAAUUAUUAUUAAAAUUUAAAAUUAUAUCAUUUUUAUUUUUAUAUUAUAUUUAUAUUUAUAUUAUAUUAUUAUAUUUUAAAUUAUUAAAUCUAAUUCUCCAACUCUAAUAGAUGACAUUCGAGGUAAAAGUCGAUUCAACGCAAAGUUAGAAUAUUAUUUGCUAACAAGAAGAAGCAAAUGCACCCCCCCACUGUGAUACUUGAGGUAGAAGUCGUUUCCAAGACGCAGUCGAAUAUUAUUUGCUAACAACAAGAAGCAAAUAGAAUAUUCAAGAGAAAGAAAAAAGAAGAGAAAAUCAUUGAAUUUACGUACAACUUUAGGCAAAUAAACAAAUGGGCGGCAAAGUUUAUCAAUAAUUGGAGUAGUUCCAGGAAGAUGCUUUUAGCCCUUUCACCGCUUUAAAGCCAGACGACGCUGGGAUACCUUGACCUGCCCAAAACAGAGAGUUCAAUGAUCAACGAACCGCAUUGGAUAGCUUGUUUUGUCUAAACUUGUCCUUAAAUAUUAGAAGUCCUAAUAAUGCUAAAAUAACAAAAAAAAAAAAAGGUCUCUUAAAUUUCAUAACUUUAAUUAAAUAAAUUUUUAUAUUUUUAUUAUAUUUAAAUAAAUAUUUAAUAUUUAAUUUGCACUCAUAUAAUCCUUUAACAUUUAAUUUGUAUGUAAAUAAAUUAUUAAACUUGUAAUUUCUACAUAAAUAAUUCUUUAUAAAUUAUUCUUUUAUUUGAAAUGAAAAUUUAUUUAGAUACAAAUCAAAUUAUAAAAAUUUAUUUAGAUAUAAUAAAAAUAUAAGAGUUUAUUUUAAAAUAAUAAAAUAAUUCAAAGAUUUUUUUUAAUAUUUUAACUGACUAAUAAUUAUGCUUUGCAUACAUACAUGUGAGACAAUUAUUAAAAUCUGGUAAAUUGAAAGGGUGUAAAUAUUAGAUGGCCUGUUAACAGAACAAUGUCAUCAAUAUGAACAAAAAGGAAUAGAAAUUUUGAACAUUGAACUUUUAUCAUAUCAAAAAUAAUUUAGAGUAGUUAAAUUAAAUUCAUCAAUUUUUUUUACUCGGCCAAAUGUAUUCAACGGGCUGAGAUAUUAGAUAUUGUCAUCAGAUAUAUUAAUGAAUCUAUUGUAGAAAGGCUGAUCAACAAUAAUAACUCUGCCAACAGGCAAAAGCAGGUCUUUUGCCUCAGGAAGAGCAAAUAAGGGUCCACUGGUCCCAGUUGUUUUCCUUCUUUCCAUAGUCCCCAGGCCUGCCAAUGAAUUCACAUAUAUCAAAUUUUUGACAGAAUACAAUAUUGCAAUGGUGGGAAGGACACUUCAAUUUUGAUGACAAAUUACAGGUAUACCUACAUGUGCACGAAGUGUCGGGGCAUGUUCCGUUUGGUAAAAGUCACUAUUUUUUUCCCCCAGCAAUUUCAAUCUUGAGAAUGAUAGAGAUGUUUUAAUUCCCUCAGUUGGAGUCCCCAUGAAAUUUUGACUUCCAGCAGCCUUUUACAGUUGAAUUGUUGACACCUACAACCUUGUAGCCUCAAAAUUAGCCACUGUAAAAAGUUGAAUUAUAAAAAGUUUUGGUGUAAUAAGUAUUGUUUAAUUUUAAUAGUAAAUGACUGAAUGUAAUUCUUUGAAUAAAAAUAGAUACACUUUUGAAAAAAAAUCAAAUACGACUGAAUCUGUAGCCAAUUUUUUUUCUUUUGUAUAUUGAUAUGUGAACAUAUCUCAGCCAAAAUAGGCUUAGUAAGUGUUGAGAAGCUAGCAUCCUUAGAAUAGUGAAAUAAAGGAAGAUGCAACCACUAAUCAAUCACCGAGGUGAGAUAUUUGAAAUUGUAACCUCAUUAACAGAACAGAAUCUAUCAUUUGAAGUGGAUUGAAUUGGUUCUGCAACAAAACGUCCAUCAGAAAAUGCAGGUUCUGCUGGUAGAGGAAGUGUUAUGGUCUCGCUUGCCAACAUGACAAUCACAGAUGAUAUGGUAGGUCUGUCCCGCUGGGUCUACUUGCACGCACAAUAGCCCAAUAUGGAUUCAUUUAAGAACCCGAGUGGCCACACACGAUUGAACAAGUACCGGAUCUAAUAGCUCCAUUCCUUGACCUUUAGACCAUAGUUUACAUGCCUGUAAUGUUUCCUGAAAUUAGAAUGGUACGGUACUACAGCCAUCUAUUUUUUUAACACAAAGAUAGGAUAAAAACAUACAAACGUUAGGAGGCUUUCACCACGCUCUGAAAGAUGAAAGCCAUUGUUUCUUUUACCGCUUAUUAUCUCAAGCAAAAAGGACCCCAAAACUGAAAACAUUAGAUUUGACGGAAAAAAGUCCUUCCAUAGCAUACUCUGGUGCCAUGUAUCCACUAUUUCAGUUCAAAGGAAUAGAUAAAUUAGGUUAGAUUAUGGUAAUAUCAAAACCAAGAAUUGUUAAGUUUGAACAUUAUUCUAUCAUAAAAUUGAAGUAUGAUUACAAAUUUUAGAUUGUAAAGAACAGCCAAGUUCCUCUGCAGAAUAAACCUUAGCAAAGACUGUAAUCUGAUGUACUGCUUUUCCAUUGUACGAGUUCAAUGCUAAUUCUUUCUUUUCAAUAAAAUUUUAUUUGACACAGAUGCAAUAUUAAAGAUCAAAAGAAAACUACUGAAGAACCAAGAUUGGUAAAAAAAAAAAAAAAGAAUUGUGAGCCUAGAAGUGUGUGGGAUAGUGGACUAACUAUGUUCCAACCACUCUAUUUGUAUUUGCUUCAUUGUGAUUUCCACCAAAAAUUCUUGCUAUUCCAAAAUCUGAUAUCUUUGGGUUCAUUUCGUGAUCUAGCAAAACAUUGCUAGCUUUAAGAUCCCUAUGAAUAAUUCUAAGACGAGAAUCCUCAUGUAAAUACACGAUGCCUCGGGCAAUGCCAUUAAUAAUGCUAUGGCGCUUCUGCCAAUCCAGUUGCACACCAAUGCUUGAAUCUGGAAAGGACCACCCAAAAGAAUAAUAGUAGUUAGUUGAUUUUUUACCAUAUUGCAUGAAGAAUCCUGUUAAAAAACAGAAUGAAACAAUAAUUUUUUGUUUAAGGAUCAAACCAAAGAGGAACACAUCAAUGCUUUUAUUGGGCAUGUAUUCAUAGACAAGCAGUUUUUCGUUUUGCUCCAAGCAGCAGCCCAGGAGUCUAUGUUGUAGCCUGGCAAUUAACACGACUUCAUUCUUGAACUCAAGUAACCCUUGCCCAAAAGUUCUAGAGAAGCUUUUAACUGCAAUUUCUUUUCCAUCUGCCAAUUUGCCCUAAAAGAAGGAAUUAAAAAGCAUCAUAAAAGAACUAAUUAUAUGAAGUUGAAGAGGUGCAUCGUAUUCUAAAAGUAUAAUACUCUAUCACCAUAGUUACCUUGUAUACAGGGCCAAAUCCACCUUCUCCAAGUUUAUUUUCAUAACAAAAUUAUUUUGUUGCUGUUUGUAAAAUAUCUAACUGAAUCGAAGGGAACUCCUUAGAUCUCACCCCACUCUCACCUUGGAAAUUUUCAUUUGAGUAUUCAUCGCUAGCUCUUCCUCCUAAUUCAAUUAAGUGAACUUCAUGGCUGUCAUGAUCUAUAUUCUCUUCAAGAGAAAACAAUUAAUUGGGAUAACAAUUGAGUCAAGAAGAAAGUGAAGAGCAAGUAAGAUCCAAUGCAUACCUUGAAAAUUUCUCCUUCUCCAAAAGAAAAUACCUCCAGAACAGAACAGAAUGACGGUAAAAAUCGCGGAUAAACUUGCAACAAUAGGAAUCCACUUUGAUUUGCCUUGUUUGCCACCUUCUAAGUCUGUUACUACAAAAGAAUGUCAUCUUUCAGUUGAUUUUUAGUGGAAUAAAUUUCUAAUUUUUGUAUUCUUCCUGCUGUUUCUAUUUUGCAGAUAUUAAUUAAUUUGUUAUUAGUUUCUGUAGCAGGUAUUUGUCCUACUUUCUUUUUUGAUGGAUGAAAAUUUCAGUAAUUAAAAAUUAGGCAAGCUAAAUCUCUAGCAUCUGAUGAUACUAACCGUUUGAGCCACUUGUUUUGUUUACCGAAGGAAGGGGUGCUUCUGAUUCAAUUCCAGGAUUCUUGAUUAUCGUAGUGUUUGGUGAUUGGUCUCGAGGUUUUCCAUAAAAUGGAUAUAUCUCAUACCUGAUGUUACAGCUUGGUCGUAAAACUCUCGCACCUUGUUUUCCAGUCGCGAAAGGUGGGAUUACAGCAAUUGAUCUACGUAGACAAAUAUGUAAACUUGCUUAUCAGGAAUUCUUAUGAAUAUUUAUCCUAUAAUCCUAUAAUUUUUUGACAUUUUUUCAUAUCUAAAGAUUUUACUAUUUAUAAAUAUACAAAUUUAUCUAUCAAAAAAAUUUUUUUUUAAUAUUUUUUUCUCUUACAAGUUUUUUAUCUAUUACACAAUAUUUAAUCAAUUUUAAACAAAAUUUUUCUAAACUUUGAACCACUAUUCUUUACACUAUUUCCGAUUUCAACUUCUCAACGAACAUUAGAAGUAUUAAUAAUUAUGUCUUGCAUGCAUAGGUGAGACAAAAUUUGUUAAAACGUGUCGAGCAUUAAUGUAUUAAAAGGGUAUAAACGUUGGAUGUCCCGUUAACAGAACAAUCUCAUAAAUAUUCUUGUUACAUUUGAUUUGAACAAAAUAGGAAAAGAAAUUUUGAACAAUGCUCCUUUUAUCAUGAGUUAAUUGUUUGCAAAAUCAAGAUAGUGUUAACAUGCUUAAAACCUUCACGAUUUAGAAAUUGAUAGAUAAACGUUCCAAACACAAAGCUGUAAAAAAUUUCUUAAAAAAGAUUAAAAUCCAUGCUUGAUGCAAACCUAACUGAACAAAAUUAUAAGAAAAGCCAAAGCAAUGCAGUGUCUGCAUCUCCCAGUCCUUGUUGAAUUUAGAUAAAAAAAACUAAAGGUUGAGAUGUGACCAUUUCUAGAAAUAAUGAGCACGGCAUCUGGCCAAAAACAGAAGGGUAAUUAAAUGCGAGGCUAGAACAUGGGAAAAUUCAGUGGUUUGGUGGUUAAACUCUGACUUUGACAAAACAAAAGUAUGGUAAUUAUUUCGAAAGCCAAGCCCCUUGGUGUGUCGACAUUUUCAUGUAGAAACAUUACGGGAGGUGUCAUCUGUUCACUGCCUAAUUCUGUACUUCAGGAACCAGGGCAAAAUUCUGAGAGAACUGAGAAUUGCCGGUAGUUUAAAAUAUAAUGUACCUUAUAUUAGAUAAAAAAAUUUAAUUAUUAUUGAAUAAAAUUAAUUUUUAUAUUAAUUUUAUUUAUAUUUUAAAUAAUUAUAUUUGAAUAAAAAUAAUUAUUAUAUAAUAAAUUAUCAUAAUUAUUUAAAUAUAAAUAUAUUAUUAUUUAUAAAAGUUAUGAUUAUAUAAAAGGUGAUAAUCAUUUGAAUAAAAAUUUAUAGCUAUUUAUUUAUUAUAAAUAAAUCUUUCAAUAUAAUUAUUUUUAUUAUUUUUUAUUAGAGAGUUUGAAAUUUUGUUAUAUCCUAAAGAUAUAAUUAACUUUAAAAAAAUAUUUUUCAUACCUCAAAAUUGAAAUUAUUUUUGAUUAUUUCUCUUUUUUUAUUUAUUUUUUGUAAUAAUUUAAAGGUAAUUAUGAAGAAUUUUUUAUAUUUUAUAUUUAUGGAGAUGCAAAAGAAAGAAAUUUAUAAAUGUUUUGGUGAAAUUUAAAUUCUUGAAAUAAUUAUAAAUAAAGAGAAAUAAUUCUCUACCACGAUGUUAGAUAAGUUUUCUUUAAUUUUUAUUCAAAAUUAAUAUGUUAUUAAUUCAUUGUUUGAUUCCGUUGCAUAAAUCCAAUUUCAUUAUUGUUUUUCAUAUUACUUGGGCUUUUGGAAUUUAUUAAUUGUGCAUUCCAAAAGCUUCACUGAAAUGGAUUUUUCAAAAUUGUAACUUGUAGUAGUCUGAAAUUAAUAGGGUGAAUAUAUGCAUGAAAAUUGUCGUUGAUUUUGGAUUGGAUAAUAAGCCAAGAGCAAGUUUAUACAUGAAGUUAUAAUGUGAUUAAUUGAAAUUGGCUUAGAUAGUCGUAAGCUGAAAUGGGUUCUGUAUAUAUGAUAAAAAUUGGAUUUAGACAUAAUAAAUGAUCUCUUUUGUUCAAUACUAAUGAGAAUUUGGAAAAGAAAAUAGGUUUUAAGGAAAUUGAGAUAAUUGAUUGGGAUCUUUGUUCACAAUAGAAGUUAAUAGAAGUGAAAUGGAGUGUCACAAUAAACUUAUUUUUAAUUAUUUGUGGUUAAUUAAUACAUAUAUUAAUUAAAUGCUUGUUUAUUAUUAUUUUUUAUGCUUACAUUGUUUAGUCAUGCUUGCAUUAACAUGCUUUGAGUUAAAUGGAAUGUUUAUAUAGAGGAGAAUUUGAUUAAUUCAGCUUUAUACUUAUUAUUAAUACAAUUUGCUAAUAACAUGCAUUUAUUAUUUGGUCAAAAGGCAUGAUUGAAAUUUUAAUUUUUGAAUAAGCAUGACUUUAUGUUUACCCUGACAAUCAUUAAAUAAAAGAAUUACGAAAAUAUUGUUAAAUUUAUUAAAACCAUAAGAUAAUGUUUUAAUUGAAAAAAGCUAGAAAAGUAAUAAUAUAUAUUUGCAAUUGUAAUAUUUUGCCCAUAUGAGAUUUAUUUAGAGUAUUAUUAUGUAAUUUAGGGUUAAAUACAUAUUUAGCUCAUGAACUUUAUAAUUUUUAUCACAUUGGUACUUAAAGAAAUUUUUUGUCACAUUGAUACUUAAACUUUUAAAUCGUUAUCACUUUGGAAUCUCUAAUUAACAUUGAUGGUCAAUUUUACUGAUGUAACAUGAAUAUCUUAUACGAUAUUAGUAUGUGUCUAAAAAGUUUAAUCAAUACCAUAUCAUUAAUGUCACGUCAUGCCCACAUCACAUUUAAAAGAAAAUUUUAAAAAAUUCUAAAAUCUUUAAACAAUUCUAAAACAUAUAUAAAAAUUCUAAAAAAUAUUUUUUUAAAAAAAGAAAAGUAUUAAAAAUUCUAAAAAGUAUUAAAGAAUUUUGAAAAAAUUAUAAAUUUUUUAAAAAAAUUUUAAAAAUUCUAAAAACUUUAAAAUUUUCUAAAACAUUUUAAAACAUCAAAAAAAUUAAAAAAUUAUCAAAAUUCAAAAUAAUUUUAAAAUAUUUUAAAAUAUUUUUAAAAACUUCUAAAAAUUUUUAAAAAUAAUUUGAAAAUUUGAAAAUUUUUUUAAAUUUCUUAAAAAAUUCUAAACAUUAUUGGAAAAUUAUAAAAAAAAGUUUAAAAAUUUGAAACUUAUAACAAAAUUAAAAAUAUGAAAUAUUUUAUAAAUUAUAAAAAUUAUCGUAAUUUGGAAAAUUUUAAAAUUUUUGAAAAUUUCUUAAAAAAUCAAAAAACUUAAAAAAAAAGUUAAAAUUUAUAAAAAUUAAAAUUUCUUAAAGCUUUUUAAAAAAUACAAAAACUUAAAAAAACUAAAAAUAAGAAAAAAAUCUAAAAUCUUUUAAAAUCUUUUCAAAAAUUAAAAAAUUUCAAAAUUUUGAAAUAUUAUAAAAAUUUUAAAAAAUCUAAAAUAUAAAAAAAUUAAAUUUUAAAUAAAAAUCCAAAACAUAUAAAAAAUUGACAAAUUAAAAAAUAUAUAAAAAGUUGAAAUUGUAAGAUUAAAAAAUAUAUAAAAAUUUUAGAACCUUCUAAAGAUUUUUAUAUUUUUUCAAAAAAAUUUUGAAUUUUGAAUUUUGAAUUUUGAAUUUUUCUUUUUGUUUUUUUUUUUUUUUGAGUUUUUCUCUUUGUUUUAAAAAAAAAAAUUUAACAAAAUUUUUAUAAUCAUUAAUUUUUUUAUUCUUUUCAUUUUUCUAUUUUUUAUUUGAAUUUUUUUAUUUUUUUUAAUUUUCAAAAAUUUUUAUUUUAAAAUUUUUCAAAAAUUUUUAAAUUUUUCUAGAAUUUUUUUAAAAAUUAUUUUUUAAUAUCUUAAUUUUUUUCAAAAUUUAAAAAUUUUUAUAAUUAUUUAAUUUUUAAAAAAAAUGUUCAAAAAUUUGAAAUUAUUUAAUUUUUGAAAAGAUUUUAAAAUUUUCUAGAAUUUUAAAAAAUCUUUAAUUUUUUUGAUAUCUUAAUUUUUUCAAAAUUUUAAAAAUUUAUUAAAACCAUGAGAUAAUGUUUUAAUUGAAAAAGGCUAGAGAAGUAGUAAUAUAUAUUUGCUAUUAUAAUAUUUUGCCCAUAUGAGAUUUAUUUAGAGCAUUAUUAUGUAAUUUAGGGUUAAAUACAUAUUUGGCUCAUGAAUUUUAUAAUUUUUAUCAUAUCGGCAUUUAAAAGAUUUUUUUGUCACAUUAGUAUUUGAACUUUCAAAUCGUUAUCACUUUGGGAUCUUUAAUUGACGCUGUUAGUCAAUUUUAUUGAUGUAACAUAAAUACCCUAUACGAUAUUAACAUAUGUCUAAAAAGUCUAAUCAACACUACAUCAUUAAUGCCAUGUCAUGCUCACAUCAUAUUUAAAAGAAAAUUUUUUAAAAAUUCUAAAAUUUUUAAACAAUUCUAAAAUAUAUAUAAAAAUUCUAAAAAAAAUUUUAAAACUAAGAAACGUAUUAAAAAUUUUUAAAAAUUCUAAAAACUUUAAAAAUUUCUAAAAAAUUUUAAAACUUCAAAAAACUAUUAAAAAUUAUAAAAAUCCUAAAUAAUUCUAUAAAAUUUUUAAAAUUUUUUAAAAUUUAUAAAAAAUAAUUAAAAUUUCUCAAAAAUUUUUUAAAAACUUGUAAAAAUAAUUUUUAAUACACAAAUAUUUUUAAAAUUUCUCAAAAAAUUCUAAACAAUUUUAAAAAAAUUCUAAACAUUAUUGGAAAAUUGUAACAAAAUUUUGAAAAAUUUGAAAUUUAUAAAGAUUAAAAAUAUGAAAUAUUUUUAUAAGUUAUAAAAAUUAUCAUAAUUUGGAAAAUUUUAAAAAUUCUGAAAAUUUCUUAAAAAAUAAAAAAAUUCAAAAAAAGUUAAAAUUUAUAAAAAUUAAAAUUUCUUAAAAUUUUAAAAAAAUACAUAAACUUAAAAGAUUAAAAAGAAGAAAAAAUCUAAAAACUUUUAAAAUCUUUUCAACAAUUAAAUAAUUUCAAAAUUUUGAAACAUUAUAUAAAAUUGAAAAAAAUUGAAAAAAAAAACUUAAAUUUUAAAUAAGAAUCCAAAACAUAUAAAAACUUAAAAAAAUUAAAAAAUAUGUAAAAAGUUGAAAUUGUAAGAUUAAAAAAUAUGUAAAAUUUUAGAACCUUUUAACUAUUUUUAUAUUUUUUCAAAAAAUUUUUGAAUAUUGCUUUUUGUUUUUUUGAACCUUCUCUUUUUGUUUUAAAUUUAACAAAGUUUUAAAAAUUUUUAAAAUCAUCAUUUUUUUAUUCUUUUAAUUUUUUAAUUUUUUAUUGAAUUUUUAAUUUUCUAGAAUUUUUAGAAAUUUCGAUUUUUUGAUAUCUUAAUUUUUAAAAUUUUUAAAAUUUUUUAAUUUUCUAAAAAUUUUUUGAAAUUAUUUUAAAGUUUUUAGAAUUUUUGAAAAAUUUUUAUAAUUUUAAAAAAUUUUUCAUAUUUUUUAGAUUUUUUUUGAAUUUUUUAAAGUUUUUAAUAUUUUUUUAAUUUUUAAAAAUUUUUAGAUUCUUUAUUUGAAUUUUUAAAAUUUUUUAAAUUUAAAAAAAAUUAUUUUAGAAUUUUUAGAAUAUUUUUUUGAAAAUUUUAAGCUUUUUGUUUAGAUUAUUUUUUUGAAGUUUUGAAUUCUUUGAAUUUUUUAGAAAAUUUUAAAUUUUUUUGAAUUCUUUUAGAAUUUUUAAAUAUUUUUCUUUUAAGUAUGAUAUUAGCAUGACAUGGCAUGAUAUGGUAUUGAUGAUGUGGCACUAGUUAGACUUUUGAUAUGUGUCAGUAUCUUAUUGGAUAUUCAUAUUAUAUCAACAAAGUUGACUAAUGGCGUUAGUCAAAGUUACUAACAUAAUAAAGAUUUGAAAGAUCAGGUAUCAAUAUAACAGAAAAAUUUUUUAGGUACCAAUGUGAUCAAAAUUAUAAAGUUCAGGGGUCAAAUAUAUAUUUAACCCUAUACUUUAUAGUUUGGGAAAUAAGUGUAUGCAUUAUUAAUAUAAUGAUUAUGACCAUGUACAUAUCCAAGGUAAAAUGCACUUAUAUUUAAUAUAUCCAUCAUGCAUACUGCAUUUGCAAGAGAUCUCCGAAAGAGAUACUAUGGAAUUAUAAUAGAAACACAUAUAAGAGGGUUAUGUUCAAUUGUGGUGCCAUAAAAAUCUUGGCAAUGUCAAGAACAUAAAACAUAUAUCCAUUUUUAUAUUUAGAUAAAAGGGUCAUGUUCAACUGUGGUGCCAUAAAAAUCUUGGCAAUGUCAACAAUAUAAAGCAUAUAUUCAUUUUUAUAUUUAUAUGUAUAUCAGCUAAAAAUGAAUAUUGAGUUUUUCAAGUCUUUUAAUUUAAUGAAUGAACAAAGACCACUUAAUGAUGUUAAAUUCAUGGUUCCAUGGGUUAUCACAUUUCAUGGCUUGAAUACAUAUUUUGUGAAUUUUUGUGUAUGGUAAUGAAUUGAAACAUCCAUGAGCCUAGAAUUGGACAUAGAGAACUCAUGCAUGGUUUGCCAUAUAUUAAAAAAAUAAAUGGAAACUCAAAUUAUCUUAUUAUUAGCAUAUAUUGCAUUUAUAUACAUAACAUUGAAAAAAAAAGUGUACAAGUCUUUGUGGUACAUGAGUUUUUAUAGUUUCAGGGUAAGGGUAUUGAUGAGAGCUUAUAUAUGCAACAUUAAUAUAUGGACUUGAUAAUGAUGAUAGCUUUCAAUAACCUCAAUCCUUGGAAUUAAUCGCUAAAUGAGUUAUUCAUGAAGAAUGAGGUAUGAUUCUUAAAUGAACAGUGCUUUUGAUAAAUUUAAAAAUAUUUAUUUGUAUAUAAUACAAAAAUGGUUUUUCUUAAUGAUUUUUGCAUAAAAGUGAUGUUUGUUUAAUUUUAUUUGAUAAUAAUCAUAGCUUGUAUAAACGAUUUACAUCUCAUUAUUUUAUUAAAAGUUUUGAGAUAUAGUGAAAAUAUAAAAUUAUAUUCACAUUGAAAGUCAUGGGUGAUUCAAAGAUUUUGUGAAUAUAAAAAAAAUAGCAAAAUGAAUUCCAUUUGAUCCAUUUGGAUGAUGGACAUGGUUUUGCUCGUGAUAAAAUUAUGUUAAUAGUGUUUAUGAUGAAAUAUAUUCAUAAGUUUCCAUGAGUUGGUAUAAAAGUCUCAAAAAAAGACUUUAGAAAAUAUAAGUUUACUAAAAUAAAAAAAUUUUUUUGAAAGUGAUUAUAUUUGACAUAAUUCUUAUUGAUAUAUACUUUCAUACUGGGUUUAAAUAAAAGUUUUGAAACUUUUAUGAGAAGAAAAUAUUAAGAUAUAGAAUAUUUGCUAGUUAUUUUUUACUAAAGUUUGGAGGCCUCCUACUUAAAAAAAAAAAUCACCUAAUAGCGAAAAGAUAAAUGAGAUAGCAACUUAAUUAAGUAUAUAUGAUAUUAAGAAGUGGAUGGAAAUUAAGAAGUGGAUGGAAAUUAAAAUAAUUUUUUUACAUCAAUUUAUUAUAUGAUAGGAUUGAAAAAUGAAACUUACAUUAUUUUAUCAUUAUAAAUAUUUUAAGUAAAAACUAAAAAGAAAAAUUCUAAAAGUAAAUGAAUAUUUUCUAUUUAUAAUAUUUGACUCAGUCCUCUUUUAUUUUCUACCUUUAAUCUUUUUUAUUUGUAAUGAUUUUUUAUGAAUAAAAAUAAAAAAUGACAAUCUCUCUCUCUCUCUCUCUCUUAUGAUAUGGCUCAAGUCAACUGCAGCUUAACCUACAGAUAAAGCUUAAAUAUUAUGAGUUAAGAAAUCCUAACCGACAGUUGCUACAGAGCAACUUCGCGGAAGAACUUUCGAGUGGAAAUCAUAAAUGCUACGACGGAUUUUCUUAUUCAGAUAAACUACGUAGAAAACUAGAAAUGCAAUGAAUUGACAUAUAUCAUGUGGAAAAAUAAUUUAAAGGUCGUGUAUGUUUGACAUAUUGAGGUAGCACUCAAUUCCAGCACGCCGUUGAUCAUUUACAAACCACUAGAAGCAAAUGCAGGGCCAGUUCAUAAUGUGUGCUUGAAGGGGUCUUCUCCCCCAAAAUUUUGAAACCUUCUAUUAUAUAAUUUAUAUUUUGUUAAAUAAAUUUAAAUUGAUCCCCAAAUUGAGAAUAUUAAUAUUUUUUUAUUUUUUUAUGAUUUCGUAAUCUUGCAAUUUAAUUAAGGGGUUAAAAUUACAUUACUAUUUAUCUUUUUAUUAUAUCCACUAAUCAUUAUUUAGAAAUCUUUAAAAUCAAAAAUUUUGUUGUUUAUUUUAAAUCACAACAAUAUGAUUUUAAUUUUUUAGCUUUCCUGACAAUAUUAAGUUUCUAAUCAAGUAUUAAAUUUGUUUUUUUUUUUGUAAAGAAUUAAAAGAGUGUAAACGUUGGUUGUCCGGUUAAUGGAACAAUCUCAUAAAUAUUCUUGUUAAAUUUGAUUUGAAAAAAAAAAAAAAGAAAUUUUGAGCAAUGCAUGAAGUUGAUUGUUUGCAAAAUCAAAAUCGUGUUAACAUGCUUAAAACCUUCACGAUUUAGAAAUUGAUAAAUUCCGACAGCGAUAACGUUCCAAGCUCAAAGCUGUAAAAAAUUUCUUAAAAAUGAUUAAAAACCAUGCUUGAUGCAGACUUAACUGAAUAAAAUUCCAGAAAGCCACGGCAACGCGGUGUCUGCAUCUCCCAGUCCUCGUUGAAUCUUGACAAAAAACUAAAGUUUGAGAUGUGACCAUUUCCAAAAGCAUCUGUCCAAUUAUUGCGAGGCUAAAAGAAGUUCAAGGCAACAUGGGAAAAUUCCUUGGUUAGGUGGUGGAACUCUGACUUUGACAAGUCAAAAGUAUGGUAAUUAAUUCGAAAGCCAUGUGUCAAAAUUUUCAUAUGGAAACAAGCAGGGAGGUGUCUUCUGUUCUCUGCCUAAUUAUGUUCUCCAGGAGCCAGGAUAAAAUUCUGCCGCUGACUUGGACAUCGGUGUCAGAGAAGUGAGGAUUACGGAAUAAUUAUUGAGAAUUUCACACGUUUUUAGAUGAGAUCCACUUUAUCAAUUUUUUUUUACGAUUUUUUUUUAAAUCAUCAUUUGGUAAAUUUUGUAUUUUACGAAGUUUAACUAAGAUGACAUAUGACAUUUCUCGAUAAUUUUUUUAAGUUAAAUUAGUUUUGUGAAAAAAAUUGAGACCGAUGAAAUUAUAUACAUGGCACUCUUAAUUAGCGUUUUAUGUUUUAUAUUAUUUAAUUUUUAAUUAAAUAAAAUUUUAAAAUAAAAUAUAUCAAUUAAUAAAAAUAUCAAAAUAAUUUGUAUUUAUUUAAUUUUAAUCCAUUCUAAUUUGAUAUGAGUGAUUUUUUAAAUUGAAAUUAAAUUGAGAUAAUAUUUAAAUUUUUUUAAAAUAAGAGUAGGACAAAAAAAAUACUCUUUCACAAUUCAUUUUUUGUAUAUAUAAAAAUAUUUUUUAAAAAAUUUUAUUAUAUACAUUUAUUAAUAAAAUUAUUAUUUUUUAAAUUGGUAAUUGAAUCUUCUUUUUUUUUUUUUUUUCUCAUCCUCUUUUUUCUGAUGUUUAUGUACAUAAGGAUUUAGGUGCGAUUAUAAUUAAUUGAUUUAUAAUUACGUACGGUUGAAGGGAGUAGGAAAAAUAAAAAAUAUAUAUUUGAGACGAUUGAUAAAGAUGGCAGUUGUUAAGGACAAGCCGCCUGGCUUUCUGUGCGCCCAAAAAGCGGUUUUGUCCUUUUCGAAUAUCCUAUAUAUAUAUAUAUAUAUAUAUAUAUAUAUAUAUUUUACUUUAUAGUGCCCAUCACUAGUUAAUUGUGAAUUUAAAAUUUCAUUUAAUUAAUUUAUUAUAAUUAUUUUAAUAUAUUUUAUAAUUUUAAAAUUUAAAUUUUAAUAUCUUUUCGUAAUUAUCACAAGGAACUAAUCCGGCGCCAUGACAUACCAAUUUAAGAAUCUGACUUUGGGUGAUUCAUAAAUUUCUUGCAUAAGAAAUUGCUUGAAGGGCUACGCAGUUCACACACCGUUUAAGAUCAAAAGAAGAUUCAGAAUUAAAACCAAAAAAUAAUAAUAAUAAUAAUAAUAAAGAAGUUGAUUGAGACGGGAGUGGUGGAAGAGGAUAAGCUGUGAAGCUUCUAGUUUAUUUCCCUAUCUAUGAAUGAAAAAAAAAAAAAACAAGGAUUAAAGUUUUUUUAAUAAAAAUUUAAUAAUUAUUAAAAAUUUUAAUAUUUUAUUAUGAUCAAUUAAAUUUUUUAUUUUUUUAUUUUGAUUCAAUUAAAUUUUUAUUGAACAAACCUUAAAACAUAAUAAAAUUAAAUCAUUAAUUUUUAAAUUAUAAUCAAUUAAAUCUUUAAAAAUAUAAAAAAAUAAUUAUUUAUUUACUUUUCACAUAUAUAAUUAUGCAAUAUAAUAAAUAUCUAUCUGUUUAUUAUUAUAUGAAAUUUCAUUUUAAUUGAUAAAAUUAACGAUAUUUAAAUACAAAUUAAUAUUAAAGGUAUUACUUGAAAUAAAAAAAAUAAAAAUGUAAAUAACUUUUUAAUUACAAUUCAGAGAUUUUUAUAUAUUAAAACAAACAAAAAGUUUUACUUUUAUUUCCGUGUGGCACUCAUGUGUCGAGCCAAAAGUCAAUCACAUUGUCCGUCAAAAAAGAAAAAAAAAGGGAGAUUUCAAUUUUUUUAUUCUUUUUUUGUUUGUAUUUGUUCAUCUAUAACAAAUUGAUCACAUGAAAAGGAUUGUCUAAGGGUAAUCCGCUCAAACUGACAAUCACUGAAUUUCUAACAAUCAUGAAUGAUAAUGGUACUGAAUGUUGACACAAAAAUGCUUACAAACUUGACCAGCUUGGUAUCUUGGAUGCAGCUCGGUAAUUGAAACCUCAAUUUUUGAGACUACCACAAUUUCAUUUCUGGAUUGACUGGAUUGUGUUGCCCCUGAAUUUAAGUGCUGCGACCACAGCAUCCCUGAUUGAGUGUUGCUGUGCAAAAAAAUGCAGGUUGUGAGGGUAGUGGCAGAGUGACAGAGUGGCUAGUAAGCAUCAGAACAACCGAAGCCAUGUUUGGUCUCGCAGCUACAUUUUCUUGAACACAAAGCAGCCCGAUGUGGAUGCAUCUCAUCAGCUCAGUUCUUGAACCAUCUCUAAAACUGGGAUCUACAAGAUCCAUUACUGUCCCAUUCUUCCAAUUUCUCCAAGCCUGCAGCGUUUAAUUCAUGCAAAUUAUUAAACAGUAAAUUCUUUUAAUGCUUUGGACAAGUAUCAUAUGAGUUACAAUCUCAUGCUUGAGGACAAAGGAAUACUUACAAAGUUUAGAAGAUCUUCUACAUUACUCCCAUUAUGGAAAGCACUAUUUUUUUGACCACUUAAAAUCUCCAUAAGUAGCACACCAAAACUAAAAACAUCGGACUUAACAGAAAAUUGUCCAUGCGUUGCAUAUUCAGGCGCCAUGUAUCCGCUACAAGUUAAUAAAAGAAAAAUUAGUUUUCCUUGUGGAAAAAAAGGGACACAUGACUUACCAAUCUUUUGAAUUGUUCAAGUGAGGAUGAUCAUCGGUCAUGCAUCAGCCAAGAUUUUUCUUUUAUUCACAUGAUGGGAAGGCAGUUUAACAAAAAUAAUAAUAGUAUAUGCAAUUAAAAGUGUAAUUAUUGACUCAGAAGAUUUCUAACACUUACCAUGUUCCCACGAUUCUAUUAGCAACCCCUUGAGUUUGAUCAACUGCAACCAAUCUUGUCAUGCCAAAAUCUGUAAUUUUAGGAUUCAUCUCUGCGUCUAAUAAUAUAUUGCUUGCUUUGAGAUCACAAUGAAUAAUUUUAAGUAGAGAAUCUUGAUGAAGAUAAAAAAGUCCUCGAGAGAUGCCUCUUAUGACUUUGUAUCGUCUUUCCCAAUUCAAAUAUGUACGGUUAACCGGAUCUGCAUCACCAUAAAUGUACGAAUCCUAAUUAAUAAAAUAAAACAUGGAUGUUGGUCUUUUGCUUUGUAGUAUACAUUCUAUAAUACACCGAUAUAUCAUACCAAAUAAUGAUUUAUCCAGACUUGUGUUAGGCACAAACUCAUAGAUGAGAAGCCUUUCAUUUCCUCCUAGGCAGAAACCUUGAAGCCUAACCAAAUUCCUGUGCUGAAGCUUGGCCAAUAACUGAACUUCGUUUUUGAAUUCAAGAUCUCCUUGUCCGGAUUCUGUAGACAGUCUUUUCACUGCUAUUAAUUCUCCAUUGGCAAGUGUGCCCUGAGAAGAUAUCAGAAUGAAUUAUAUAUGUAUAUGCCUAUUGAACUUGCAUACCCAUUUUAUUUCUUACGGAUGAUCAUUAUCGUCUUACCUUAUAAACUGCCCCAAAUCCACCUUGUCCAAGCUUAUUUGCGUCAGAAAAGUGAUUUGUUGCAGCUCUAAUGGUGUUGAAAUCAUAUUGCAAGGACUCUGCACUUGUGAUUCCAUCCACGGCUUCAGCUGCUUCACGCUCUUCAGAGGUGUAACAAAAGAACAAAAACAUAAACAAGUAAACAUUAGAUUUAGUCACGAGCUAAAUUCAUUAACAACAUUCCAAAAGGAAAAAGAACAAGAACACACUGACACACAAAAAACAAAGAAGAAAAUCAAUAAACCGAUUCUUUUACUUACUUUCAGCAUUCACCUUUGACUUCCUCGCCCCUAAAAAGAUGCAGACGCAGCAGGAAAUGAGAAGUACCGCAAAAGCGACGGCCGAGACGGUUAUGAUAAUAGUAGUUCGAGAUGAAUUACUCUUUUUUCCUGCAAAAUUUCAAAAAAAUGCGUUUUCUAUAAGAGUGCUGAAAUAGUUAACUUUGGAACUACUCUUAACUUAAUUAGUUAAAUUAGAGAAACCCUUUUCUCUGUUGUCUAGGAAAAUAAAAUUUUUACAGGCACACAUCCCAUUGAUACAAGACGGAGAAAUUCUUGAUAUUCUGAGGUAGACGUUCUCAUUUGGGAAAGAAACAACUGUUGAAUUGACAAAACAAAGCAGAAAGCGUACCUGUUGUACUUGUGGUAUCGUUUGAGAGCGGGGGAGAUAGUGGGGAUGCUGGUGUUGGUGGCGGUGAUGAUGGUAUUGGUAUAUCAGCAUUGGUAAGAUCAUAGAAACGUUCAACCUUAAACCUUAAAUUACAGCUAGGCCCAAUUAUCCUGCCUUCUUGUUUUCUGUCACAGCAUACCGGAAUAAAUCCAAUAGCCCGAGACAAGCAAGAGCUGCAGUCAACCUCGGUCAAAUCAGGAGUGCAUUGAACAAGUGCAUAUACCGUUUGGAAAGCUGAAACUUCUGCACUUCCUGUUGCAAACUUGCGAAGGGAAGUCCCCGAUGAAGCGUUAUUUCUUAGGGUAUCCAACACGGAACCCAGGGCCUGAUUAAAAGCAUCCACAUUCGUGACGUUAUUUACAUUCCACAUGUAGAACGAAGGGUUGAUCUCCAUAACACCAAAGAUGGAGCGAUUUGCGUAGCGGAACAUGCAUUUAUUAUACCAGAUGAUUGCCUCUUUCUGGUUGGGGCAGAGAUUUCUGAGCGCAGCGGUUGCGUUAUUGAUGCAGCUGAUGCAAUCACCUGAAUUCACAUCUCCUCUGCAAAGUGCAAUUGCGUUAACUCUGUUCGAGCCUUGGCCGGAUGAAAAAUUGUAGAACCCGUAAUCAUUUGCUGUGUUAAAGGAGGAAGAGGAAAGGAGGCGAUUGAGGUUUGUCUCGUAAGUGCUGUUUCUGGUGAAGUUACCACUACUCUCUAAACAGAAAUAAUAUAGAGGCUGUUGUUGGGCAAUGGUAAGAGUAAGAAGGAAUGUAAUAGUUGAAGAGAAGAAAAACUGCCAUGAAAAUUCCAUUGCCUUGCCUGCGGAGUACAGUAGUGUUCUGCUUCUGCGUCUCCAAAGCUUGUUGGACCUAUGAUUUUCAAAGUUUAUAUUAUAAUGAUGAAUGCUCCUUCUAUCAUGGAGUUGAUUGUUUACAAAAUCAACAUCGUGUUAACAUGCUUAAAACCUUCACGAUUUAGAAAUUGAUAGCUAAUGAUAGUGAAAACAUUUCAAACACAAAGCUGUAAAAAAUUUCCUUAAGAUGAAAAAUCCAUGCUUGAUGCAUACGUAACGGAUUAAAAUUCUAAGCGAGCCACAGCAACGCGGUGUCCGUAACUCCCAGUCCUUGUUGAAUCUUGACAAAAAACUAAAGUUUGAAACGUUACCAUUUCAAGAGGUAAUGAACACGGCAUCUGGCCAAAAACAGAAUGGUAAUUAAUGCGACAAGUCCAUGACAACAUGGGAAAAUCCCUUGGUUUGAUGGUUAAACUCUGACUUUUCCAAGUCAAAAAGUACGGUAUUUAAUUGGAAAUCCAAGUUUCCUUGGUUUCAAAUUUUUCAUGUAGAAACAUGCAGGACGGUCUCUUGUGUUCCCUGUCUAAUUUUGCUCUCCAGGAACCAGGGUAAAAUUCUGCCAUCGCUUGGACAUCUCUGUCAGGGAAGUGAGGAUUACGGGUAAUUAUUGAGAAUUUCACACGUUUUUAGGCAAUAAUUCUGAUUAAGUGACUUUAACUAUGUGCUCUAAUGUCCACUCUUUUGUUGAUAAGGAUAUGUUAUGGGUAAAGGAAUGCCCUGAUUGAGUUUCAUUCAAUUUCAUUGAUUUAAAAUUAAAUGAGUGAAACAAAGUUAUUCCUCUAAAAAUAAAAAAAAACCAAACCGUUGUUAACUGUUACGUGGAGACGGUAUCUAUAGGUUCAGCUAUAAUCAUAUUAAUUUGGUUGAAUUUUCUUAGAUAAAGUUGUUUUUUUCUUCUUUUUUAGAAAAAAAAAAAAAAUACAAAAGCUAAUAUAAUUGCGUCUGAAAUGGGGAAGUGGGAACUGCUGACUCUCAGAUAAAUCAGGCAAUGAUGGCGAUUGGUAAAGAUGCAAGAACUUUGCUGUGGUCUAAUCACCCUUCUCAGUCCCAAUCAAAAGACAUAAUAUUAUUUUUUAGUCUCUCGGGAGAUUAUUCUUGAAUAAAUUGAGAUGACAGUGGAAAAUAAGGUGAUAGAAAAUUCGCUAAUGGCGACUGAAGUGGAUGAAUGACAUCUAACGGGCAAUUUUUAAUUCCUGAAAAAAGUUAUUUCGGAAAGAUGAAUCAGUCCUGAAAUCAUUUAGUUACCCUUUUUCUAUUAGAAAAUGUGGCUUACUAUAGGAAAAGUUUUCCUUGUAAAAUCCAUACUGCAUUGUGCCGAGUCUUUCUUCUUUUUUUUUUUUUUUUUUAAAGGAUAGUGGUGUUAAUUGAGAAAGAGAAAUGUAGUCUUAUGAAGUGGGUACUCAGCUUCGCCGUAGUAUCUCUUACGUGUCACCUCAAUUCCCAGGAGGUAGUGCAUUGGAAAGGAAAUAGGAUCUCUGGACACAGAAAACUAUGGAGUUUGCUACAUUCAUGAUUUCAAAAAUAACAGUAAAGAUAUCAAUUAAUUGUUGUAUAAAAUUCUUAUAGAAAUGUAACUAUCAUCAGGCUGCUAGCUACUGUUUCUUCAACUUAACUGUUAUAAGUUCAUUUAUAUAGUAGUGCUAAUGCUGAUUCGUUUGAAAACAUUUACUUUUGUUUUCUCUUGGGGAAAAUUAUGCUCCCCCAAAUAAAUUGUUCAAGCCAAGAUAAUUCUACAAUAAGCACAUUUACGGGUUAAAUAUAGCUUCUUCAUUAGCAUAUAAAACUGCAAGAGACAAAUGAUGAGCAGCUUAGUUGAUUUAAUAAAACAUGUAGAAUACUACAGAAUAUCAAGAUUUUGGGGGUAAAUAACUCUUGUAUGUCCAGUUCAUACAUAAAGUGACUGGAUCAAGUACACAAGUACCACUACUUAAUCGUACCAAAUAUUCACAGCAAUGGCAGAAAAAGGACUUAUUCAACAUUGGCAGAUUGCUUUCUAUACUGAGGAAGCAUCUAUUAACUCACUUUACCGAGGGUCUAAUUCAGUAAUCGAUGCCUCAUUGAUAGACCAUGGCAUUGAUCGACUAGUGGAUUGAUCAGAUUCCAUCUCCUUGUUUGGCAUACUUCCCUCUGUUCUGCUGUGAAGGAAAAAUGCCGGUUGCUUAGGUAAUGGUAGUGUGACAGAGUAACUGUUAAGCAUGAGAACAAUGGUAGUCAUCGUAGGCCUGUCAACUGGAUCUUCCUGAACACAUAAUAACCCAAUUUGGAUGCAUCUAAUGACUUCAUUUCUAGAGUAAGUAUCCCUCAGAAUAGGAUCCAACAAUUCCAAUGGCGUCCCAUCCUUCCAAUGUUUCCAAGCCUGCAGUGGUUCAUCAAGUAAGAUUUAAAAAGUCACCUCACCUUAAAUUUUAAUUUCGUAUUUCGUAUAGGCUGAAUUAUACUCACGUAGCUAAGGAGGUCCUCAGCACCAUCUGUUUGAUAGAAAUUACUGUUCCUUUGGCCACUAAUAAUUUCGAGAACUAAAACGCCAAAACUAUAUGCAUCUGAUUUCACAGAAAACUGCCCUUGCAUUGCAUAUUCGGGAGACAUGUAGCCACUGCAGAACCAUUAGCAAUGUUAGUAUAAUGACAAGAACAAAAAUUUUUAGUUUGAUCUAAUAAUUUAUUUAUGCUAACAACAAUCAGGAUAGCUUGUUAUAAAUGAUUUAGCUGGAGGUGUUAAUAUGUCACAAGGAUUCCUAAAUUCGAUUAAAAGCAGGGUAUAACCAAAAUGAGCUUUUAUUUCUUUAAGUUGUUCAACAAUUAGGAUGCAACAACUCAUGGUUAAAUUGCGUAUGAAACUUAUGCAAACAAAUGCUAAACAUGUUCAAAACUUACUAGGUACCAACAACUCUUCUGGUGGUUCCUUGAGUUUGAUCAACACCAAAAAUCCUUGCCAUGCCAAAAUCUGAAAUUUUUGGAUUCAUUUCACCAUCUAAUAAUAUAUUGCUGGCCUUGAGAUCCCGGUGUAUGAUUCUAAGCCGAGAAUCCUCAUGCAGAUAAAGCAUUCCUCGAGCAAUCCCUCCUAUGAUCUUGUAACGUCUUGACCAAUCCAAUUGUCCUUGUUUUGCAGGAUCUAUAAAAAUAAAUAAAUAAAUGAAUGAAUAAGUAGUUUUGUUCACACAGCAAAUCUAAGAUUAAGAUAUACCCAUGUAUCUCUCUAGGCAGUGUUUAAAAUCAAUUAAAAGUCCCAACAAAAUUCUUGCAACAGUAUAUUACACGUACCAAAAAGAAAAUAGUCAAGACUUUUAUUGGGCACAAAUUCAUACAAGAGUAUCUUUUCUUCUCCUUCCAAGCAAAAUCCGAGUAGUCUCACUAGAUUUCUGUGUUGAAGCUUGGCAACCAAUACAGCCUCAUUUUUAAAUUCCUCCACCCCUUGCCCUGAACUUCUUGAUAACCUCUUAACAGCUAUCUCUUGUCCGCUAGGAAGGGUACCCUGAGAAUGUAAGAUACCCUUGAUUAGAAAAGCUUUCUGAGAGUUUGAGUUUGGACACUGUAAGCAUGUAUAAAAUGCCUACAUGUCAUUAAAUACUAAUAAUACCUUGUAAACUUCACCAAAACCACCUUCUCCUAGCUUGUUCCUAUCUGAGAAGUUGUUUGUGGCAACUUGUAUCGUGCUAAAAUCAUACUGCAGUGACUCUAUUGUGGUUAUAUCAUUUCCUGCUGUAAAAUCAAACUAGCAAAUGUCAUAUUCUGUAAAACAUAAUCAAAGAACAGGGUGAAACCGGAGAAAUGAGAUUGUUUUGGCUCAAAAUAAGUUGUGUUUUACCAUUUUCUCCUUCUAUAGCUUUGUACUUCCUUGCUCUCCUUUUUAAUAGACAACAACCCACGAAAAAAAGCAAAACAGAGGCAGAAAUUGGAGCAACAAUGGCAAUAAUUAUUUGCCACGAAUUUUGGCUUUUUCCUGCAGAUGCAAUAAAGAAUUAAAGAUGUGUCACGAUAAUUUCUAAUACCAUAAAGCAUGCUUAGAAGGUGGAGAGGAUAUGUGGAAGGCUACAACUAUCAAAUAAAAUCAAAUUCAAAUUCAUUUGUGACUUUUAAUUCGAGAUGUCUUUGCGGCAAUCUUCCGGGAACCAGAACUUUCCCAAUGUCAAUUCCUCAAUUCCAUCAAGGAAAGGCAAAUUUUAGCGUCGGUAAUUUUUUGGAAGAAAACUAUAAGGCAUAUAGUCGUCCUAAUUAUAAUUAUUUAACUCAACUAACAAAAAUAAAUAAAAAGGCAAUAGAACGGAUGGUAUGACUGAACCUGGAGCUGCUGGAGGACGAGUUAUCACAGACGGAGGUGCCGGAACUGAAACUGCGGUUUGAUUAUAGAACGGGUAAAGUUCAUAUCUAAUGUUGCAGCUAGGAGUCAGCACUCUUCCCCCUUGCUUUCCACUGCAACAAUUAGGCAGAGCCGCUAUAGCUCCUCGCAGACAUGUAUUACAAUCCGUGCUUGAUAGGUCAGGAGUACACUGCACAAGGCUGUACAGUGUUUGAAACCCUGAAAUAUUCGCGUCUCUGGUCGCGAAGUUUUUUAAACCUAACGUAGCAUUUACAGCCAGGGUUGCUGCAUUAUUCAUCGUAUCAGCCAGUAUCUGGUUAAAACGCUCUUGGUCCGAGACAUUUCCCGUGUUCAACAUAUAGAUUGCAGGUACAAUGGUCGCGAUGGAAAAGAUAGAUUGAUUUGAGUAACGCAAGAGGCAAUCAUCAUACCAAAUCACAGCAAUUUUUUCAACAGCACAAAGUUGAGUGACGUCGUUGAUGGCAGUAGAGACACAUUCUUCGCAGCCACUAUUCGAAACAUCACCCCUGCAGAGAAACAGCCCAUAGACCACGUCAGAGUUUCUGCCAGAGGUUGUGCUAUAGAAUCGAUUGCCGCGGGUGGCGUUGGAGGAUAGAGAGGAAAGCAGGUGAUUGAGAUCGGCUUGGUAAGUACCGUUUGUGGGAAAAGUGGUUGCGUUCGAACAGCUAUGGGCGAGGUAAGUUUGUUGUGCUCCAAUGGUAAAGCUAAGCAAGGAGAGGAACAACAGAGUUAUGAAGGACUUGUAGACAAGCAUUUUUUCUCUUUCUUUUUUUCCUAGGACCAUAACAGUGGUGAUCUUCUCAAUAUGGGGUUUUCUACCGGCACCUAAAGACUUGGUACCUCUAGACACCAACCGUCAAAAGCAGGUGAAGCCAAUGUAAUGGUCGUGUUGGCUGGUUGAAUGCUGUAAAGACAUUUACACGUCUGUGACGGAUGGAAUAGGAGUUGGAGAUAAACAUCAAGUGCAGCUUUCACUUUAAUGGUGCCUUAAAGUCGCAGGCCCACACUCUAAUCGGAAGUUAGUGCUCCGUAUUGAAACAGACUUUUCUCAUUACAUAUUUACAUUUAGAUUUCUUUGUUCCUGUGUCGAAUUUGUCCGUAGCAUCCCAUUUAUUAAAGGAGUUUUUUUUUUUUUGGAAUAGUAGUAUACAGUAAUUUUUAUGAUUUAUUUUUCAAAGUUCUUUAAUCUUUUGUUCUAAGAAGUAUAGUUUAAUUUAGUAGUAAAUGAUUGAAUUAAUUCUUUAAAUAAAAAUGGAUAUACUUUUGAAAAAUAAAAUCAAAUACAUCUAUAGUCAAUAUAUUUUUUUCUCUUUUGUAUAUUGAUAUAUGAAGAUAGCUCCAAUUCUUCUGUCGAAAAAAUUAAGCACAUCUUAUGGUUGUCAUUCAGUCAAAAACGGCUUAAUAAGUGUUCAGAAGCUAGAAUCCUAAGAAUAGUGAAAUAAAGGACGAUGCAACCACUAAUCAAUCACCGAGGCGAGAUAUUUGAAAUUGUAACCUCAUUAACAGAACAGACUAUCAUUUGAAGUGGAUUGAAUUGGUUCUGCAACAACACGUCCAACAGAAAAUGCAGGUUCUGCUGGUAGAGGAAGUGUUGUGGUCUCGCUUGCCAACAUGACAAUCACAGUUGACAUGGUAGGUCUGUCCGCUGGGUCUUCUUCCACGCACAACAGCCCGAUACGGAUGCAUUUAAGAACCUGAGUUGGCACAGACGACUGAACAAGGAGCGGGUCUAUUAGCUCCAUUCCUUGACCUUUAGACCAUAGUUUCCAUGCCUGUAAUGUUAAUUAGUAUUAGAAUGAUACAGCAAUAUAGCCAUCUAUUUUUUGAAGACAAAGAUAGGAUUAAAACGUACAAAGGUUAGGAGGCUUUCACCACGCUCGGAAAGAUGAAAGCCAUUGUUCCUUUUGCCGCUUAUUAUCUCCAGUAAGAGGACUCCGAAACUGAAAACAUCGGAUUUGACUGAAAAAAUCCUUCCAUAGCAUACCCUGGUGCCAUGUAUCCACUAUUUCAGUUUAUAGGAAUAGUUAAAAUCAGGUUAGAUUACGGAAAUCUCAGAACAAAGAAUCGUUAAGUUUGAACAUUGUGCUGUCAUAAAAUUGAAGGAUGACUACAAAUUUUAGAUUGUAAGGAACAGCCAUGUUCCUCUUCAGAAUGAACCUCCGCAAAGACUAUGAUCUGAUGUAUUGCUUUUCCAUUUUACGAGUUCAAUGCUGAUUCUUUCUUUUCAAUAAAAUUUUAUUUGACACAGAUGCAAUAUUAAAGAUCAAAAGAAAACAAAUGAAGAACCUAGAUUGGUAAAAAAAAAAACAGAACUGUGAGCCUAGAAGGCAUGGGAUAGUGGACUUACUAUGUUCCAACCACUCUGUUUGUAUUUGCUUCAUUUUGAUAUGCACCAAAAAUUCUAGCCAUUCCAAAAUCUGAUAUCUUUGGGUUCAUCUCGUGAUCUAGCAAAACAUUGCUAGCUUUAAGAUCCCUAUGAAUAAUUCUAAGACGAGAAUCCUCAUGUAAAUACAGGAUGCCUGGGGCAAUGCCAUUAAUAAUGCUAAGACGCUUCUGCCAAACCAGUUGCACACCAAUGCUUGAAUCUGGAAAAGAACCCCCCAAAAGAAUGUAGUAGUUAGUUGAUUUUUUACCAUAUUUCAUGAAGAUUCCUGUUAAAAAACAGAAUGAAUAAAGCAGAAACAAGAAUUUUUUGUUUGAGGAUCAAACCCAAGAGGAACACAUCAAGGCUUUUAUUGGGCAUGUAUUCAUAGACAAGCAGUUUUUCGUUCUGCUCCAAGCAGCAGCCCUGGAGUCUCACCAGAUUUCUAUGUUGUAGUCUGGCAAUUAACAUGACUUCAUUCUUGAACUCAAGUAACCCUUGCCCAGAAGUUCUAGAGAGCCUUUUAACUGCAACUUCUUUUCCAUCUGCCAAUUUGCCUUAAAAGAAGGAAUUAACAAGCAUCAUAAAAGAACUAAUUAUGUGAACUGUGAAGUUGAAGAAGCGCAUCGUAUACUAAAAGUAUAAUACUCCAUCACCAUAGUUACCUUGUACACAGGGCCAAAUCCACCUUCUCCAAGUUUAUUUUCAUCACAAAGUUGUUUUGUUGCUGUUUGUAAAAUAUCUAGCUGAAUCGAAGGGAAAUCCUUAGAUCUCACGCCACUCUCACCUUGAAAAUUUUCAAUUGAGUAGCCGUCGCCAACUCUUUCUCCUAAUCCAAGUAACUGAACUUCUUGGCUGUUAUGAUCUAUAUUCUCUUCAAGAGAAAACAAUAAUUGGCAAAACAACAGAGUCAAGAAAAAAUGAGGUGGAAGUGUGAUCCAAUGCAUACCAUGAAAAUUUCUCCUUCUCCAACGGAAAAUACCUCCACAACAGAACAGGGUGACCCCAAAAAUUGCGGAUAAACUUGCAACAAUAGGAAUCCAAUUUGGUUCGCCUUGUUUGCCACCUUCUAAAUCUGUUACUCCAAAACAAAGUUAUCUUUCAGUUGAUUUUUAGUGGAAUAAAUUUCUAAUUUUUGUAUUCUUCUAGCUGCUUCUGUUUGGCAGAUAUUAAUUAAUUUGCAAUUAGUUUCUGUAGCAGGUAUUUUUCCAACUUUCUUUUUUGAUGGGUGAAAAUUUCAGUAACUAAAAAUUAGGCAAGCUUAAUUCUCUAGCAUCUGAUGAUACUAACCGUUUGAGCCACUUGUUUUGUUUACUGAAGGAAGGGAUGCUUCUGAUUCAACUCCAGGAUUCUUGAUUAUCGUAGUGUUUGUUGAUUCGUCUCGAGGUUUUCCAUAAAAUGGAUAUAUCUCAUACCUGAUGCUACAGCUUGGUCGUAAAAAUCUCCCACCUUGUCUUCCAGUCUCUAAAGAUAGGAUUGAGCUACGUAGACAAGAUUGACAGUCUGCAACUGACAAAUCAGGGGUGCAUUGAACAAGGCCAUACAGCUUCAUGGAAAUUGAAACAUUAACUUCUGUAGUUGCAUACAUGUGGUUAGAAACAUUUGAAAGCAUCCUAGUCAGAUUGUCGAAAGUCUCGGCCAAAUUCUUUUCAAAUUUAUCAAGGUCCGUUAUAUUUGCAUCAUUAUACAUAGCAAAAGCAGGUGUUAGCUGCAUGGUAGAGAAGAAAGAUCUAUAGGAAUAGCGCACAAGGCAUGCAUCAUAAUAUAUAAUCGCUUCUUUGUCACCAGCGCAAUCCUCUAAGAUCUUAGCGGUUGCUAAGGCAAUGCAGUAUUGGCAGAAAUUGGGUUAAACAUCACCUCGACAGAGGAAAAGGCCAUAAACCUUCUCUGGAUUUUCCCUUGCCGUAUCGUUAAAGAAACUAUAAAUACUUCCUUGGUCAUUAAACCGCCGGAUGAGAAGGUGGUUAAGGUUGUUCGCGAACCGAAUACUAGAAUUAAAUAUUUCUGAACAUCUUGUAUAGAGAUAAGCCUGCUGCAUUUCGGACACGUUUUGUGGGAUAACAAGGAGCGAAGAAGAAAGAAAGAGGAGCAGGUAAAAUGCGCCUGAAACAGAAAGAACAACAUAAUAGUGCAUCAUCUUCUUCCAAUGCUUUUCAAUAAUUCAGAAAUCUUAAGACCAUAAUCUAUCCGGAAUGGGUUAUUAACCGAGACUGAGAGGCCCUCCUCGACAAAUUGACUUGUUGACUUCUAAAGUUUCCGUCCACCGCCAAAAUUAUCUCCACACCACGAUCUGUUGCCUCGUUUGGCAAAAACGUUACGCUCUGUUUUCUCGUUAACGUGCAGUUUGCAUCUGAAUUUUUUUUUUUAGUAUUUUAAUAAAAUAAUAAUUAUUAAUUGUUUUGGUAACCAUGAAAAUUUCUGAUUAAUUAUUUAUUUUAUGUUGUUAACAAGUUUUUACUUUGCUAAACUAAUUAUUUUUGUUAAGUUCACUAAUUUUUAAGAUUCACCACUUUGUUAAAGCUUAAUUUAUUACAAUUGAAUAAUUGAAUAAAGAUUCUCAAUAAAUUAAUAAAAAAUUUAUUUGUGACAUGAGUAUAAUUUGAAAUUUGAUCAAAGGGAAGAGGUUAAUAUAGUCUACACACCAUAAAAUAAUUUUAUUUUAUUUUUUAUAAAAGACAUACCCUUUCAUUCGAUAUGUGUAAUUAAUGUUACUGUAAAUCAGCUUUAUGCACAUGUUACGUAUUAAUUUAUUAUUAUAUAACAAUAUUGAUAUAAUUUUAAUUACUUAUAUAAUAAGAGUGCUUUUGCUUUCCAAUCAAUGUGAUAGAGUGACAUAAUAUCAUUGAUAUCUCUUGAGGUGAUGUGAUUACUCCUCCGAGAAGGAUGUAAUAUCCAAGCAGAUGGAGAAUUAGCCACCAAGUACAGUCACUUAGAUGUUAGGGAUGAUUAUAGUUUUGAUAUUAUUUAUUAAGGAUCAUUUAGUUUUGAUAUUAUUUGUUAAGUAAAAUUUUUUUAUCUAAUUAAAUAAGUGAAAGUUAAAUUAUAUAAUCAAUCAAUCAUAUAAAAAAUAUUAAUUUAAUAUAAUUCGAUCCAAUUAGUUUAUGUCUACAAAUAAAAAAAAUCAUUAGUUAUAAAAAAUUACAUUAAAAUAUUAAAAUAAUCACUCACAAUUACACCUAUAGACCUUCUCAAUCUCUUCUAAUUCUCUAAAGUAUUCUCAAUCUAAACAAACAUAUAGCUAUAUAUACCUUUUUAACACAAAGAAACACAUACCCAUAUGUACUCAUGUAUCAUAUCUAUAUAGACUAUCUCAAUCUCCUCUAAUCCACUCACAAACAUACAACAUAUACAUUCAUAAGAUGUAAAUCUCUAAUAGUCUUAUAAGUUGUCUAUCACAAUAAAACUUUACAACUCUCUUUCAUCUUUUUCUUAUUCAUGGACUUAGGUCAAUUGGAUCGAAUCAUGUUAAAUUAUUGUUUCUUGUGUGAUUAUUUGAUCAUUUGAUUUUGCUUUCGCUGGCUUACUUGGAUUGGGGCUUUUUAACCUAACAAAUGGUAUCGAAGUUGUAAUAAUUUCUAAUAAAUUAUAUCAGAGCUACGGUAAUCCCUAACAAGUCGUAUCAAACUCAAAGGUUCAAGCCAUUGGAAAAGGUAAGUCCAGAAGAGCUCGAUUCAAGAAAAAAAUUAGAGUUCGUAUUUUAAAAAUUAAUUUGCGUGAAACAUGAAGGUACACAAAAAAAGAUGAUUGUGAGAUUUUUAUUACAGGUACAGUCAAGCAUGUCUAAUAUGAAAAUAUAUGAUUUGAUGAAAUUUGAGUUAAGGUGAAAAUUGUUGGAAAUAGUAACUCAAAUCCCAUAACAGAUUUGUUUGAAAAUUGAUUAGAUAUUAUUUGAUGGACAAGAAGAUUUACUGACGAAGAAUUCUAAAAGAAAAUGAAUUUUUAAUAGGUAAGUUUGACUUACAAAAGAAAAUUUUUAAAAGUAAAAAAAUUUUUAAUAGGCAAAUAUGUAUGUUUAUAAAUAAGUGAACUCUCUACAGGAUUAGGUAUGAGAAAAAGAUAUAAGAGAGUUGUAGGAUUUUAUGAGAUAGACACCUUAUAAAACUACUAAAGAUUUACGUCUUAUGAGUGUGUAUGUUUAUAUAUUUGUAAAUGGACUAAAAGAUAUUGAGAGGGUCUAUAUAGAUAUGAUGCAUGGGUGCACAUAGGUAUGCGUUUGUUUGAGUUAAUAAUACUUCAUAAGACUAGAAGAGAUUGAAAGUAUCUAUGAAUAUUAAUUAUUGAGUGAUUGAUUGAUUUGAUAUAUGUUUGUAACUCUCUAUAAUUAGUGGAUAUUUUUUUCAUCUAUGGACAUAAGUUGAUUUGGUCGAACUACAUUAAAUUGUUGUCUCUUAUAUGAUUGUUUAAUCAUUUGAUUUUGCUUUUGUUGGCUUGAUUGGAUUGGAGUUUUUUAGCCUAACAUUAGACACGUCGUGCGAGACUUAAAAUAAAUAUUUUUAUUUCUAUAUUUGUAAAUUCUCCCUUAAAAAUUAUUUAAAUAAUUUUUUAUUAUUGAAUUUUGCUUACAAAAGUUCUAAAAAAACAUUUUAAAAUUAUUAUGUUAAAUAAUAUUUUGUUUCAAUAUAUUGAAAAUUAAUAUAUUAACUAUCAAUUAUUCAUUAAAUAAAAAUAUUAUUAUAAAUAUAAUAUUAAUUAAUCUUAAAAAUUUCUUAAAAAUAGUCAAGUUAACAAAAUUAUUUACUAUUUAUUAUAACAUUUCUUAUUAUUAAUACCAGACACUGCCUUGAAAAAAAGAAAACAUUUAUUAUUGAUAACAAACACUCCCUUGAAAAACAGAAAGCAUUUAAACUUCCUGGAAAACCAGUAAGCCAGUCACGACAUUGCACUUUUCAACUUAAAUUGAUCAAUUGACAAUUUGCUGUGUGUACAGAGCAAAGUUUUCGGCAUGCACCCCGCAACUAUGCUUGUCAGCUAAAGCACAAAAUUAAACUCUUAAGGGGUCCAUUGCUAUUUCUAUUAAGACCUGUCAUGAAGACCAAUUUAUGGCAGGAAAUGGGGAAGGAAAUUAUGGCACUUUUAAAGGUUUUGCAGAGGAUAGAAAAUUAAAAAGAUAAAAAAUUGAGAGAGAAAAAAAUCCAAAUUAAGAUGGAAAAACUAUGAUUUUUUUUGUUGGUGUGAUUUUGUAAGAAAAAUUAAAAAAUGGAUGGAAUUAAAAUAAUUUUUCUAGAAUCGGCUCGAAAAUCUCAAAUUUUAAUUUUAAUUUUAAUUAAAAACAAUUAAAAUAUUUUUUUUACAUAGUCUAAUUAUUUGAUAGAGUUAAAAAAAAUAACAUUAUUUUAUCAUAUAUAUUUUAAAUAAAAAUAAAACAAUUCUAAAAGUAAAUAAAUAUUUUAUGGAUUUAUAAUAUUUGACUCACUCCUUUUUUAUUUUCUCUUGUUUAUUUUUUUUAUUUCAAAUGUUUUAUUUAUGAAUAAAAAUAAGAAAUGACAAUCUCUCCUAUUAUUAUUUUUUAUGAUAGCUUAAUUAACCUAAAGGUAAAGCUUCAAUAUUAUGAGUUAUAAAUCCUAACUGGCAGUUACCAUAGCAAUUUCGGGGAAAGGGCUUUCAAGUGAAGGUCAUAAUAUAUUAUUACAGAUUUUCUUGUUCAGAGUUUUCUGGUAAACUAAGUAGAAAAUAUAAAUGCAACGAAUUAAAAGGUCGUACGUAUCAACGAGUGUGUGACUUUUGCGGUUGAAGUCGAUUCCGAGGUUGAGUAUUAUUUUCCUAACAACAGGCAAAUGGAAACUUCGAGGGAAAGAAAAAAGAAGAGAAAAUCAUUGAUUCUACGUACAACUGAGGCAAAUAAAGAAAUCGGCGGUAAACUUUACCAACAAUUGGAGUAGUUCCAAGAAGGUACUUAUUAGCCCUUUCAUCACUUUAAAGCCGGACGAUGCACUGGGAUAACUUGACCUACCCCAAACAGAAAGUUCAACGAUCAACGAACUGCACUGGAUAUCUUUUCUUGUCUGAACUUGUCCAUAAAUAUUAGAAGUCCUAAUAAUGCUAAAAUUAAAAAAGAAAAGUAUCUUAAAUUUCAUAACUUUUAUUAAAUAAAAUUUUAUAUUUUUAUUAUAUUUAAAAUUUUUUUUAAUAUUUAAUUUGUACUCAUAUAAUACUUUAACAUUUAAUUUGCAUGUAAAUAAGUUAUUAAACUUUUAAUUUAUACAUAAAUAAUUCCUUAUACAUCAUUCUUUUAUUUGAAAUGAAAACUUAUUUAUAUACAAAUCAAAUUAUAAACAUUUAUUUAAAUAUAAAAAAUAUAUAAGAGUUUAUUUAAAAAUAAUGAAAUAAUUCAAAGAUUUUUUUUUAAUAUUUGGGCUUACUAAUAAUUAUGUCUUGCAUACAUCCAUGUGAGACAAUUAUUAAAACCUGGUAAAUUGAAAGAGGUGUCGAAUAUUUAUGUAUUAAAAGGGUGUAAAUGUUAGAUGGCCUGUGAACAGAACAAUCUCAUCAAUAAGAGACGGAGUCAUAAUUUAUGAUAAGUGAAAUAAAUAUUUUAAGUUAAUUUAAAAUUUUUUUCAUUAAAGUAAAAUUAAUUUUAAAAAUUAAAAAUAAAAUUAGCACGUAUAACCUUUUUGUAAAUGAAAAUAAAAUUUUGUUUUGCAAAUAUAAAUAAUAUUUGCGUAAUUAAUUAUAUGAUUUUUUACAAAUAUAGUCUAAACACUAUUUAGAUAAAUCAUUUAUCUUAAUAGACACACACACACACACACAUAUAUAUAUAUAUAUAUUGAUAUAUUAAUUUAAUAGAAUUUUACUUACAAAAUUCUUAAAAAUAAAUAUAAUAUGUGAAAGAAUGAAAUAAAAAUUAAUAUGUUUAACUUUAUUAUUUACUUUUAAUAUGUUUAGUUUUAUCAUUUAUUUUUAAUAAACAAAUAUAUUUGAUAUUUAUUCAUUAUAAUUUGAAAAAUAAAAAAUUAUUCUUUUCUUACAUACAAUGAAAAGAAGAAUGAAGAUGAUUUUUUUUUUAUUUUAUUACUUCAUAUUUUUUUAUGUUUUUUUAUUUUGUGUUAAAAAGUGGUUAAAUCACUUAUGUAGUGUAAGCUCCAUAUCACAUUAUUCCUAUAAGAUCAAUUUGUAUCAAUCUAAACAAAUUAUUAUGAGAAAUUAAAAAUUUAACAAUUUCAAACUCUCUAGAAAUAAUUUAUUUUAUUUUUUACAAACUUGAAAUAUAUAUAUAUAUAUAUAUAUAUAUAAGUAUAUAUAUAUUAUAAUGAUAUUGCUUAGCACUCAAAGUGUCAAUGUUCAAUUAUUAGAUAAAUAAUGAAAAAUUUCAUAUAUGAACUUUAACUUAGUGGGGGGCAAAUAUGACAACAAAGAUUUUUUAUAAGGACAAAACUUUAAAUUUUCAAAACUUUUGAUAUUUUUAUAAUAAACCCAAAAGAAUUUUAUGAACUCAGUGGGGCAACUGCCCACACAUGCUUCUACGUAGAUCUGCUCCUGUCAUCAAUAUUUUCUUUACAUUUGAUAGAACAAAAAUGGAAUAGGAAUUUUGAACAUUGAACUUUUAUCUUAUCAAGAAGAAUUUACAGCAGUUAGAUUAAAUUCAUCAAAUUUUUUACUCGGCUAAAUAUGUUCAGCGGGCUGAGAUAUUAGAUAUUGUCAUCAGAUUUAUUAAUGAAUUUGUUGUAGAAAGGCUGAUCAACAGGAACAACUCUGCCAAUAGGAAAAAGCAGGUCUUUUGGUUCAGGAAGAGCAAAAGAGGGUCCAUUAGGUCCAAUUGUUUUCCAUUUUUCCAUAGUCACCAGGCUUGCCAACGAAUCACUAUAAGAAAAUAAAAGAUUAGUGACAAUUUUGUAGCAAUAUUUCAUUUACAAAUAUUAUUAAUUUAUGUGUUUUUAUAAAAUUUAAAGCGCUUAUUAUCAAAACAUCAUUAAAUAUUUAAAUAGCGACAUUGUUACUUAUAAACACCACUCAAUACUUGAUAUUAGCGACAUUUAUCGACUAAAACGUCUUCAAUAAUCUUGUCUUAAAAAUUUGAAUGAAUAUUAAAGGAGUUUUUGGUAGAAAAUGACUUAAAUAAUCUCGUUAAAAAAAUUAAUAAAGAAUUACUCAAGGCGUUUUCUACAUGAAAUGCUUUUAAUAAUUUCAUAAAAAAAUUCAACAGGGAUAUUGAAGGUGUUUUUAAUUAAAAAUACCUUCAACAAUAUCCUAUUAAAAUUUUAGGAUCGUACGGAUGUUAACCAUAAGGUGGUAAGUUCGAUCCCUUCAUUUUGCAUUUUUUAAGUUUUUACAGAGAUUAUUUAUAAUUGAUUAUUCUAGGUAUUUUCUGGGCAAAAAUGCCUUCACCAAUCGAUUUAAAAAAUUUUAGAGAGAAUAUUGAAGGCGUUUUUGGUAGAGAAAUGCCCUCAAUAAUCCAUAAAAGAAAUAUGGAACCGAUUCUUGAAGAUAUUUUUGGCUGAACUCACCUUCAAUAAUCCAAUCAAUAAACUUUUAGUUUGGAUUAUUAAAGGCGAUUUUUGUCAAAAAUGCCUUCAAUAAUCCAUACACAAGUUGAAACGGAUUCUUGAAGGCGUUUUUGGCUCAAAAUGCCUUUAAUAUUUCACACGAUAAAUUUAAAUUGUUGGAUUAUUGAAGGCAGUUUUUAUAAAAAAAUGCCUUCAAUAACAUGUUGUUAGGGAUUAUUCAAUACGUUUUCCAGCAAAAAAAAUGCCCUUAAUAAUCCAUAGGAAAAAUAUGGAACAGAUUUGUGAAGGUGUUUUUGGCCAAAAGUGCCUUCAAUAAUCCAUUCAAUUAAUUUUUAGUUGAUAUUAUUGAAGGUAAUUUUUUUUUUUUAAAAUGCCUUCAAUAAUCCAUACAAAAAAGUUGGAAUGGAUUAUUGAAGGCAUUUUUUAUCCUAAAUGCCCUUAAUAUUCUACACAAUAAAUUUUUAGGUGGGAUUAUUGAAGAUAGUUUUGGUAAAAAACUCCUUAAAUAACAUUUUGUUAAGGAUAAUUCAAGGUGUUUUCUUGCUAAAUAUGCCCUUAAUUUGUUUGUAGGAAAAAUAUGAAACGAAUUCUUGAAGGUGUUUUUAGGUGAAAGCGCCUUUAAUAAUCCAAUCAAUAAAUUUUUAAAAUAGAUUAUUGAAGGUGGUUUUUGUCAAAAAUACCUUCAAUAAUCCAUACAAAAUAUUUGGAAAGGAUUCUUAAAGGCGUUUUUGUCCCAAAUCGCUUUUAAUAUUCCACAUAAUAUAUUUUUAGAUAGGAUUAUUGAAGGGGAUUUUAGUUAAAAACUCCUUCCAUAACAUUUUGUUACGAAUGAUUAAAGGUAUUUUCUUGCUAAAAACGCCUUCAUUAAUCCUAUGAAAAAAAUAUUUUUGAUAUUAUAUAUGUCAAGUCAGUUGUAAGUUUAUGCCCAGAAAACAUUUAAAGUCAGUUGUACAUUUAUGCCUAGAAAACAUUUGGUUUAUAUAUGUGAUACUAUGAAUUAUAUUUUGGAAUUUACAUAAUGAAAAUUGUUGUAUUUUAAUAAAUUGACGACACAUUCGAAUUUAAAACUAAUAACGUUGCCAUAUUACUAUACUUUCUGAAAUAAUCGUACUCAAUAAUAUAUUAAGUACACAUAGUGUAUUCAUAUAAAAUAAAUAUAUACCAAUAAUAUUAAAUCAAUACCCCAAUCUACAAACUUAAAAUUUUCAUUCAACAUGGCAUGUUAAAAAAUUAUAAUAAUUUGUUCUUCAUAUAUUUACAUUUAACCAACAAUGCUAAUCUCAAGGUUUAUCAAUAAUGAUAAAUGAUAAUAAAUACUCACACCAUUCUUUAAGGACUUCAUCCAGUUCCUCUACUGUGAAGUUUUCUUUACUCUCUCACUAAAAAAAAAAAUAGAAGUAAAUGUUAAUAAAUGAGAACAUAAUUUAGUUUUUUAUUUUUUUGAAGAUAUAACGAGUUUAUGAAAUUUAUACUAACCUUGAAUGGUGUGAUUAUAAAAUCAUAUAAAACUAUCUCCUGCAUAAAAAGAAGGACAUAAUAUCCACAUUCAGUAUUACUGGUUGAUGAUGUACCUGAAAAUUAAAUUGAGUGGGUUUAAGAAAUAUUUAUCUACACAAACUCAGUAUAAAAGAAUAAAUUUUACAUUUACCGAUAAUGACACCCAUUUCAGUUUCUUUGCCUUCUUAUCAAAUAUAGAUAUUAUCUUAAAUUGAAAAGAAAAAAAUUACUUAAUACAUAAAUAAAAUUACUUAUGAAAAACAAAAGAUAUAUAAUAUAAUAAAGUGUAAUACCUCUUUAUAAAAGUUUGAAUUUUGGUGUUAGGCAUCACCGUUGAUUAACUGAAUUAAGUAAGUAUGGCGUUAAGGAUUUGGUGUCAAUCACAAUAAGCACCCAAUGAUGACUACUAAAUAAUGACAAUGUUAUACUCAGAUUAUUUAUCAUAUUAGAUUUGGGUAAGGUUGAAAUAAUUAUUUGUAUGAAUAUAACUUACCGUGCAUUAUACGAGAGCAAAUAAUAAUCAGUCGAUCUUUUCACGUAUUUAAUCAUAUGAUUAGCAUGAUAAGUGACUGUGCCACUCUGCUCACUAAUGAAGUUGGGGUCAACGAAUCUAAAUUUGUUGGUCAAUUGUCUCCCUUGAGCUCUCUAUAUAGGAAGCUACACGAUAACAAUCAAUAAGACUAGUUAGUAUUACACCAUAAUAUAGAUUAAUACAUAUUGAGGGUGCAUAUUUGUAUUUAUAAGCUAACCUCAUAUAAGCAACAAUAUCAACAACUGAUAAUUCAUCCAAUUCAUAAAAAUUUUUAACCUCCUUCACACCAAUGAAAAAAAAAUGAUGGUUUAUCAAAUAAUCCUUCAUCAGACUCAAUGGUUAUGAAGUUUCCUCUGGAUAAAUGCUUCAACAAAUAAUUAGAUAACUCAUCCAUAGUAGCCUGAGCAAGGGUCAUACUCUGAGUCCCAACAUCCUACUACAAUAUUUAAUGAAAUAUAAAUAUUAAAACCAAAUAAAUAAAUAUAAUAAAUAAAUUAAUAUUAAACUUAUAAACAAAAUUAUACUUCAUGAGUGGUAGUGGAGGUUGAGUUCAUUGCCUGACUUGCAACGGAAGCUUGUCCUACGUGGAUAAUGCUAUUUGACUGGCCUACUGCCAUACUAUGCUACAUUGUUGCCAAUAUGGCCUUCAAAGCAGCGAGUCUUUGCUGUUGCUCAUUGAGGCAUUACUCAUGGUUAUCAAGUCAUUGUUGUUGUUGCUCAAUGAUUGCUUCAUAUUGUGCAUUUGUCAUUCGUAAAGUUUUGGGUUGAUUAUUAAAAAACUUUGAUGACAAGAAAAAUUUACCAAUCCCAUGAACCCGACCAAGCCUUUCUUUAGUACUUAAUGCUAAAGAUAAUGGAUCUUCUCCAUACUGGAUUAUCAGUUCACCAGAUUUGACUUUGGAAACAUAAUCAUCCUAAAAGACAAUAAUAAUAUGGGCUGUAACAACAAAUCUAUUCAAGCUAGUAUACAAUUAUGCAUACAACCACAAUGCUAAUCAUACAUUAUAUUAAAAAAGUAGUUAUACAUACAAUCUUUUUCGGUAUUUUUUCAGUUGCUUCAUUUGCAAAGGAUCUAUAUUUUUGUAGAUGUCCUUAUUUUCAGACAUCCCAUCUGAAAACUUCAGUACCAGAGCUUGCUGAUUUCUAUUAAAUUACUGCAAUAUAAGAAUCUGAAUGUAUGAAAUGAAUGUUCAUAAAUAUUCAUUAAUGAGUAUAAAAUAAGUGUGCGAAUUCAUACAAGUUCAUACUUCACAUUUGCAUAUCUUUUUCUUGUUGUUCAAUGGUGAUAUUGUUGUUUGGCUCAAAUAUUCUGUUGGUUUUCUUUGAUUUUCUACAAAAGAAAAAAAUUACGUCAAUCACAUAUGAAGAUCAAAUGAUAUAUUGCAUAAAAACCUAUAAACAAUUUUUUUGGUAAUGGGUUUGCAUACUGAGAAAUCUUCUGAAAGUCGAUAUUGAACAAAAUUUAUCCAAUCUUCAACACUUAUUACAUCUACAUAUGACGCAGGUGAAAUAGCCAAUACAUCACCUUGAUUAGCCAGCGGUAAAAUAUAUUGGGUUGUUAAUUUGCUUUUAAAAUCUCUGAAUGUUUUCUCAGCAGAUUGCAACACAAUCUUUUUAUAGUCAAUUAAGACAUCAAACCUUCCUAAAUAAUUUAACACAAUUAGUAUGAACAAAUUGAAUUUUAAUUAAAUGAUUAUUUAAUAAAUUUUACGAAAUAGUUGAAUAAACAUACCACAAUCGACUGCCAUAUAUCAUCUUUUAGAUCAUUAGAAACUCAUCACCAAUUGGUGUACAUAAUUGAAAUCCUAUUACGGACGAUGGCUCCAAUAUGAGUAGUCAACUUGGUAGCUCCUUCAGACACAAGCUGCCCAUUUUGAUUGAAGUCAAUGUGAAUUUUUGUGUCACUCACUUUAAUUUGUUUAUUUGGGCCCCUUCCCUUUUUUUUUUGGCCUAUAGGUGUGUCUUGUGCAUGUUUAAUAGAAGGAGAAUGAUGUUGUUCGAAGUUUAUAAUACAUGUAAUUUUGAUCAUAAUUAUAUGAAUUACACAAAAUAACCGUUUAAAUUUAACACUGUACAUAAUUAAAUAAAAUUAAUACCAUACUACAUACAGAAAUACCAUUCAGUAAACUAAUCAGCAAUGUGCUCAAACACAACCAUUCAGAAAUACCAUUUAGCAUACCAUUCAACAUAAAAUUUAGCGUACCAAUAUCAUACAAUACCAUUCAGCAAAAUAAUAUCACACAACAAACCACAAUAUUUAAAGAAAACUACACAGAAACAACACACAUGCAAUGAAAGGUGCUUAGGCAACUUUGCUUAUGGUGAAAUUAAUAAAAAUAUAUGCAUAUGUAAAUAGUAAAGAACCGAAAAAAAUACCUUUAUUGAAUAAUAUCAAUAAUACAGUAAACAAAAAAUAAAAACAUACCAAUAAACAUAGAGGUGCUCACCGUUGAUUUGUUAAAGGUCAAUGACGAUGAUAGGGAUAAAGAAACCAAAAGUCUGAUAGAAAUGUGUUUAUAGGUUUGGUUUGGUUUAUUAAUGCAACUUUUAAUCAUUCUCUAUACUAACAGUUUGUGAUUCUAAUGUUCAAGAUAAGGGAAUGAAUAUAAAAAUUAUAAGUGAAGGCAUUUUUCUGAAAAAAAGGCUUUCAAUAAUUCCUUUAAAAUUUUAGUUGUAGAUUAUUGAAGGUAUUUUUUAUUAAAAAACACCUUUAGUAAUCUAAAAAAUAAUUUUCAAAUGAAAUUAUUAAAGGUGUUUUUCCUCAAGAAAUGCCUUUGAUUAAUUUAAACAAAAAUUAUUAAAGGCGUUUUAGUAGAAAAUCGCUUUCAUUGAUAUUCCUGUGAUAAGAAUUGAGGGAAUUAUUGAAGGCGUUUGUUCUUAAAAAAGCCUUCAAUAAUUAUGUGCAAAAACUAAAAAGAAUUAGUGAAGGUAUUUUUCUGGAAUAAACGCCAUUACUAACCAUCUUAAAAUUUGAGUAUUGAAAUAUUGAAAGCGUUUUUCAUUAGAAGACACUUUUAAUAAUCCCAUAAAUUUUUAAAAGAAAAUUAUUGAAGGCGUUUGUUCUCAAAAAAUACCUUCAAUAAUUAUGUAUAUAAAUUAAAAGAAAUUAGUGAAAGUAUUUUUUAAGAAUAAAUACCUUCACUAACCAUCUUAAAAUUUGAAUAUUGAAAUAUUGAAGGUGUUUUUCACUAGAAGACGCAUUUAAUAAUCUCAAAAAUUUUUUUUAAAAAAUUAUUGAAGGCAUUUUUUGAGAACAAAUGCCUUCAAUAAUUAUGUACAAAAAUUAAAAGGAAUUAGUAAAGGUAUUUUUUUGGAAUAAACACCUUCAUUAACCAUCUUAAAAUUUGAGUAUUGAAAUAUUGAAGGCAUUUUCACUAGAAGACGUCUUUAAUAAUCUCAAAAAUUUUAAAAAAAAUUAUUAAAGACGUUUAUUCUCAAAAAAUGCCUUCAAUAAUUAUAUACAUAAAUUAAAAUGAAUUAGUGAAGGCAUUUUUCUAGAGUAAACACCUUCACUACCUGUCUUAAAAUUUGAGUAUUAGAAUAUUAAAGGUAUUUUUCACUAGAAGAUGCCUUUAAUAAUCCAAAAAAUUUUUAAAAAGAAAUUAUUGAAGGUGUUUGUUCUAAAAAAAUACCUUCAAUAAUUAUGUACAUAAAUUAAAAAGAAUUAGUGAAAGUAUUUUUCUAGAAUAAACGCCUUCAGUAACUAUCUUAAAAUUUAAGUAUUGAAAUAUUGAAGGCAUUUUUUUACUAGAAAACAUCUUUAAUAAUCUCAAAAAUUUUUAAAAAGAAAUUAUUGAAUGUGUUUGUUCUAAAAAAAUCUUCAAUAAUUAUGUACAUAAAUUAAAAAGAAUUAGUGAAAGUGUUUUUCUAGAAUAAAUGCCUUCAGUAACCAUCUUAAAAUUUGAGUAUUAGAAUAUUGAAGGUGUUUUGUACAAAAGACAUGUUUAAUUAUCUAAAAAAUUUUUAAAAGAAAAUUAUUGAAAGAGUUUGUUCUAAAAAAAAGGCUUUCAAUAAUUAUUACAUAAAUUAAAAAGAAUUAGUGAAGGCAUUUUUCUAGAAUAAAUGCCUUCACUAACUAUCUUAAAAUUUGAGUAAUGGACUAUUAAAGGCAUUUUUCACUAGAAGACGUAUUUAAUAAUCCCAAAAAUUUUUAAAAGAAAAUUAUUGAAGAUGUUUGUUCUAAAAAAAUGCCUUCAAUAAUUAUGUACAUAAAUUAAAAAGAAUUAUUGAAGGCAUUUUUCUAGAAUAAACGCUUUCACUAACCGUAUUAAAAUUUGAGUAUUGAAAUAUUGAAGGUAUUUUUCACUAGAAGACAUCUUUAAUAAUCUAAAAAAAUUUUAAAAGAAAAUUAUUGAAGGCAUUUUUUGCAGAAAAUUGCCUUCACUAAUAUUCAUAGAUAAAAAUGAGGGAAUUAUUAAAGACGCAUUUAAUAAUCUCAAAAAUUUUUAAAAAGAAAUUAUUGAAGGUGUUUGUUCUAAAAAAACGCCUUCAAUAAUUAUGUACAUAAAUUAAAAGCUAUUAUUAAAGGUGUUUUUUUGGAAUAAAUGCCUUCACUAACUCCUUAAAAUUUUAGUAGUGUAAUAUUAAAGGUGUUUAGUGCAGAAGAUGCCUUUAAUAAUCUCAAAUAACUUUUAGAAAGAAAUUAUUAAAGAUAUUUUUUUUUUGUAGAAAAUCGCCUUCUUUGAUAUUUAUAGAUAAAAAUGAGAGAAUUAUUGAAGGUGUAUUAUGCAAAAUAUGCCUUCAAUAAAUACACCAUAAAAAAUUAGAUGAAAUUAGUGAAGUCAUUUUUGAGGUGUAAACGCCUUUAAUAAUCUCAAACAAUUCUACUUCGACUCUGCUAAAGGCAUCUAUAAUAUAUUCAAAAACUAUUUAGGAGAAAAUUAUUGAAGGCAUUUUUCUUAGUAAACACUUUCAAUAAUCCGAUCCAAUAAAAUUGUCCCCAAACUUAGCACAUCCAAUCACUAACUUCAAGCUUCAUCUUUAUCAUUUUACUAUUUCUCUUUCCAGUCCAACUACAAUUUACUUUCCCUUUCCUUUAGCUUUUAGUAUUUGAGCAUUGUCUUUUAUUUCAAUUAUUCAUUAGUUAUUUACUUUAGCUUUUACUUCAUUUGACAAUUCCUUUAGCUUUUGCAAUUUACGAUUUUUUUUUUGUUUAAACAAUUUUCUCUAAAACCCACAUUUCUCAAAUACCCAUUUGUAACCCAUAAUCCACUUCCUUGACCCUUUCAUUUUCUUCUUUUUUUGGGUUUCCUUUGUACCAGUUUUACCUUAUUUCAACCUCAACUACAAAUACUCUUGAGUACUAUCUAGGUGAGCAACAGACUUUUAAUAUUCAUAAUAUUAGGUAGCUAAUAAAAUAUUUCACAACAAAGAGUUCUGGUAUUCUGUAAGUACUAGUCUUGUUAUUAUAUUUUAUUUAAAACAUAGUAAACUUAAGUAUUUUGCAUGUUCAUUUUCAUAUAAAUUAUUUAUAUACAUUUAGUCUAAUAAUGUAGCAAGAACUAAAUGGAAAAGAGUUGGAUGUAAAAGUCAAUUAAGUCAAGAGUAUUGAGAUGGGUGACAAAUUUUCUUAAUUUUGCAUUUGAGAAUACAAGUCAAAAUAAUAUGAUAUUAUGCCAAUGUGUGAAGUGUGCUAAUAUCGAUUGGCAAUUGUGUGAAAUUAUUUUUGAACAUUUAAUUUGUAUUGAAUUUCUCUUAGGAUAUGUUAAUUGAUAUUUUCAUGGAGAGUCUGUACCGUUAAGGUUUUUCACUAGAGUUCUUUCAAUUUCAAAGGCUCUCCAAUACCAACAUAAUCUUUUUAUAGCAGAUUACAGUGAAGGCAUAUUGCAAGAUAUUUUUAACAUUCAUAACCAAUAUUUUUGUAAUCUUUCUCCCCAAAAUGAUGGAUUUAAUCAGUCCAAUGUUGAAAUGAAUGAAUUUCGUGAACCUAGGAUAGGUGUAGGUGACCAUCAACCUAGAGAAGAAGCAUCAAAAUUUUAUAAGUUGUUUGAGGAUAUAAAUGAAGAACUUUAUGAGGGAUCGAAGCAUUCAAAGUUAUCUUUUUGCGUUCGUCUUUUUCACUUGAAAUGCUUAUGUGGAUAGAUAGGAAACUCUCUGACUUUAUUAUUUGAGUUUAUAAAAGAAAUGUUUCUUUUUGUAAAAAUCUCUAAAUCUUGUAAGAAAUCAAAGAAGAUGAUCAAAGAUUUAGGUCUCAGAUAUGAGAAAAUACAUAGUUGUCCCAAUAAUUGCAUGUUGUAUUGGGAUGAUAGAAAAAAUCAAGAAUCUUGUCAUUUGUGUGAUAUUUCUGGUUGGAUGGAUAAAAACCCUGAUAAAAGGUUGAAUGAGGAUGGUGAUGAGGUUUGUGUCAAAAAGAAGCCUGUUAAGGUUUUACGUUAUUUUUCAUUAAUACCAAGACUUCAACGACUCUCCAUGUCUUUCAAAACUAUAAAUUCAAUGAGAUGGCAUUAUGAGAAGUAAAUGAAUAAUGGAUCAUUGAGGAUCCUGUAGAUUCUUUGGAAUAAAAAUUAUUUCCUUUUAAGUUUUCAGACUUUGCAUUUGAUCCUCAAAAUGUUAUGCUUGGACUAGCAUCUGAUGGAUUUAAUCCGUUCAAAAUAAUGAGUACUUUUUAUAGUACUUGGCCAGUUGUGUUAAUUUUUUACAAUUUGUCACCAUGGAUAGCUAUGAAGUAAUAGUUAUUUAUAUUAUCUAUGAUAAUUUUUAGGGAAAAAGGUCCAGGUAAUGAUAUAAAUAUCUAUUUUACAACAUCUUAUUAAAGAGUUAAAGCAAUUAUAAGAAGGAGUUGAGACCUAUGAUGCAUUAAAAAAAUAAAACUUUAAUAUGCGUGCUACUUUAAUAUGGACUAUCAACGAUUUUUCUACUUAUGCAAAUUUAUCUGGUUGGAGUAUAAAAGGUUGUUAUGUUUGUCCACAUUAUGCUGCUUAGACAUGUUCGAAGUGGUUACCUAAUGGUAUGAAGUUCUAUUACAUGAGACAUUAUCAAUGGUUAGAUGAUAAUCAUCGAUUUAGAUUCCAAAAACAUCUCUUUGAUGGAACUAAAGAGUUGAAGAGAUCGUCUUUACCAAUUAGUGGGUCAAUUUCUUGUUAAAGUUAAAAUAUAUCAAUUUCACUUAGAAAAAAAUGACUCCAUCAAGAAAAAGAGUGAGGACAUCUUUAAAGGUGUCUGGCCUCAUAUCACGCAAGUUGAUGAUACUGAUACUUAAGUUAGUGAUCUUUACGUUUAAAGUGAUAAAAAAGAUCAUAAAAAAGAUGACCUUAAUGAGUCUGAAUUGUAAAAAAAAGAAGUAUCAUUUUUGAGUUGCCUUAUUGAAAUAUAAUCUAUUACGCUAUAAUCUUGAUUUGAUGCACAUAAAGAAGAAUGUUUGCGAAAAUUUUAUCAGGACAAUUCUCAAUAUGAAUAAAAAAUCAAAUGAUGACUUAAAUAGUUCGCUUGACCUAGUUGAUAUGGGGAUUCACCCUAACUUUUAUUGAAAAUUACUUUCUAAUGGCAAAUAUCGAUUACCUGCUGCUUGUUUUGGGAUUUCUAAAGCCAAAAAAGAUAAGUUUUGCAAGGUUUUAAAAAAUGUCAAAGUUUUGGAUGGCUAUACAUCAAAUAUAUCUAGAUGUGUGAAUCUAAAAGAGCAAAAACUUUCUUCAUUGAAGUUAUAUGAUUAUCACAUUUUGAUGCAAUACUUACUUUCAAUUGCUUUACGUUCAUCAAUGUCAAAGUAAGUUACUUCUGUGGUAAUUGAAUUGAGUAACAUAUUUAAAUCUCUAUGUGAAAAAUGUAUGAAUAUGGAAGAGCUUGACAAACUUCAAGAUCGAGUCACGAUUACUUUAUGCCAUUUAGAGAAGAUUUUUCUUUCAAACUUUUUCACUAUUAUGAUACAUUUGGUUAUCCAUCUUUUAUAUAAAGCAGAAAUCGGUGAGUCAGUUUAUUAUUGAUGGAUGUAUCCUAUCAAAAGGUAUUAUUGUUUAAUAGAUUGAUUAGGUUUUUAUUGAUGAUCAUGCCACUCUAGUUAAAAAGAUAUAUGACUAAUGUUUUAUGCGAUAGGUUUUUAGAGAGAUUAAAGUCUUAUUGUCACAAUAAACGCUAUCGGGAAGGUUCAAUUGCUAUAGGAUAUUUAGCAGAAAAGUGUAUGAUAUUUUGUUCUCGUUAUUUGAAAGAUGUUGAAAUGAGAUUUAAUAGACCAUCGAAAAAUGUUGGUAUGUAACAUACUGAUUCUAUUUAUAAUUAUCUUUUUCAAAGUUUUAGACAACCAAUAAACAAAACUGAAAUGGUAGAGUUAGAUGAUAAAUUUGGGCAUAAGAACAUAAAUAUAUUUUUUUUUAUCAUGACUCUAUUAAAUUGUUUUGCACAUAAGUUUUUUAGCAAAAAAGUUAUUCAUUACAUUAAGCAUAAUUUAUUGUAUUUUUUUAUUGUUAAUACUUUAUCAUGAUACUUUGUAGUGAGCAUAGAAAUAAUUUGAGAGCUUCUGCACAUUAUCGAUGAUCAAACCAUCGAGAGCUUAAUAAGUUAUUCGCUAAAAACUUUUAUAAAUGGUUAGGAGCAACUGUAAGUAAUGCCAUACUUUCAAUUAUGAGAAAUCUACAUAGAAUGCUUAUAAUAUAACUAACAUUAAUAAUAUAUAUUUAUUUAUUUCAGUUUUAUAUGUUUGGAGUAGAAGGCUUCUUAAUGAAGAAGUGACGUAUCUUUCACAAGGUCCGAACAGGAUUGUGAAACGAUACAAAGGUUUCAUUGUCAAUGGAUUUAAAUUUUACACUAAAUACUGUGAGAGAUUUAGAAGUACACAAAAUUUAAAAGUUAUUGUUACUUUAUCAACUACUAGCUAUGCUAGUGCUAGGGACACAAACCCUUUAGUAAAAAAUGUUGACAAUUAUGGCAUGAUUAAUGACAUUAUUGAGUUAGAUUAUUAUGGUAAGUGAAAAUUUAUCUUAUUUUGGUGUGAUUGGGCUGAUGUGAAUAGUACAAGAGGUCUUAAGAAAGAUCAAUAUGGAUUUAUACUUGUGAAUUUUUUUUAAUUAGUUCACACAGGACAACAAUUCAUCGAUAAACCUUAUGUUUUUUCAUCCAAGUCAAACAAGUUUUUUAUUCUAAAGAUCCCAAAGAAUUGGGUUGGUUUGUUAUUCUUCAAAACAUACCUAGAGACUUAUUUGAUAUGAGGUUAGAUACCAAAGAUGAUGUUAAACAUGGCACUGAAUGUUAUCCUUUUGCUGAAUAAAACUUGGAUGAAAAUAUCUCUAGUACCUACACUCAGUGGGUCUAUGAAAAUGUUACUGAAGACAUUUAUAAACCAUGAUGGAUCAUCUAUAUUUUGUAAUUCAAGUGUUUAAGACAUAAUGUAGUAAAUGAUUGUAUGUAAUUAAUGUCGCAUUCACUAUUAUAUAUUUAUUAUAUUAUAAAUCAUACAUUAUCUUUUGAUUUAAUUAAAUCGAUAUGUUAUUUAUAUAUCGUAUGUUAUGAUUUCUUAAUUUCUCAAUGUCUUUAUAUAUGUUCUAAACUAAUAUCUUUUAUAUAUUUUCUUUUAUGAUGCAGGUAAGCUACAAUACGGAUGAGUAGAUUGAAAAGAAUACAUAUCAGAGAUAUUAGUUAAAAUCGUCUGCGGCACCUAUUGAUAUUGGUUAUGGACUGAAUCUUUUGAAGGGGAAUGAAUAUACUGUCGGAUCUAACUCAAUCACUUUUAACUUUUUAACUGAUAUUGGAUCUAGAAAUAUGAAAGAUCCAGGUUUAGAUAGUAUCCCAUCAAUUGAUUAUGCUUUAAAUUUUUUAUGCAAGUAUCAUAUACCCCAUAUUUAGAAUUUGAUUAUAAUGAUAAAAGUAUUGCCAUUUUACAAAUUUAUUUUUUAUUUUUUACAGUUGAUAACAAUGAUCAAUGGAAGACCAAAGGCCAGAUAACUUUGAAUGAAUUAUUUGCAUUACCUUUGAACGAGUGUAUUGUAGUACCUGCAAACUCUGAUAGGCAACUAAUUGGUGAAGAGGCUCAACUAUUGGUUGGAUUUCUAGGCAUGCUUGCCUAUAAUGGAAUGAAAUUGCCUAUCUAUUAUGAAACAUAGCAUAAAGUUCCAGCGAAAGUUAAGGCUGAUGCUUUAAACUUUAUUGAGGAAUUAAUAUAAUUAAUUACAUAUAAAAAUAUAAUUGUUAUACAUUUUGUUUACUUAUUCAAGCUUUUCUUAUUAUAUUAUUAUAGUCAAGAUUUGUACUUGAAAUACCAACUUCAUUUGUGCUUAAGUCAUUGAAAAAGAAAUGGAAAGAUUAUAAGCAUAAUUUGAGGAAUAAGUAUUUUGAUCGAAAUACUACUAUAAAAGUGACGAUGAAAAAUCUACCUUAUAAUGUGAUUAGGUGGUAAUAUGAACAAUUAGUUAGAUUUUGGUUUUUAAGAAAAUGAGAGGUAAUAGUUUAUAACAUUGUAUAGUAGAAUGAAAUAAUGAAAGUGUUUUAUGCUUUAAAUUGGUAAUAUUUGUAUUUCUAUCAUAUACGCAAUUAUUUUUUAUGAUAGGAAAGAGAACAAAUUGGGAUUGAUAGCAGAAAGCAACAGAAAUAUAGCCAUACAAGUGGACCAAAAAGUUUUACAAGAAAACAAAAAGAAAUAGUAAGUUUAUGAUUUUAAACUUAUUCCAAUGAAUGAACUUUUUGUGCCAUUAAAAGGUAAAUAUGCAAAUUAACAGUUAUUGUUCUAUUUUAAUAGUUUCAAUAUAUGAUAUUAAACUUAUCAAAAGUUUUGAACUUAGUUGACAUGGAUGAUAUGUAUGAAAAGUUAUUAUUUACAUCUAUUUAGGUAAAAAUACAAAUUUGUUGUUAUUGUUGUAUUUUAACAGUUUGGAUAGCUUCAAUACUUGAUAUUAAACUUGUCCGAUUGAUUGAACUUGGUUUCUAAGGUUGAUAUGAGUGAAAAAGUUGUUAUUUAUGUUUAUUUGGGACUAUUUUUGCCUUUAAAAGAUAAAAAUACAAAUUAAACUUUUGGAUGGCUUUUAACAGUUUGAAUGGCUUCAAUCCAUGAUAUUAAACUUGCCCAAAUAAUUGAAUUUAGUUUCCAUGAUCGAUGUGUGUUGUCAUAACGGUUUUAUGUCCGCCUGACGAAUUUGGAAACGAAAUAAAAAAUAAUGAAGUUGCCACCAAUCUUUUUUGGCUAGGUGCGAUUGGUCACCUAUUAAAACAUAUCCUUUUAAUGAAAUCUUAAAAUUAAUUAAAAUUUAUUAAAAAGAUAAUUUUAGGAUUUGCGCAACAAUCUAGGUUCAGAAGUAGUUUCGUGUGGGGAACCCCACAAUGCCCAUUUAAAAUGGUACCAAUUAAUUACUUGUUAUUCGUUGAUUUUGAUAAAAAUAGUAUUAUUUUUUAUGUUUGAAAAAUAAUUUCCUUGAUUGUUCAUUUGUUAGCUUUUUUUAUAUACUAUUCGAGAAAUAUAAAUUAGCACUUUUUUGUUGAAAUAAUUCUUAAAAUGUUCUAGUACGUUGGUAACAUUAGAAUAACUUUUUUUCACUUAGAGAUUUCUUAGGCAUUACUUAUUGGAAUAUCGUAGAAUCUCAUCCUCAAAAGGAUCAAAUUUACUUUUCGUAAAAAAAAAAAAUUAUGUUGUGCAUGCAAUGCAAAUAUUAACAUGUUGAUGCACACAUUUUAUUUUUUAUUUUAGAAAUUUUAUUAAUUGUUUUAUUUUUAAUUUAAAUUUUUGAAGAAAAGAAUUUUUAUUAUAUUGAAGUUUUUCUAUAAAUAUUUCAAUACACUGGUAAUAUUUUAAAAAAAAUUUCUCACCUAGGAAUUUCAUAAAGCAUCACUACUCGAAAUACUUUUAGAAUCCCAUUAUUGGAAAAAAUUUUCUUUUUCCUUAUUUAUAUUAUUAUUUUUUUAUAAAUUAAUUAAUUUUUAUUUUUUAUUAACAAAAAGAAAAAUUUUAUUGUAUUAAAAUUUUUUUAUAAAUACUCAAAUACAUAGGCAGUAUUUAAAAAAAAUCUUCUCACCUAGAGAUUUCAUAGGCAUCACUACUCGAAGUACCUUUGAAUCUCAUCGUCGGAUAAAAAUUUCCUUUUCUUAUAUAUUUUUUAAUUUUUUAAAUUUUUUAAAUUAUUUAAGGUUUAUUUUUAUUUUUUUAGUUUAUUUUAAAAUUAUCAAAAUUAUAAAAAUUUUAACAAAAUUUAUUCUAACAAAUACAAAUAAUUUAAUAUGCAUAUAUAUUAUAAAAAUAACAUAUAAAAAAAUAAAAAAAUUUUUUUACCUGAAUCGGACCCGUCAAAGGUUCGAUCAACGCGGAUCCGAUCGGUUCAACCACUUGGUAUGGCCUGGUUGGUUCGACGGUUCGAGGUCGGCCCGACUCGGUUUGAGUCGAUUCAGUUGGACUGAUUAGAGGCUGAGGGAUGGACGGGUCAUCGGGUCAGGUACGCUGACCCUGAGUCGGGUCACGAGUUGACUCGUGGAUCCUCAGGGGCUCAAAUGAUGUCAUUUUGGUUUUGGUCAUUUAUAUAAAAAGCCCUAAAUUUUUUUUCAGUUACUUUUUCCUUCUCCAAAAAAAAAAAAAAAUCUCCCUCACUCUCUCAGACAAAACCCAAGGGGACCGGCCAGUCGUAAGUCGCCGGUCACCGUCGUCGGUGAUAAAAAAAUCUUUAAAAAGACCAAAAUAUUCCUCUCAAUCUCCAAAGUCCGGAUCUGAGCUUAGUUUUAUGAAAAUAGGCUCCAAACGAAACAUAUUUGGCCUGGAAUGUUCGACAAAAAAUAUUUUUUUGUAUGUUUAUGUUAUUUUUUUGUACUGACGCCAGGUUCCCUUACCUUGGGGACUAUGAUUUUUUUUUGGUUGGUUUUUUAUGUCGAUUUUCAAAAAAAAUUUUCUUUGAAUCUGGCAAAAAUUUUUUUGCAAGGUUUCUGAUUUCUUCGAUCACUCCCUUAUCAUGAAAGAAAUGAGCUCUAUUUAUAGAGCUUUCUAAGAUUCGAAUCCCAGAUUUUCUGGGAUUCGAAUCCCAAUUUUUCAACCGACUUAGGCUUUUGGGUGGCCGAAAUUCAUGCUGUCAGGUUAGGUAAAAUUUUAGGCGACUGCUAGUGGUGGCAGUGGUGAUUUUGGACUUUAAAGAGAGUGCAUUUAAUGCACUCGUAUUUUUUGUCAAACUAAUCAAAUAGGAAAGAAGAAAAAGAAAAAAAGAAAGAAAAAAAUAAAAAAAUAAUACAAAUAAUACAAAAAAUACAAAAUGAUGUUUACAGCUGCCCCUUUUUGCCUAUUUCUGAGAAUCAGAAAUAAGGCAAAGAUAAAUAAAUAACCAUUUUGUUCGAAAAGAAGAAAUAUUGAGCACAAAUUUUUUUUUUUAAAAAAAAAUCCUCUAAAGAGAGGUUCAAGAAAAUUUUUGAAAAUUUACAAAUCUCUUUUAAGCAGAGACUCAACAACUUUUGAAAAUUUUAAAGAGGCUAUUCUAAGCAGAGGCUAAAUGACUUUUAAAAAUUUAAAGAGGCUCCUCUAAGCAAAGGCUCAACGACUUUCAAAAAUGUAAAAAAAGUUUCUCUAAGCAGAGGCUCAACAACUUUAAAAAAUGUAAAAAAAGCUUUUCUAAGCAAAGGCUCAACAAGUUUAAAAAUUUAUCUUGAAAAAGCUUCUCUAAGCAGAGGCUCAACAACUUUAAAAAUCCAUCUUGAAAAAGCUCAUCUAAGCAGAGGCUCAACAACUUUAAAAAUCUUAUCUUGAAAAAGGCUCCUUUUAGCAGAGGUUUAACAACUUUAAAUAUCUAUAUUGAAAAAGCUCAUCUUAGCAAAGGCUCAACAACUUUAAAAACUUAUCUUGAAAAAGCUCCUCUCAGUAGAGGUUCAAUAACUUUAAAAAUUUAAUCUUGAAAAAGCUCAUCUCAGUAGAGGCUCAAUAACUUUAAAGAUUAAUUUUUUCUCGAAACUGAUUUUUCAUCUUUAAACAAGUAAAUUUCUCUCUUUUGACAUCUCUUGUUUAAUUAUUAUCUUCAUCUGAAUAUCAAAAUCUUGUUUUUCAUUAAGAAAUAAAAAGUCUUUGUCUUUAUUAUAACUGCUCAUGGAUGCAUGUUCUGAGUGCUCUAAAUGCAAUGCAUAUAAUGCAAUCAAAAUUAUUCAUUGUAGUAAAAAGGUUCUUAAAAUCUCUCGUUUUUCAUUUCUUUUAUCAGAAUUCUCAACAAUUGCUAUAUGACCAAUCUGUUCUUAACAUUUGACCAUUGUAUUCUUCCAUAACAAUACUUUUCUUUUUCAAAAGUCUGCAACAUUAAUGUCUUGUCAUGUUUUUCUCAUUCUUUUUCAUCUGCUUUUGUCAACUUUUAAAAAGUAAUAUUGAGAUUUUUUAUGUUUAUUUUCCUUUUCAUCAUUUUAAGUUCAAGACAAACAAACUGCAAUCACACAUUUUUCCUAUUUGUACAGUGAACAAAAGUAUUAAAUGAGAAUAAAGGAAUGGAUAGGCAUUAUUUCUAAAGGAAAGAUAGCAUAUUUCAUUGAUGGAAAAGUGUUUGAGUUAAAACAAAGGUGCCCCAAAUAAUGAUCACAAGAUAAUCAUGAACAAAAUAUUUUCAGAUUUUUUUUAAAAACUAAAUCAGAUGACUUUCUUGAUCUUUUAGAGUUUAUCAAACUACACUUGCCCCCUAUGUUGUAAGUACAUCCAAGCUGCCUUUUCAGAUUUUCAGCUUAGAUAAGUCAUUAUUUUUUCAUUUUUUUAACUUUUUUAUUUUUUUUCUUCUUUGUUUUUCAAGCAAAAUAUUUUUUUACAGCAUCUGAAUUUAUUGGAGUAGGUAAAUCACCUCUAUCCAUCUCUGUCAAAAUAAAUGUCCCACAAGAAAAGGCCUUUUUCACCACGUAUGGGCCCUUCCAAUUUGGUGUCUAUUUUUUUUUAUUGUCAUGUUGAUUUGGAAGGAUCUUUUUUAGCACUAAGUCUUCUUUCUUAAAAUGACGGGGAUGGAUUUUCUUGUCAUGUGCUCUCAUCAUCCUUUUUUGAUAUAAUUGACCAUGACAAAGUGUUGUAAGUCUUUUUUCUCCAAUGAGAUUCAAUUGCUCGUAACAAUUUCAAACCCAUUUUGCUUUCUCUAACUCUACUUUCAUCAAGACUCUCAACGAGGAAAUUUUCACUUUAACUGGCAGCACAGCUUCCAUUCCAUAUACCAAAGAGAAUGAGGUGGCCCCAAUAGAUAUUCUGACUGAUGUUCUAUAAGCAUGCAGAGUAAAAGGUAACUUCUCAUACCAAUCUUUGUAAGUAUCAGUCAUUUUCUCUAGGAUUAUUUUUAUAUUCUUAUUUACAGCCUCCACUACCUCAUUCAUAUUUGAACGAUAUGGUAUCGAUUUACGAUGAUAGAUCUUGAAUUGAAUGCACACUUCAUUCAUCAUUUUGUUGUUCAAGUUUUUGGCAUUAUAAAAAAUAAUUAUCUCUGAAAGCCCAUAUCUAUAUAUUAUCUCUUUUUUUAUGAACUUGUAUUCCACAGUCGGGUCACACCAGCAUAUGAUGUAGCUUCUACCCACUUUGUGAAGUAAUCAAUCAUUACAAAGAUGAAUUUAUGUUCAUUCGAAGCUUUUGAAGUGAUGGGACUAAUGACAUCCAUGUCCCACAUAGCGAAUGGCCAUGGAGGAGCUAGAAUGUACAAUGUUGAUGGUAGAGCAUAAAUCUUGUCAGUAUAAAUCUGACACUUAUGACAUCUCUUAGCAUAGUCAAUACAGUUACCCUAUAUUGUCAACCAAUAAUAGCCAGCUCUCAUGAUUUGUCUAGCCAUCGUAUGACCAUUUGUAUGUGUCCCACAGACUCUGUCAUGUACUUCUUCGAUAAUCCUCUUUGCUUUAGCUACAUUCACAUAUCUUAAGAGUACUUGAUCUCGACCUUUUUUGUAAAGAACAUCUUUUUUUAGGAAGAAACUCAUAGCUAACCUUCUGAUAGUUUUUUUUAUCAUUUUGUAUUCCAUGCUCUGCAUAUUGUUGACUUUUAAUAUAUUGCAUAAUAUCAUGAUACCAUGACCUCCCGUUAACUUCUUCUUCGACAUCUGAAUAAUGUGCUAGUUCAUUAUUCACAUCCAGCUUAAUGGGUUAAAUUUCAGUAUUUGUAUCUAUUUUAAUCAUUACAGCUAGAGUAACUAAUGUAUUAGCAAUUUGGUUCUCCUCUCUAGGCAAAUGCUCAAAUUAAACUUUUUUGAAUAGUUUAACCAACUCAAAGAUGUAUUUAUGGUACCGGAUUAACUUAGAAUCUCUUGUCUCCUAUUCUCCUCGUAACUAAUAGAUGACUAGAGCAGAAUCUCUAAAUACAUCUAACACUUUGAUUUUUUUUCAAUCGCUGCUUAUAGACCCAUGACACAAGCCUCAUAUUCAGUCACAUUGUUUGUGAAAUUGAAAUUCAACUUGGUUGUGAUAGGAUAAUAAUGUUCAUCCGGAGAUAUUAAAAUUACCCUAAUACCAUGCUUAAAGCAUUAAUAGCUCCAUCAAAAUACAUCCUCAAAGAUUUUUCAACAGGUUCAUUUUUUUCAAUGGCCAUCACAUCUUCAUCGGGAAAAUUUAGUUUCAUUGGCUCAUAAUCUUCGGUUGCACGAUUGGUAAGAAACUCGGCUAUCGUACUUUUUUUAAUAACCUUUUGAGUCACAUAAAUAAUAUCAUAUUCUGAAAGCAUAACUUGCCACUGCACUAUUCUCUCUAUCAAUGAAGGCUUCUCGAAAAUAUAUUUAAUAAGAUCCAACUUUGUUAUGAGACAAGUAGUGUGAUAAAACAUGUAUUGUCGGAACGUUCGAGCUAUCCAGACUAAUGCAUAACACAUUUUCUCUAAUUGAGAAUACUUGGACUCGUAAUCAGUGAAUUUUUUACUCAAAUAGUAAAUUGUUCGUUCUUUCCUGUUAGUUUCAUCUCUUUAUCCUAGCACACAUCCCAUUGAAUUUUCAUGCACUGUUAAGUACAAAAUCAAAUGUUUUCUCAGGAUUAAUGGUACCAACAUAGGUAGAUUUGACAAGUAUUCUUUGAUCUUAUCAAAAGCUUCUCAGCAUUGGUCAUUCUAUUCUGCUGGAUCAUGUUUUUUAAGAAGCUUGAAAAUAGGAUCGUACUUAUAGGUGAGUUAAGAAAUGAAGCAAGCAAUAUAGUUAUGGAUAACUUGUAUCUUAUCUGGGUCCAUUUCAAUUCCUCUUUUACUAACCACAAAGCCCAAUGGUUUUUUUUAUUUGGCACCGAAUGUACAUUUGACAGGAUUCAACUUCAGUUGAAAUCUUCUCAACUUGUCAAAUAGCUUUUUGAGAUUAACUAUAUGAUCUUCUCUUUCACAAGAUUUUAUAAGUAUAUCAUCCACAUAUACUUCUAUUUCUUUAUGCAUCAUAUCAUGAAAAAGAGUCACCAUUACUCUUUGAUGAGUGGUACCAGUAUUUUUCAACCUAAAAGGUAUGACUUUGUAACAAAAUAUCCCUCAUAUGGUCACAAAUAUGAUUUUUUCCAUAUCAUCUCGAGCCAUCUUGAUCUGAUUAUAGCCUAAGAAGCCAUCCAUAAAGGAAAAUAUAGAGUGCUUAAUAGUAUUAUCUACUAGAGUAUCAAUAUGGGGUAAAAAAAAGUUAUCCUUGAGACUUGCUCUAUUCAAGUCUCGAUAAUCGACACACAUUCUCAUUUUUUCAUCUUUUUUGAGAACUGGCACUAUAUUGGCUACCCAUUUAGGAUAUUUUACCACUUUCAAAAAUUUGGUAUCAAAUUGUUUUUUUACUUUCUAAUUAAUUUUUAACAAUAUCUCUGGCUUCAUGCGUCUUAGCUUUUGUUGCACCGGCUUGUAUUUCGAUUUCAAAGGUAACUUGUGCUCUACAAUAUCAGUGCUGAGUCUUGACAUAUCCUGGUAAGACCAUGUGAACACAUCAAUAUAUUCUCAGAGUAGUUUUUCUAACUUUUACCUUUCAACAGGUAAAAAAGAUGUACUAACUUUGACCUCUAUUUUAUUUUCACCGUCUCUCAAAUUCACUAAUUCGAUAAUUUUUUGGUGGGGUUCAAUUGGCUUAUCUUCAUGGUUUAUCAAUUUUAACAAAUCAGGAGGGAGUAUGUAAUUAUUCAAAUCUUUCUCAUUAUCAAGUUCAUCAUCAUGAAUUAAGUUUUCAAAAUCAAAUCCGAGAUUAUUGUCAUGAUUAUUUUCAUGUUCAUUAUUAGGGACCCUGUAAAGGGUAAGAUGAAGAGAAUAUUGGCAUAAAAAAAUAAAAUGGCAAGAAAAUGAUAGAAAGAAAAAAUGGAAAGCAAAAUGAAGAUGAAAAUAAUAGAAAAAAUAUAGUGCAUCUUCUAAGUCUUUUAUUAAAAUGAUAAACAUAAAGACACACAAAAAAUCACCUAAUGCUCAUAGAAGCAAUUAGAGAUUUAAAGUUUCACAAUACAUUACUUUUCAAAAAUUUUAAAGAGAAUAGGCAGCUCUAUGACUCUUCAGUUAUUCAGCUCAAAAUCUGAAGGACAAGGGUGCACGAAUAGUUCUUCAUAUCGUCUCUUUUUUUCUUCGUCAUCCACCAUUUGAAAGGGCAACUCGAAAAACUCUUCCACGAAUCCUGCACUUAGGGCUCUAGGCAAAUCUGGGUAAAUAUGUCUUCCUAAACGAAAAGAAUCAUGAGGUAUGGAAUGACAAUAGGCUCUAACUCGGCUCAUAUCCCCCAAGAUUAGCCAUUCUUUUUUUUUUUAUUCACCAUUUUCAUUCUAUCUCUUCUUGUAGGUUUAUAUCCUAAGCCAAAUCUAUUUUUCUUGUUAUAUAUUGCUAGUGGCUCUAUAAUUCCUUGUAGGUUCCUUUUUAGUCCUGUUUCAAGUUACCAUCCCAUUUUAAUGAUCUAUUUAAUGACCAUUUUAGUAGUCGUAGAUAGGUGUGAUGAAUAUAAUUUAUAUCCUUCAGCCAUAUAUGUUACGUUAGUAAUCUCAAAAGAUCUAUACGAGCACUCUAGGACUUCAUCUAUUGCUUAUACAAUAGGAGUAUUUAUCGAUUGGGUGACCAGUAAAUCUUCUUUUCAUACCACACAUGUCAAUUUUCCAUCAAUAAUCAAUUUGACUUUUUGAUGCAAUUAGGAUAAAACAGCACCUGCCAUAUGAAUCCAUGACCUUUUCAAUAAUUAAUUGUAUGAGGGAGAGAUAUCCAUAACUUGGAAUUUCACGUUGAAAGUGCAUGAGGCCAAUUUGUAAUGGCAUUUCUAUGUCUCUCAGCACCUCUCUUCGGGUCUCAUCAAAGGUUCGAACUAUCAUAUGACUAGAUUUUAUGUAAGAUUCAUCCACAGGUAAUUUUGCCAAAGUAGUCAUGGGUAUAAUAUUGAUGGAUGAGCCAUUAUUAAUUAAAACUUUAGCCAUUAUAUGACUCUUGUAUUUCAUAGUAACAUGAAGAGCCUUGGUACUUUCUUGACAUUCAAGAGGAAUCUUUUCGUCACUAAAAGAGAUAUAAUUUGAAAUCAUUAGAUUACUAACAAGCUGUUUUAUAUAUUCAACAGAGACAUUAUGGGACACAUAUGCUUGAUUAAACACCUUCAAUAAAGCAUUACAGUGUGACUCUGAGCUUAGCAAUAAUGAUAAUAGCGAAAUUCUAGCUAACAUCUUGUUCAACUAUUCUACCACGUUAUACUCGCUAUGUUUUAUUAACUUUAAAAAUUUACAAGCUUCACUCUCAGAGACUAGCUUCUGACAUUCUUUUUCUGGGGCUGUGGCAAGAUUAUUUUGACUUUUCUCUUUUUUUUUUUACCUUUGCUUUCUCUUUUCUGGCUUUCUUUAAAGCUUUUAGAGUAUAACAUCUUUCACUUCGAGUUAUACCUUCUACGCCCGUUAUGUUUAUAAUAUCUGGAUUGACUACGACAUCACAAUCAUACUUUUAUGGUAUUAUUUUGUCAUUCUAGUAUAAAAUAAGGCCAAGAACUUUAAUUGUCACUAUUGGUCGAGAGAUGGGUUUUUUUGGCCUCGGUGUUGACUUUUCAUCAUAAUAAAUUGUUAUUGGUCUACGUACAAACUUAUUCUUUGAAUCAAUGGUAGACACUUCAGCUUUUAUCAACUCUUCUCUUUCUUUGUAAAACUCUAUCUGACCUAUAUCCAUAAACUUUUGCACCUCUUAAUGAAAUUGGUGACAACUCUCGAUAGAAUACCCCAAAGCCCCUCUAUGAUAAUUAUAGCUCUUAGUUGAGUUAAUAGCUUCAGAGCAAUUCUGAAGUUUUAUUGACUUUAACAUGUUAGCUUUGACUAAGGCUUCAAACACUUUACCCAUAGGAGUUUUGACCUCUUUUAUCCCUCUUUUCACAUAGCUUGCUUGCCCAUUAAUCAAAGCAUUUAUCGAUGGCCUAAUAUAGUUCGGUAGAGGGUUCUUAUUAACAUUUGGAGUUUCUCGUUGGCUGGUUUCAAAAUUUAACACCUCUUCAUUGAUUAAUCUUUGUACUUUACACUUCAAAAUAGUACAGUUCUCAGUAAAAUGACCUGAGUUUCCAUAAUGAUAAUCAUAAUGUGCAUUAGGGUCAUACCAUUUAAGAAACGAAGGUUUCAAAGGCUCAAUAAUAACUGGGGCUAGUAAAUGUUUCUCGAUAAAUUGAGGAUAUAAAUCUAUGUAUGUCAUGGAUAUGAGGUUGAUGUGGGUUUUCCUGGAUUUUUUUAGGGUUUUUGGACCAUUAUUUGGACUAAGUCUCUAUUCUGGUUUUGCAGGUAUAGUAGGACGAUUGUAAGAAUAUGUGGGUGUCUGAAAAGAUAGCUAAAAUUAAUAUAGAUAAGCUGGUUGUGGUAAUGGUUGGUAUGGCUAAUAUGGAUAAAGAGUGGGCGUAAUAUUAUUUAUGAGAGGAUAAUGGGUUUGGUAGAUUAGUGCAGGAUAAGGUGUGAAACCUUUGAACUGUUACACCACAUAGUUCACCGCUUGAGCUUCAUUCUCUUUCUUUUUGGGAACUCCAUCUUUUUUUACUCCACUUGUCUCUCCUGCAUCGAGCUUACCAUUUUUUAUAGUAUUUUCAAUAAUCUCACUCGAUAUCAUCAUAUCUAUAAAGUUUUUGGUUGCAUUGCCUAUCGUCUCUCAUAGUGUGAUACUUUUAAAGUAUUAAUAAAUAAGACAGUUAUUUUUUUCUCUGUGAAAGGAGGUUGAACUUAUGCAGCCACAUCUCUCUAUCUCUGUGCAUACUCUUUAAAACUUUCUAUUACUUUUUUUCAUACUUUAUAGAGAUAGAUAGUCUAAAACCAGAUCCAUGACAUGCCGAUAUUGUGUAAGAAAUGCCCUUGUGAGCUUUUGCUAGGAAUGAAUACAAGUUUUAUCUUGUUGAACAUACCAUCUAGCUACAGAUCCUAUAAGGUUAUCUUAAAAUACAUGCAUCAACAACUUUUCAUCACGAGCAUGUGCUGUCAUCUUACGAUAAUACAUGGUGAUAUGGGUUAUCGGGCAUUUUGUGCCAUCAUAUUUUUCAAAUUCAAGGACUUUAAAUUUAGGUGGAAUGACCACGUUUGGGACCAAACAAAGGUCGGCUGCAUCUGUGGAGCAAUAAAAAUUUAUUUUCUCUACGGCCCUAAGUCUUUCUUCUAAUACUUUCAUUUUUUAUUGGGCACUAGUAUCUUCUACUUUCUUGAUUGUCUUUAUCCCUAGCUUUUUUCUCUCAUUAGGAUCAUCCAAGUCAGGGAUCAAGAUUGGCUCGGGUGAUUUUUCCAUCAUAACGGGAUUAACAAAAUUUUGAAAUUAUCCUAGAGUAAGUGUGGAUGUCAUUCCUGGAUAAGGAUUGGGAUAUCCACUAGGAGUAGAAAUUUAUACUUUAGUUCCUUGAAAAAGUUAGGUCAAUCGUGGCUCAAACCUUGAAAGGUAAACAGGAUCUUUCAUAUCUGACGAUUACUCUUGAAAGCUGAUAUUUUCUUCCACUACUUUUCCAUUGUCAAGUUUUUUAAGCAUAACUAUUAUUACAUUGAGAUCUCUUCUUAGUUCUUAUUGAGCUUUCUCGAUUCUUUUAAAUCGACUAGCCUAUUUUUGCUCCAUGAUUCAUGUUUGAGUCUUAGUAUUGUAUGAAUGAUGAAUAGAUUGGGUCAAAAUUUUUAAUGGACGAGCUAUUCUUGAACUUUUAUUACCAUAAUGUUUUUUUUUUUUUAAAUUAGAAUGCUAUGUGUUGAAAAUUUUAUUUUUUUCAUUUAUUUUAUGAAAAUGAUGUACAUGAUGCAUGAAUACAAGUGAGAGAUAUUUGCUCUUAGAUGAAUUUCAACAUUAGAAAUUUUUAUUGAUUCCAUACAACUUUUAUUAUAUGAAAUUUUCCAUCAUAGAAUUAUAUCCAUAGAAGCAUUUAACUUGUUCAUAAUGGUCCUUUGCCUUGUCUAAAAAGUUCACUAGGUGUUGUCCAUAUUUUUCUAUGGGAUUGACUUCUCUUCUUAAUGCUUCUACCUUUUCAACCAUUUCUCAUGCUUUCUUCACUGCCUUGCAAACUUGAUUAGUCAGGUGCUCUAUGUACUGUUGCCUCCCUAAGUUUUUUGCUUUUCAUUUCAUAUGAGCAUCCUUUUCUGAAUCACAUGUGAAGAUCUAAUCUUUUUUCCUUCUAUGCCAUUAAUCUAUUAUUGCUAAAAUAUGGCUCUUGUGGUCUUGCACUUGCAUCUCUAACCCUUGGAUCACUUGGUGAAGUGAUUCUUUUUCAUUUAGUAUUUCAAAGUGCUUUCUUUUCUCUUUUACGAGCAUGGCUUUCAACCUUUCCUUUUUUUUUUAGCAUUCCAUCAAUCUUGCUGAGGUUGUAGAGUAUAAACCCUUCUAAUUUUAACAUUUUUGAGAAAUUUUGAUGAUCUUCUUUUGCUUUUCUUGAGCUUUGCCUUUUCAUUAGUUCAUUUCCUCUCGGAGCUCAUCCAUUUCAUGUUAUCGACUAAGAUAAGACUUGGUGACUUUUUUUAUUUUGAAUUGAACUCGUAAUCUCUUAUUUUUUUGGUGUAGAUCUUUCAAAUUAUUAUUGGUCACAUCUCAUUCUUUUAUGCUCUUUUCUAAUCUGCUCCAUUAUAUUUCUGCUUCAUAUUUUAAUUGUCUCAUCUUUUCGUGAAGUCUUAAAUUUUUUUAUUUUUAUUUCUUCUUUUUCAGCUUCUAAUUCUUUCUUGACAAGCUCACCUUCUAAUAAUUAUACUUUUGUCGAAAGAUUAGUCGAUUGGUAUGAGCUAUCAUCAGGAGGAAGUACUAUGUCUGUAGGUCAUUUUGCUUUUCAAAUAUGAUAGUCAGCGGUGACUUUAUCGAUGAAAUGCCCUAAUCUCAUUCUUCAUAUUUUCUUUCAUGCUUGAAUCAACUGCUCUGAGAUUCUUGGUGGAUUUGGUUCCCUGUAAAUGAAUUCUACCUGAACCAAGCCAUGAGUAGCAAGAACAAACUGCUUUGCACCAAAUUGUCUAAGCACCAUCAAUGAAGCGUAACUUAUAACACCCCAUAACCCUAACAGUGGUAUCCACGGUUCGUUUUCUCCAUGAUGCAACAAAGGCACACAAGGCAUCCAAGGUACCAUUAAUUCAAUUUCAUCCCCGAUAAACCUUCGUAACAAAAAGACCCACUCUUCUUUAGUCUUUAAUGUUAGCUAUUUACUUUGUAGAACUCUUCAAUUGGUGCUUUGUUUCAUAGAUACGGCUUUGAAAAUACACUUUUCUAACACUUGAAAUGACUUUAACCAACACAUAUAAUAGCGAUGCACAUCCUAUGAACUGUCUUUUUCCAUUUCGUCGACAGAAAUUCAAUGACCGGAUGGUUUCUGCCAAGACUGCUGGUGUAGGAUUAAUUGUUUAGGUUUCAAUUUGCUUGAAAAAAACUCACCACAGUUAUCUCGAUGUAACCUAAAGUCUUCGAAAAAAUCACCAUGCCAUACAAUGCUAGAGCAAACACAGCCAUGCCUUGGUCAUCAUUUAAAUUCUCCUGAAUGAAGUUUUAGAGAAAGUCCCAAUGAAUGCUGAGAUGUUCACCUUUAGGCUUUGCGAAGGAAUCAAUGGUUUCUACUUUAACCCCCAUAAGCUUGGCCAACUUUUUAUGAUAACCUGAUUUUGAUUUUCGAGUAAAUACUUUAUCUGGACACUGUAGUUCUAUUUCAAGCAAAAUCACAUACUCUUCAAUAGUUGACACCAAAUCUUUCUAAUUAAAAGUGAAGCAUCUAUAGGAUGGAUCUCAAAAUUGUAUAGCUAUCCUGACUAGCUGUUCAUCGAUCACUACUGAAAUAAGAGAUGCAAUCUACCCAUACUUCUUGUAAAAAUUUUCUUUUAUUUCUUAACUUAACUGACCUUGGAUAGCAGCUAAGUCUUCUAAAUCAUUCUGUGUGAGAUCUAAAUGCACCUUUUUGGGUAACUCAAACACAUGGCUGAUAGACAAACAAUCUCCAUUCUUUUGUUGGACUUCUUUCGAUCAAAUAUAUACUUCAUUAUACGGCUCACAUAGGACACUAAGUAAGAAUGAGCAAAUCUGUAGUUCUACAGGAUCCAUGAAAACUUCUUGGAAGAAAUAUGUCCUAAAGCAAAUAUCUCAAUACAAAAUUGUAUGAUAUGAUUAAUGCAAAACAAAAUUGAGUUAGUGUAAGGAUGCGAUUUGAGAAAAAAUAUUUGUUAAGUUGAGUUUUGAGAUUUUUUUUGUUUUGUUUUGUUUUGUAUUACACAUAACUUUUAUUCUUAGGUAUUUCCUACAAGAAGGUGGACGAGGCUCUACCUACGGCUAGUUUUUUAGGCUUAUUACAUGCUGAAUUUGGAUUGACAUGUGUCUAAAAGUUCCUAAAUUGUUUCUCACUGUCGUCCACGUUGGAUUAGUGAGGCACCUCAAUCCUCAACUAUUACAGGCUAUAAACAAAAAAAAGUUUAAUUUAAGUGAAAGUAUUUGGCUUACCAUUGCAGAGGUUAUCACCUUACGAGGGCAUAAGUACUUUACUUCCUCCUAUAAGGGACGAAACUUGGGUAUAAAGCUUAGGCAUGAGAUGCAUCAUGUUAUUGUGUGUGUAAGUAUAUAUAGAAAAAUAAAGCAUAAGAGGCAUAGUGAAAGAAAUGUAAGUGAAAUUUUUUCUUUUUGUUUUUGAUUUUUUUUACCUUUUUUGUUAAAAGUGAAAAAUAAAAAUGUAAGAAACCGAUUAGGACUGUUUAAAUCAAAAUUUGAAGAUAACACAUAGUUAGUUUUGGCUUGACUCUCGAAAACAAAAGAUAUCCCCAGUGGGGUCACCAAGCUGUCGCAACGAUUUUAUGUCCGUCCGACAAAUUUGGAAACAAAAUAAAAAAUAACGGAGUCGUCACCAAUCUUUUUUGGAUAGGUGCGACUGGCCACCUAUUAAAACAUAUCAUUUUAAUGAAAUCUUAAAAUUAAUUAAAAUUUAUUAAAAGGAUAAUUUUAGGAUCUACGCAACAGUCUGGGUUCAAAAGUCAGUUAUGUGUGAGGAAGGAUUGGCACCACCACAACGUCCAUUUAAAACGGUAUCAAUUAAUUACGUUUUAUCCAUUGAUUUUGAUAAAAACAAUCUUAUUUUCAGUGUUUGAAAAAUAAUUUUCUUGAUUGUUCAUUUAUUAGUUUUUUUUUUUUAUAUUAUUCGAGAAAAAUAAAUUAGAACCUUUUUGUUGAAAUAAUUUUUAAAAUGUUUCAGUACGUUGGUAACAUUAGAAAAACUUUUUCUCACUUAGAGAUUUCUCAGGCAUCACUUCUUGGAAUACCACAGAAUCUCAUCUUUGGAGGAUCAAAUUUACUUUUCGUAAAAAAAAAUUAUGCCAUGCAUGCAAUGCAAAUAAUAACAUGUUGAUGCACACAUUUUAUUUUUUAUUUUAGAAAUUUUAUUAAUUUUUUAUUUUUAAUUUAAAUUUUUGAAGAAAAGAAUUUUUAUUAUAUUGAAGUUUUUCUAUAAAUAUUUCAAUACACUGGUAAUAUUUAAAAAAAAUCUUCUCACCUAGGGAUUUCGUAAAGCAUCACUACUCGAAAUACUUUUAAAAUCUCAUCAUUGGAUAAAAUUUCCCUUUUCCUUAUUUAUAUUAUUAUUAUUUUAUAAAUUAAUUAAUUUUUAUUUUUUAUUAACAAAAAAAAAAUUUAUUGUAUUGAAAACUUUUUAUAAAUAUUUCAAUACACUGGUAGUAUUUUUAAAAAAAUCUUCUCACCUAGAGAUUUCGUAGGUAUCACUACUCGGAAUACCUUUGAAUCUCAUCGUCGAAUAAAAAUUUCAUUUUCUUACAUUUUUUAUUAUUUUUUAAAUUAUUUAAGGUUUAUUUUUAUUUUUGUAGUUUAUUUUAAAAUUAUCAAAAUUAUAAAAAUUUUAACAAAAUUUAUUCUGACAAAUUCAAAUAAUUUAAUAUGCAUAAAUAUUACAAAAAUAACUUAUAAAAAAAUAAAUAAUUUUGUUAUCUGAACUAGACCUGUCAACACGGGUCCAAUCAGUUUAGCGACUUGGUCUGGUUUGAUUGGUUCAGCAGUUCGAGAUCGGUCUGACUCGGUCUGGGUCUAUUCAAUUAUACAGGUUAGAGAUUGAGGGAUGGACGGGUCAUUAGGUCGGGUGCGCGGACUCCGGGUCAGAUCACAGGUUAAUGCGCGGAUCUUCAAGGGCUAAAACGACGUCGUUUUGGUUUUUAUUGAAACGUCGUCAUUUUGAUUCUAGCCUUUUAUAUAAAAAGCCCUAAAUUUUUUUCGGUCACUUCUUCUUUCUUCUAGAAAAAAAAAAACUCUCUCUCACUCUCUCAGACAAAACCCAAAGGGAUCGACCGGUCGUCCGUCGCCGGUAAUCGAAAAAUUCCAAAAAAACCAAAAUAUUCCUCUUAAUCUCCAAAGUCGGGAUCUGAGGUUAGUUUUACGAAAAUAGGCUCCAAACGGCACAGAUCUGACCUGAAAUGUUUGCUAAAAAAUUUUCUUUUUAUGUUUAUAUUGUUUUUUUUUUGUACUAGCAUUGGGUUCCCCUACCUUGGGGACUGUGGUUUUUUUUUGCUUGGUUUUUUAUGUCAAUUUAAAAAAAAAAUUUUUUGAAUCUGGUAGAAAUUUUUUUGCAGGGUUUCUGGUUUCUUUGAUCGCUCCCCCAUCAUGACAAAAAUGAGCUCUAUUUAUAGAACUUUUUAAGAUUCAAAUUCCAAUUUUUCAGUGGGCCUAGACUUUUAGGUGGCCAAAAUUUAUGCUACUAGGUUAGGUAGGAUUUUAGGCAACUGUUGGUGGUGGCGGUGGUGAUUUUGAACUUUAGGAAGAGUGCAUUUAAUGCACUCAUAUUUUUUGUCAAACUAAUUAGAACAGGAAAAAGAAAAAAGAAGGAAAAAGAAAGAAAGAAAGAAAAACAGAAAAUAGAAAAAGAAAGAAAAAAUAUAAUAAUAAUAAUAAUAAUAAUAAUAAUAAUAAUAAUACAAAUAAUACAAAAUGGUGUUUACAUGUGUGAAAUGCCAAAAUGCGUUUAUUUUUUGCGUUUGUUUAAGACUAUUGUGUUGUUAAAGAACCGAAAUAUAAAUACAUGAUAUUAAAAUUAUUUGAAAAUUUUGAACUUGAUUGACAGACUUGAUAUGUAUGAAUAAAUUUUGGUUGAUAUGUAUCAUAUCAAAUAACAUAUGUUUUUAUAUAGGAGAUUGAGAUAGGCAGUAAAAUUGGACGUGUGAAAUUUUUUUGCUUAACACAAAAAAAAAUGGAUCUUACAUGAAUGUCAAAACACAAGAAAUUGUAAUAAUUUGUAACAUCUAUUUUAACAGAAAGUAAAUAUUUACUCUUUUUAACAUAUUAUCAAUUAAUCAUUAAAUUUGAUAGUUGUAUAUAACUAAUUUACAGGAAAAAGCGAAAGAGAAAAUGGUUGCUGAUAUUGAAUUAGCAUCUAAUGGUUCUCUCAACAUGUAAGAAGAAUUGAAAAAUCGGAUAUUCAUAGAAGUUCUUAGAAAAAAAAGGCAUGGACGGGUCUGAGGCCUUGGAUUGGGUCGAAUACCAUCUAACUACUAUGGACAUAGCUCUUAGCGAUUUACAUUCUUAGUAAGUCAAUCUUCACGAGACAUUUCAAUAUUAAGAGAGGAGUUGCAAACUAUGCAACAAUAUUUCCAGCAAAUGGAAGCAGAAAGAGAACAAAAGCAUGCCAAAAUUGAGGAAGAACGUGCUAGAAUAGAGCAAAAGUGUGACCGUUGCAUGAUCAAUUCAAUCAUCUUAUGAAUUUUGUGCAACAAUAAUUUUCAAGAACUGAUCUCGAUGGUCUACCAACUCAGGUAUUAUUUAGUAAAUAUUUAUAUUUUUUAGUAUAAAAAAAGCUUAUAAUGAAGUGUUAAAAAUUGGUGACAUUGAUAUAGUGACGUUUUUCAGAUACAAAUGCCACUAAUAUAGCGCAUUUUAUAAAAAAACGUCGUUAUUUUUUGUGACACAUGUAUAAUCGAUACUCUAACUGACAUUUUUCGUAAACGCCACAAAUCUUUUAAUGGCUUUUAUAAAUAUCGCUAAACAUUAAAAAUAACGCCACUAAAAACCUAAAUGCCUAUAGUGAAUUCACAUAUAUCAAAUUUUAGACAAAAUACAAUAUUGCAAUGGUGGGAAGGACUCUUCAAGAUGACAAAUUACAGGUAUACCUACAUAUGCAAGAUGUGUCUGGGCAUGUUCCGUUUGGUAAAAACCACUAUUUUUUUUUUUCCGGGAAAUUUCAAUCUAGACAACGAUAGAGAUGUUUUAAUUCCUUGAGUUGGAGUCGCCAUGAAAUUUUUACUUCCAGCUGACUUUUACAUUUGAAUUGUAGACAUCCACAACCUUGUAAAUAGGAUGCUUUGGCUUCAAAAAUUGCCAUAUCAAAAUGGAGAUCAAAACCCAUAGGGUUAUCACUUUUCUCAUUACAUAUUUCCAUUUAUAUUUCUUUGUUCCUAUGUCCAAUUUGUCCACAGCAUCUCAUUCAUCUAAAGGAGGUUUUUUUUUUUUUUCAAUAGUAGUAUAUAUAAUUUUUAUGUUUUAUUUUUCAAAGUUCUUUAAUCUUUUGGUCUAAUAAGUAUAGUUUAAUUUUAAUAGUAAAUGAUUGAAUUAAUUCUUUGAAUAAAAAUAGAUACACUUUAGAAAAAAAAUCAAAUACAUCUAUAGCCAAUUUUUUUUUCUUUUAGUAUAUUGAUAUAUGAAGAUAUCUUCCAAUCUUUUGUUGAAGAGGUUUAAGUACAUGUUAUGGUGUCAUUCAGCCAAAAAAGGCUUAUCAAGUGUUCAGAAGCUAACAUCCUUAGAAUAGUGAAAUAAAGGAAGAUGCAACCACUAAUCAAUCACCGAGGUGAGAUAUUUGAAAUUGUAACCUCAUUGACAGAACAUACUCUAUCCUUUGAAGUGGAUUGAAUUUGUUCUGCAACAUCACGUCCAACAGAAAAUGCAGGUUCUGCUGGUAGAGGAAGUCUUAUGGUCUCGCUUGCCAACAUGACAAUCACAGAUGACAUGGUAGGUCUAUCUGCUGGGUCUUCUUGCACGCACAACAGCCCAAUACGGAUGCGUUUAAGAACCUCAGUGGCCACACAAGACUGAACAAGGAGUGGGUCCAUUAGCUCCAUCCCUCGACCUUUAGACCAUAGUUUCCAUGCCUGUAAGGUUACUUAAAAAUUAGAAUGGUACAGCGCUACGGCCAUCUAUUUUUUGAAGACAAAGAUGGUGUAAAAACGUAUAAACGUUAGGAGGCUUUCACCACGCUCGGAAAGAUGAAAGCCAUUGUUCUUUUUGCCGCUUAUUAUCUCCAGUACGAGGAAUCCGAAACUGAAAACAUCGGAUUUGACUGAAAAAGGUCCUUCCAUAGCAUACUCUAGUGCCAUGUAUCCACUAUUUCAGUUCACAAAAAUAGAUAAAAUCAGGUUAGAUUAUGAAAAUAUUAGAACCAAGAAUCAUUAAGUUUGAACAUUGUGUUGUCACAAAAUUGAAGGUUGAUUACAAAUUUUAGAUAGUAAAGAACAGCCAUGUUCCUCUGCAGAAUAAACCUCAGCAAAGACUGUGAUCCGGUGUACUGCUUUUCCAUUUUACGAGUUCAAUGCUAAUUCUUUCUUUUCAAUAACAUUUUAUUUGACACGGAUGCAAUAUUAAAGAUCAAAAGAAAACUACUGAAGAACCUAGAUUGGUCAAAAAGCAAAAAAAAAAAGAAUUGUGAGCCGAGAAAGUGCAUGGGAUAGUGGAUUUACUAUGUUCCAACCACUCUAUUGGUAUUUGCUUCAUUUUGAUUUCCACCAAAAAUUGUUGCCAUUCCAAAAUCUGAUAUCUUUGGGUUCAUUUCGUGAUCUAGCAAAACAUUGCUAGCUUUAAGAUCCCUAUGAAUAAUUCUAAGACGAGAAUCCUCAUGUAAAUACUGGAUGCCUCGGGCAACGCCAUUAAUAAUGCUAAGGCGCUUCUGCCAAUUCAGUUGCACACCAAUGCUUGAAUCUGGAAAAGAACCCCCCCAAAAGAAUAAUAGUAAUUAGUUGAUUUUUUUUACCAUAUUUCAUGAAGAAUCCUAUUAAAAACGGAAUGAACAAAGCAGAAACAAGAAUUUUAUGUUUGAGGAUCAAACCAAAAAGGAACACAUCAAGGCUUUUAUGGGGCAUGUAUUCAUAAACAAGCAGUUUUUCGUUCUGCUCCAAGCAGCAGCCCAGGAGUUUCACAAGAUUUCCAUGUUGUAGUCAGGCAAUUAACAUGACUUCAUUCUUGAACUCAAGUAACCCUUGCCCAGAAGUUCUAGAGAGCCUUUUAACAGCAAUUUCUUUACCAUCUGCCAAUUUGCCCUAAAAGAAGGAAUUAAAAAGCAUCAUAAAAGAAGUAAUUAUGUGAAGUUGAAGAGGUGCAUCGAAUUUUAUUUUUUAAACUCGAACUCAAUUCAAGGUAAAACUCGAAUUAAGUUCAAACUCGUUCGGUUUUUUUUUAUUUUUGGAUAGUUGACCUUUGUUUUCUUCUCUCUGAAGAAAUUGGACAUUGAAGGCCUUUCUCCUUCGAAGUCGAAAAAUUUGAGAGCGUGAUGUCCACAGAUCAGGAUGAAUAUUCCACUCAAGCACUUGAGGAAUCUGCAGUCCUACUUUUGCCGCAGGAUUUGGAUGAGUAUUGGAGCGAGAUAGUGUUGGAAGAACCCACUUUGAUCUGAUCGAAAUAAAGAAAAGUGUGGGAUCAAUUGGAUGAAAUUGAAGUGGAACAAAUGCACUAAAAACGAAGAAGACAAAGUGAAUUGGAUUGAAUGAGUCUAAGUGUCCGGGGCGAACAUGAUUGGAAAAGACCUCCUAUCCCUAUUCUAGCUCGCCAUUAUUCUUUUUAAAAAAUAAUAACAUAUGCUUACCUUGGGAUGUCUCAAAAAACACAGAGACGUUGGAACCAAGUCUUUUCUCUUGUGACUUGUGUAAUAGUGCCAGGGGGGAGAGGAAAGUCAUGAAAUUGAAAGAGAAGAAAAGAGCCAUGAGAUUGAAAGAGAUAGGGAUAGCGUUGCUGGGGGAGAGGAGAGUUGUGAGAUUAAAAGAGAUAGGGCUGGAUUUAUAUUUUAAAAGUAAAAUUGUAAUUUAUAAUUAAAAUAAUAAAAUAUAUAUUAAAAUAAAAAAAUUCGAUAAACUUGCGAACAACUCGAGUAAAGUAUUAAUAUUCGAAUUUGAUUCGUUCAAUAAGUUAAGUUACUCGAGUUCAAGCUCAAACUCGAUUCGACAAUAAUCGAGUCAAAUUCAAAUUUUUUUCAAAUUAAAACCAAAUAGCUUACGAGUAUAAAUAUAUCAUUUAUGCCCUUAAUCUAAAAAAAGUUUUUUUCUUUUUCAAUAGUAGUAUAUAGUAAUUUUAAUGAUUUAUUUUUCGAAGUUCUUUAAUCUUUUGUUGUAAUAAGUAUAGUUUACUUUUAAUAGUAAAUUAUUGAAUGUAAUUCUUUGAAUAAAAAUAGAUAUACUUUUGAAAAAAAUCGUAUAGCCAAUUUUUUUUUUUCUGUUGUAUAUUGAUAUAUGAAGAUAUCUCCCAUUCUUUUGUUGAAAAGAUUUAAGUACAUUUAUGGGUGUCAUUCAACCAAAAAAGGCUUAAUAAGUGUUCAGUGAAAUAAAGAAAGAUGCAGCCACUAAUCAAUCACCGAGGUGACAUAUUUGAAAUUGUAACCUCAUUAACAGAACAGAUUCUAUCACUUGAAGUGGAUUGAGUUGGUUCUGCAACAACACGUCCAACAGAAAAUGCAGGUUCUGCUGGUAGAGGAAGUGUUAUGGUCUCGUUUGCCAACAUGACAAUCACAGAUGACAUGGUAGGUCUGUCUGCUGGGUCUUCUUGCAGGCACAACAGCCCGAUACGGAUGCAUUUAAGAACCUGAGUGGGAACACACGACUGAACAAGGAGCGGAUCUAUUAGCUCCAUUCCUUGACCUUUAGACCAUAGUUUCCAUGCCUGUAAUGUUACUUAAUAUUAGAAUGGUACAGCCUUACAGCAAUCUAUUUUUUGAAGACAAAGAUAGGAUAAAAACGUACAAAGGUUAGGAGGCUUUCACCACGCUCCGAAAGAUGAAAGCCAUUGUUCCUUUUGCCGCUUAUUAUCUCCAGUAAGAGGACUCCGAAACUGAAAACAUCGGAUUUGACCGAAAAAAGUCCUUCCAUAGCAUACUCUGGUGCCAUGUAUCCACUAUUUCAGUUCAUAGGAAUAGUUAAAAUCAGGUUAGAUUAUGGAAAUCUCAGAACAAAAAAUCGUUAAGUUUGAAUAUUGUGCUUUCAUAAAAUUGAAGGAUGAUUACAAAUUUUAGAUUGUAAAGAACAGUCAUGUUCCUCUUCAGAAUAAACCUCAGCAAAGACUGUGAUCUGAUGUAUUGCUUUUCCAUUUUACGAGUUCAAUGCUAAUUCUUUCUUUUCAAUAAAAUUUUAUUUGACACAGAUGCAAUAUUAAAGAUCAAAAGAAAACAAAUGAAGAACCUAGAUUGGUUAAAAAAAAAAAGGAACUGUGAGCCUAGAAGGCAUGGGAUAGUUGACUUACUAUGUUCCAACCACUCUGUCUGUAUUUGCUUCAUUUUGAUUUCCACAAAAAAUUCUAGCCAUUCCAAAAUCUGAUAUCUUUGGGUUCAUCUCGUGAUCUAGCAAAACAUUGCUAGCUUUAAGAUCCCUAUGAAUAAUUCUAAGACGAGAAUCCUCAUGUAAAUACAGGAUGCCUCGGGCAAUGCCAUUAAUAAUGCUAAGACGCUUCUGCCAAUCCAGUUGCACACCAAUGCUUGAAUCUGGAAAAGAAACCCCCAAAAGAAUAAUAGUAGUUAGUUGACUUCUAACCAUAUUGCAUGAAGAAUCCUGUUAAAAAACCGAAUGACACAAGAAUUUUUUGUUUUAGGAUCAAACCAAAGAGGAACACAUCAAGGCUUUUAUUGGGCAUGUAUUCAUAAACAAGCAGUUUUUCGUUUUGCUCCAAGCAGCAGCCCAGGAGUCUCACAAGAUUUCUAUGUUGUAGUCUGGCAAUUAACAUGACUUCAUUCUUGAACUCAAGUAACCCUUGCCCAGAAGUUCUAGAGAGCCUUUUAACUGCAAUUUCUUUUCCAUCUGCCAAUUUGCCCUAAAAGAAGGAAUUAAAAAGCACCAUAAAAGAACUAAUUAUGUGAAGUUGAAGAAGUGCAUUGUAUACUAAAAAGUAUAAUACUCCAUCACCAUAGUUACCUUGUACACAGGGCCAAAUCCACCUUCUCCAACUUUAUUUUCAUCACAAAAUUGUUUUGUUGCUGUUUGUAAUAUAUCUAACUGAAUCGAAGGGAACUCCAUGGAUCUCACCCCACUCUCACCUUGAAAAUUUUCAAUUGAGUAGCCGUCGCCAACCCUUUCUUCUAAUUCAAGUAACUGAACUUCUUGGCUGUUAUGAUCUGUACUCUCUUCAAGAGAAAACAAUUAAUUGGCAUAACAACAGAGUCAAGAAAAAAUGAGGUGGAAGUGUGAUCCAAUGCAUACCAUGAAAAUUUCUCCUUCUCCAACGGAAAAUACCUCCACAACAGAACAGAGUGACGCCAAAAAUCGCGGAUAAAUUUGCAACAAUAGGAAUCCACUUUGGUUCAAUAGGAAUCCACUUUGGUUCGCCUUGUUUGCCACCUUCUAAGUCUGUUACUCCAAAACAAAGUUAUCUUCCAGUUGAUUUUUAGUGGAAUAAAUUUCUAAUUUUUGUAUUCUUCUAGUUGUUUCUGUUUUGCAGAUAUUAAUUAAUUUGUAAUUAGUUUCUGUAGCAGGUAUUUUUCCUACUUUCUUUUUUGAUGGAUCAAAAUUUCAGUAAUUAAAAAUUAGGCAAGCUUAAUUCUCUAGCAUCUGAUGAUACUAACCGUUUGAGCCACGUGGUUUGUUUACUGAAGGAAGGGGUGCUUCUGAUUCAACUCCAGGACUCUUGAUUAUCGUAGUGUUUGUUGAUUCGUCUCGAGGUUUUCCAUAAAAUGGAUAUAUCUCAUACCUGAUGCUACAGCUUGGUAGGAAAACUCUCGCACCUUUUCUUCCAGUCGCUAAAGAUAGGAUUUUAGCUAUUGAGCUACGUAGACAAGAUUGACAAUCGGCAACUGACAAAUCAGGGGUGCAUUGAGCAAGUCCAUACAGCUUCGUGGAAUUUGAAACACUAACUUCUGUAGUUGCAUACAUGUAGUUAGAAACAUUUGAAAUCUUCGUGAUCAGAUUGGCGAAAGUCUCGAGCAGAUUAGUUUCAAAUUUGUCAAUGUCCGUUGCAUUUGCACGAUUAUACAUACCAAAAGAAGGUGAUAGCUCCAUGAUAGAGAAGAAAGAUCUAUUGGAAAAGCGCACCAGGCAUGCAUCAUAAUAUAUGAUCGCCUCUUUGUCACCAGCGCAAUCCUCUACGAUCUUAGCGGUUGCUAAGUCAAUGCAGCUUUCACAGAAAUUGGGUUGGACAUCACCUCUACAGAGGAAAAGGCCAUAAACCUUGUCUUGAUUUUCCCCAACCGUAUCGUUAAAGAAACCAUAGAUACUUCCUUGGCCAUAAAGCCGCUGGAUAAGAAGGUGGUAAAGGUUGUUCUCGAACCGAAGACUAGAAUUAAAUCUUUCUGAGCAUCUUGUAUAGAGAUAAGAGUGCUGCAUUUCGGACUUGUUUUGUGAGAUAACAAGGAGCGGAGAAGAAAGAAAGAGAAGCAGGCAAAAUGCGCCUGAAACAGAAAGAACAACAUAAUAGUGCAUCAUCUUCUUCCAAUGUUUUUCAAUAAUUCAGAAAUCUGAAGUUUUAAGGCCAUAAUUUAUACGGAAUGGGUUAUUAACUGAGAUUAAGAGGCCCUCCUCGACAAAUUGACAUUUGACUUCUAGAGUUCCUUCUGGCGACAAAAUUAUCUCCACUCGAUGGUCUUUUACCUCGUUUGGCAAACACGUUACACACUGUUUUCUCGUUAACGUGCAUUUUGCAUGUGAAUAAUAUUUUUGUUAGUAUUUUAAUAAAAUAAAUAUUAUUAAUUGUUUUGAUCACCAUGAAAAUUUCCGAUUAAUUAUUUAUGUUAUGUUGUUAACAAGUUUUUACUUUGCUAAGCUAAUUAUUUUUGUCUAAGUUUAUUAAUUUUUAUGGUUUACCACUUUGUUAAAGCUUAAUUUAUUACAAUAGAAUUUAAAAUUUGAUCAUAAGGAAAAGGUUAAUAUAAUCUUCGUACCAUAAAAUUUUUUUUCUUCUAUAAAAGAGAUAUAUGCUUUCAUUCUAUGAAUAUAACUAAGGUUACUAUAGAAUCAGCUUUAAGCAUAUAUUACGUAUUAAUUUAUUAUUAUAUAAUAUAAUAUAAUAAGAGUACUUUUGCUUACCAAUUAACGUGAUGGAGUGACAUAAUAUCAUUGAUAUUUCUUGAGGUGAUGUGAUUACUCUUUCGAGAAGUGAUGUAAUAUCCAAACAGAUGGAGAAUUAGCCGCCAAGUACAAUCACUUAGACGCGCCGUGCGAGACAUCAAAAAAUAUUUUUAUUUCUAGAUUUGUAAAUUCUCCCUUAAAAAUUAUAAAUAAUUUUUUACUGUUAAAUUUUGCUAACAAAAGUCUUCAAAAAACAUUUUAAAAUUAUUAUGUUAAAUAAUAUUUUAUUUCAAUAUAUUGAAAAUUAAUAUAUUAACUGUCAAUUAUUCAUUAAAUAAAGAUAUUAUUAUAAAUAUAAUAUUAAUUAAUCUUACAAAUUUCUUAAAAAUACUCGAGAUAACAAAACUUUCUAUUAUUUAUUAUAUCAUUUCUUAUUAUUAAUACCAAACACUUCCUUAGAAAAAGAAAACAUAGCAAACACUCCCUUGAAAAAGGAAAGCAUUUAAACUUCCUGGAAAACCAGUAGGCCAGUCACGACAUUGUAAUUUUCAUCUUAAAUUGGAUCAAUUGACAAUUUGUUGUGUGUACAGAGCAGAGUUUUCCGCAUGCACCCCACAACUAUGCUUUUCAGCUAAAGCACAAAAUCAAACUCUUAAGGGGCCCAUGGAUAUUUCUAUUAAGACCUGCAUCAAGACCAAUUGUAUGAUACAAAAUGGGAAAGGAAAUUGUGGCACUUUUAAAGGUUUUGCAGAGGAUAGAAAAUUAAAAAGAUAAAAAAAAUUGAGAGAGAAAAAAAAUCCAAAUUAAGAUGGAAAAACUAUGAUUUUUUCUUGGUGUGAUUUGGUAAGAAAAAUUAAAAAGUGGAUGGAAUUAAAAUAAUUUUAUUAGAAUCAGCUCUAAAAAUGAAAAUCUCGAAUUUAAACUUUAAUUAUAAUUAAAAUAAUUUUCUUUUACAUCAUUUAAUUAUUUGAUUGAGUUAAAAAAUAAUAUUAUUUCAUCAUAUAUAUUUUAAGUAAAAUAAAACAAUUCUAAAAGUAAAUAAAUAUUUUAUGGAUUUAUAAUAUUUGACUCCUUUUUAUUUUCUCUCGUUUAUUUUUUUAUUUCAAAUGUUUUAUUUAUGAAUAAAAAUAAAAAAUGGCAAUCUCUUUUAUUAUUAUUAUUUUUUUUUUUUUUUUAUGAUAUCAGCUCAACUGCAGCUUAAUUAACCUAAAGGUGAAGCUUAAAUAUUAUGAGUUAUAAAUCCUAACAGGCAGUUACUAUCGAGCAAUUUCGGGGAAGAGACUUUCAAGUGAAGGUCAUAUAUACUAUUACAGACUUUCUUAUUCAGAGUUUUCUGGUAAAACUAUGUAGAAAAUAUAAAUGCAACGAAUUAAUAGGUCUUACGUAUCAAUUAAUGUGUGACUUUUGCGGUUGAAGUCGAUUCUAACGCGCAGUUGAAUAUUAUUUUCCCAACAAGACGCAAAUGGAAAAUUCAAGGGAAAGAAAACGCAAGAGAAAAUCAUUGAUUCUACGUACAACUUCAGGCAAAUAAAGAAAUGGGCGGUAAACUUUAUCAACAAUUGGAGUUGUUCCAGGAAGGUACGUUUAGCCCUUUCACCACUCUAAAGCCGACGAUGCACUGGAUAUCUUGACCUGGCCAAAACAGAAAGUUCAAUGAUCAACGAACGGCACUGGAUAUCUUGUCUUGUCUGAAUUUGUCCAUAAAUAUUAGAAGUACUAAUAAUGCUAAAAUAACAAAAAAAAGUCUCUUAAAUUUCAUAACUUUAAUUAAAUAAAAUUUUAUAUUUUUAUUAUUUAAUUUCCACUCAUAUAAUCUUUUAACAUUUAAUUUGUAUGUAAAUAACUUAUUAAACUUUUAAUUUAUACAUAAAUAAUUCCUUAAUAUAAAUCAUUCUUUUAUUUUAAAUGAAAACUUAUUUACAUACAAAUCAAAUUCUAAGAAUUUAUUUGGAUAAAAUAAAAAUAAAAGAGUUUAUUUAAAAAUAAUGAAAUAAUUCAAAGAUUUUUUUUAAUAUUUUGGCUUAAUAAUAAUUAUGUCUUGCAUACGUACUUGUGAUACAAUUAUUAAAACCUGGUAAACUGAAAUAGGUGUCGAGCAUUUAUGAAUUAAAAGGGUGUAAAUGUUAGAUGGCCCCUUAACAGAACAAUCUCAUCAAUAGUCUUGUUACAUUUGAUUUAAACAAAAAGGAAUAGAAAUUUUGAACAUUGAACUUUUAUCCUAUCAAGAAGAAUUUACAGUAGGUAGAUUAAAUUCAUCAAUUUUUUUACUCGGCUAAAUAUAUUCAGCGGGCUGAGAUAUUAGAUAUUGUCUUGUGAUUUAUUGAUGAAUCUGUUGCAGAAAGACUGGUCAACAGGAAUUAAUAACUCUGCCAACAGGAAAAUGCGGGUCUUUUUGGUUCAGGAAGAGCAAAUAAGGUUCCACUAGUUCCAGUUCUUUUCCUUCCUUCUUUACAUGGUCGCCAGGCCUGCCAAUGAAUUCACAUAUAUCAAAUUUUAGACAGAAAUAUUGCACUGAUGGGAAGGACACUUCAAUUUUGAUGACUAAUUACAGGUAUACCCACAUAUGCAAGAUGUGUCUGGGCAUGUUCCGUUUGGUAAAAACCACUAUUUUUUUUUCCGGGCAAUUUCAAUCUUGACAAUGAUAGAGAUGUUUUAAUUCCUUGAGUUGGAGUCCCCAUGAAAUUUUUACUUCCAGCUGAUUUUUACAUUUGAAUUGUAGACAUCUACAAACUCGUAAUAGGAUGCUUCGGGCUCAAAAUUAGCCAUAUCAAAAUCGAGAUCAAACCCCAUAGGGUUAUGACUUUUCUCAUUACAUAUUUACAUUUAGAUUUCUUUGUUCCUCUGUCGAAUUUGUCCCUAGCAUCUCAUUCAUCUAAAGGAGGUUUUUUUUUUUUUUUUUCAAUAGUAGUAUGUAAUAAUUUUUAUGUUUUAUUUUUCAAAGUUCUUUAAUCUUUUGGUCUAAUAAGUAUAGUUUAAUUUUAAUAUUAAAUGAUUGAAUUAAUUCUUUGAAUAAAAAUAGAUGCACUUUUGAAAAAAAAUCAAAUACAUCUAUAGCCAUUUUUUUUUUCUUUUGUAUAUUGAUAUAUGAAGAUAUCUCCCAUUGUUUUGUUGAAAAGGUUUAAGUACACGUUAUGGUGUCAUUCAGCCAAAAAGGCUUAAUUAAUAUGCAAAUAAUGGAUAAUAAGUUUUAUUAUUGAUGGAAUUAAUUACAAGUAUAAUUAAUUUUAAUAGUAAAAUGAUUGAAUUAAUUCUUUGAUAUAAAUAUAGAUACACUUUCGAAAAAAUAAUCAAAUCCGCAUAGCCAAUUUUUUUUUUUCAUGCAAUAGAAUAUGUGUGAGAUAUCUCCCAUGUUUCUGUCUGAAUAAGGUUUAAUACAUUUUAUGGUGUCAUUCUACCAAAAAGGCUUAAUAAGUGUCCAGAAGCUAGCAUCCACUAUAGGAGAUUAGGUCUUUAGUAAGUUUUUUUUUUUUUUUUUUUCAUGUUUAGCAACGUUUAUAAACUCCUUUAUAUGAUUUGCAACAUUUGUAAAAAACGUCGUUAAAAGUGUCAGUUAUACUUACGUCGGAAAAAAUAAUGACAUUUUAUAAAUUUCACGAUGUUUUUGUACUAAAAUGCCUCUAAAUUUACUAAUUUUAUGGCAUUUCUAUCUAGAAAUAUCACUAAUUUAGUAACAUUUUUUGAGAAACGUCGUUAAGUUUAGCGAUAUUUUUAGUAAAAAUGCUGCUAAAUUUAAUAGUUUUUUUGCAUACAAAUGCCGCUAAAUGAGAUAAUUUACUUUUUUUUAAAGAUUUACUGUUAUAAUUAAAUAAAAAAUAGAUAAAUAUUUUUAAAAUCAUAAAAACAAAUUUAAAUUCAUAAACUAAAUAUUAUAAAUAUCUAAAUAUUUAAAUAUAUAAUUUGUUUCAGUAUGCAUGUAACACAAAGUUUAAUAAGAAAAUUACAACAUUAAUUUUUCAAAUAUUCGAUUAUAUAUAUUUUGUGUUUUCAGAGAACUAGAAGUUAAAUUGGUGUAACAUGUUUGCUCUAGGUGUUGAGUCUCCUUUUAUAAGGAACCCAAAAUUCUAGCCAUCAAAGCCAGCUAACUUCAGGUAAAAACAACAGUACCACACCAAAUUUGAACCAUAAAAUAUAGAUACUUUCAAUUUAUUAAAUGUAACUUAUUGCUUUCAAUUUGUUCUUUAUACCAAUUUCAGCCUAGAGAAAUCUUAAAAAAGAGACAAACUACAGCUAAGAUUUGAGUGUACCUAAAUAAAUUUACUGUCAAGGAAAAUAAUGAUAACUCUACCCAAUUGAUCUUUGUUGACUGCAAACUACAAACGAUUUUACCAACAAACCAAGCUUUGCCUCAAGCUCUGCUAGUUCCUUAAGCUUUGCAAAUUACAAAUGAUUUUAGCUAUGCUUGUUGAGAGGAAAUUUUCAUGAAGAGGAAAUUCAUGAAAAACAAGAAGACCAAGGUUGUAAAUGGAGAGCAAAUCCACAAAAAAAAAAAAAGGGAUAGGCUGAAAAUGAAAGGAAUCAACUAAACAAAUGUAAAACGAUAGGAAAUGGCAGAAACAACAUAAAGGUUUAAGAAUUUGGGGAAAUUUUUAGUGGUGUUUCCUUUUUAAAAACACCACUAAAUACCUUAUUUAACGGCAUUUUCUUUUAAAAUCGCCAUUAAAAUACAUUUAAAAUAGAGAGUUUUAUGUUACUGAAAACAUUUUUUUGGAUUAUUCAAGAAUUUUUUGACAAAAAAUGCCUUGAAUAAUCUCUUAUAAAAAUUGAAUGGGGUUAUUCAAGGCAUUUCUAGCAAAAAACGUGUUGAAAAAUCCCCUCUAAUUUUUUAUUAGGGAUUAUUCAAGGUGCUUUUGAAUAAUUUUUAUAAGGGGAUUAUUCAAGACGUUUUUAGCGUUUUUGGCCAAUUUUUAUGAAGAGAUUAUUCAAAGCAUUUUUAGCCAAAAACGCCUUGAAUAAUCUCCUCAUAAAAAUUGAAGGGAAUUAUUCAAGGCAUUUUUGGAAUAAUCUAAAAAAAAUGAUAAGGGAUUAUUCAAGACAUUUUUGACAAAAAAUGCCUUAAAUAAUCCUUUCAUAAAAAUUGAAGAGGAUUAUUGAAGACAUUUUUAGUCAAAAACACUUUAAAUAAUCCCCUCAUAAAUAUUGAAAUGGAUUAUUCAAGGCAUUUUUAGCCAGAAAUACCUUGAACCAUUCAAUUUUUUAAGGGAUUAUUCAAGAUAUUUCUGAUUAAAAAUGUCUUUAAAACACCUUCAAUAAUCCAAAAAAAAGGUAGAGAAUUAUUUAAGGCAUUUCUGGUCAAAAAAACAUAUUAAAUAAUCCCUUCAUAAAAAUUGAAGGGGAUUAUUAAAAGUAUUUUUUGUCAGAAAUACCUUAAAUAACCUCAUUCAAUUUUUUUGUAAAGGAUAAUUCAAAGCUUUUUUUGAGCAAAAAUGUCUUAAAUAAUCCUCAAUAAAAAAUUACUGUGGAUUAUUCAAAACAUUUUUAACCAGAAAUACUUUGAAUAAUCUCAUUUAAUUUUUUGUAAGAGAUUAUUUAAGGCGUUUUUCAUACCAAACGCCAUAUAUAAACCAAAUUUAACGGCGUUUCCUUUUUAAAAUGCCACUAAAAUAUAUUUAAAAUAGAGAGUUUUAUGUUAAUAAAAAUAAUUUUUUUUGAAUUAUUCAAGUUGUUUUUUUGUCAUAAAUACCUUAAAUAAUCACUUACAAAAGAUUGAAAGAGGUUAUUCAAGGUGUUUCUAGUAAAAAACAACUAGAAUAAUUCCUUUCAAUUUUUAUGAUGGGAUUAUUCAAGGCAUUUUUGGUCAAAAACAAAAACACCUUGAAUAAUUCCUUCUAAUUUUUGUUAUUGAUGAUUAUUCAAGGUAUUUUUUUAUAAAAAAACACAUUGAAUAAUCCUUUGCUAAAAAUACUAGAGCAGUUUAAUCGGUUAGAGUAUAUAGCUAUUAAUUAUAAAGUCAUAGAUUCGAUCUCUUCUUUUAGAAAACACUUGUUAAAUCCUCAAAACGUUAGAAGGACUUAUCAAAGCCCAUUGCAUUUGUAGUAUUAUACAUAUAAAUAGAGGGUGAUAGCUCAAUGAUAGAGAAGAAAGAUCUAUAAGAAUAACGCACUAGUUGUUCAACUCUACAGAGGAAAAGGCCAUAAAUCUUAUCUGGAUUUUCCCUUUCAAUAUCCUUAAAGAAACCAUAAAUAAUUCCUUGACAAUAAAGACGUCGGAUGAGAAGGUGGUUAAGGUUGAUCUCGAAUUGGCUGUAACUGAAAGGCCAAAAGGCCUUAAUCCAAUCACACCAACGGAAGCAAAAUCAAACAAUCAAUUAAUCACACAAGAAAUAAUAAUUUAACGUGAUUUGGUCAAAUCAACUUACGUCCAGGAUGAGAAACAAAAUCUACUAAUUGUAAAAAAUUAUAAACAUAUUUCAAAAUAUAUCAACCACUCAACAAUCAAUACUCAUAGAUCCUCUCAAUCUCUUGUAAUCUUAUGGAGUAUUAUCAACCUAAAUAAACAUAUACUCAUGUGCAACUUUGCAACACAACCAAACACAUACCCAUAUGCACUCAUACAUCAUACCUGUGUGGACCCUCUCAGUCUACUCUAGUCCAAUCACAAACAAACAUACACACCCAUAAGACGUAAAUCUUAAGUAAUCUUAUGGGGUGUCUACCCAUAAAAUCUUACAACUCUCAUAUAUAUUUUUCUUAUAUCUAACCCUAUAGAGACUUCACCUAUUUAUAGGCAUACAAACUUGCCUAUUAAGAAUCUCUUUCAUUUUAAAAUUUUUUUCUUCAAAUCAAACUUGCUUAUUAAAAAUCUCAUUUCUCUUAGAAUUCUUUUUAUGCAAGUCUUUUUGUCCAUCAAGUAAUAUCUAACAAAUCCUAAAUAAAUCUCUUAUAGGAUUUAAGUUACUAUUCCUAACAAUCUCUAUCUUGACUCAAAUUUCAUCAAAUCAUCUGUCUUCAUGCUAGACAUGCUUGACUCCACCUAGAAUGUAAGUCUCAUAAUCAUCUUCUCUUGUGUGUUUUUACGCUUCACACAAAUCGAUCCUCAAAACAUGAACUCGAACUUUUUCCUUGAAUCAAGCUCUUCUAAGCUUGCCUCUUUUCAUGUCUCGAACCCUGCUAUUUCUACGUCUCAAACCUUUAGCCUGAUACCACUUGUUGGGCCAAAAGGCCUUAAUCCAAUCACACUAGUGAAAGUAAAAUCAAAUAAUCAAUCAAUCACACAAGAGAUAAUAAUUUAACGUAGUUCAGUCCAAUCGACUUACAUCCACGAAUGAGAAAUAAGAUUUACUCGUUGUAAAGAAUUAUAAACCUACAUUAAAAUAUAUCAAUUACUCAACAAUCAAUACCCAUAGACCCUCUUAAUCUCCUAUAAUCUUAUGAAGUAUUCUCAACCUAAACAAACGCAUAUCCAUGUUCACCCUUUCAACAUAACUAAACACAUACCCAUAUGCACUCAUACAUAAUACCUGUGUGGACCCUAUCAGUUUCUUCUAGUCUAUUCGUAAACAAAUAUAUACGUCUAUAAGACGUAAAUUUUCAGUAGUCUUAUGGGAUGUCUACCUGUAAAAUCCUACAACUCUCUUACAUCUUUUUCUCAUACCUAACUCUAUAAAGACUUCAUCUAUUUAUAAGCAUACAAACUUGUUUAUUAAGAAUCCAUUUCUUCUUAUAAUUCUUUUUUUGUAAGUUAAAGUUACCUAUUAAAAAUUUUCUUUCUCUUAAAAUUCUUCUUAUGCAAGUCUUUUUGUUUAUCAAAUAAUAUCUAACAAAUCCUAAAUAAAUAUCUUAUGAGAUUUGAGUCACUAUUCAUAACAGUAACAACUAGAAUUUAAUUCUCUUGUGCAACUUGCAUAGAUAUAAGUCAAUUGCAUUUCAGACAUGUUUUGUGAGAUAACAAGGAAAGGAGAAGAAAGAAAAAAAAGCAAGUAAAAUGCUCCUAAAACAGAAAGAACAACAUAAUAGUGCUUCAUCUUCUUCCAAUGUUUUUCAAUAAUUCAUAAAUAUGAAGUUUUGGCCAAAAUUAAUUUUUGAUUAAUUAUUUAUGUUACAUCAUUACCAAACUUUUAGUUUGCUAAGCUAAUUAUUUUUAUCUAAGUUCGCUACUAUUUUUUAGGAUUUACCACUUUGUUAAAGCUUAAUUUAUUACAAUAGAAUAAUUGAAUAAAGGCUCUCAAUAAAUUAAUACUUUAUUUUGUGAAAAUGAGUAUAAUUUGAAAUUUGAUCAAAAGUAAAGGGUUAAUUAGUCUUCACCUUAUAAAAUAUUUUUAUUUUUUUAUAAAACACAUAUAUGCUUUCAUUCUAUGAUUAAUGUUACUAUAAAUCAGUUUUAUGCAUAUAUUAUGUAUUAAUUUAUUAUUAUAUAAUAAUACUGAUAUAAUUUUAAUUACUUAUAUUUAUAUAAUAACAAUACUUUUACUAAUUAAUUAAUGUUUUGGAGUGAUCCUCAAGCUUUUGAUUUAGUGAUUAAAAACAUUUAAAAAAAUAUUAAAAAUUUGAUUUUAAGUCAUAUUUUUUAAUUAUUAUUUAUACUAAGACUUUGUCUUCUUAAUGUAACCAAAAAAAAAAAAAAGUGCUGGAGUGAGAUAAUAAUAUCAUUUUUUGAGGUGACGUGAUUACCCCUUCUAGAAGUGAUGUAUUAUCAAAACUGCUGGAGAAUUAGACACGCCGUGUGUGAGACUUCAAUUAAAUAAUUUUAUUUCUAUAUUUGCAAAUUUUGCUUUGAAAAUUAUAAAUAAUUUUUUGCUAUUGAAUUUUGCUAAAAAAAGUCUUAAAAAAACAUUUUAAAAUUACUAUAUUAAAUAAUAUUUCUUUCAAUAAAGUAAAAAUUAAUAUGUUAAUUGUCAAUUAUUCAUUGAAUAAAAAUAUUAUUAUAAAUAUAAUAUUAAUUCAUCUUAAAAUUUUCUUAGAGAUGCUCGUUGACAAAACUUUUUAUUAUUAAUUAUAUCAACUUUUUAUUAUUAAUUAUAUCAUUUCCUAUCACUGGUAUCAACCACUCCCCUAGAAAAAGAAAGCACUUAAACUUCUUGGAAAAUCAGUAAGCCUGUCACGACAUUGCAAUUUUCAACUUAAAUUAGGAUCGAUGGGUAAAGUUUUUUGUAGAUUUAAUAAUAUGUAUAUUUAUAUAAUAAAAAAUAUUAAAAUUUAUAUAUUUGUAUUAUAUUUUAUAUAAAAAUUAUAUAUUAUAAUUGAUAUCAAUAUAAAAAUAAAAAAUAUAUUUUUUAUUUUAUUAAAUUUAUAUAUAUAAUUAUUAUUAAAAUUUAAAAUUAUAUUUUUUUAUUUUUUAUUUUUAUAUUAUAUUUAUAUCGUAUUAUUAUAUUAUAUUUUAAAUUAUCAAAUUUAAUUAUUUGGAUGCAUUCUAUGUGACAUUUGAGGUAAAAAUCAAUUCAACGUGCAGUUAAAAUAUUAUUUGCUAACAAGAAGAAGCAAAUGCACCCUCAAUGUGUGGCAUUUGAGGUAGAAGUCGAUCCAAGAAGCAGUUGAAUAUUAUUUGUUAACAUCAAGAAGCAAAUGGAAAAUUCAAGGGAAAGAGAAAGGGAGAGAAAAUCAUUGAAUCUACGUAUAACGUUAAACAAAUAAAGAAAUGGCCGAUAUAGGUUUUCCACAAGUGGAGUCGCUCCAGGAAAGUGCUUUUAGCCCUUUCACCACUGUAAAGCUGGACGAUGCGCUGGAUACCUUACCCUACCCAAAAUAGUAAGUUCUAUGAUAACGAACCGCACUGGAUAUCUUGUCUUGUCCGAAUUUCAUUGGGGUAGAUACCGUCGUUGUCAACUUGUCCAUAAAUAUUAGAAGUACUAAUAAUGCUAAAAUAACAAAAAAUAAAAAAUAACCCUUGAAUUUUAUAAUUUUUAUAAUUUUAUUAUAUUUAAAAAAUAUUUAAUAUUUAAUUUAUACUUAAACAAUUGCUUAACAUAAAUCAUUUUUUCAUUUGAAAUAAACACUUAUUUAGUUACAAAUUAAAGUAUAAAAAUUUAUUUAGAUAAAAGAAAAAUAUAAAAAUUUAUUUAAAAAUAGUGAAAUAAUUCAAAGUUUCUUUUUAAUAUUUUGACCUACUAAUAAUUAUGUCUUGCAUACGUUCAUGUGAGACAAUUAUUAAAACUUGCCAAACUGAAAUAGGUGUCGAGUUAAUGUAUUAGAAGGAUAUAAACGUUAGAUGGCCUGUUAACAGAAUAAUCUCAUUAAUAUUCUUGUUAUAUUUGAUAUGAACAAAAAGGAAUAGAAAAUUUUUAACAUUGAACCUAUUCCUAUCAAGAAGAAUUUACAGUAGCUAAAUUAAAUUCAUCAAUUUUUUUCUCGGUUAAAUAUAUUCAGGGGGCUGAUAUAUUAGAUAUUGUCAUCUGAUCAGGUAGCGCAUUGGAAAGGAAUUAGGAUCUCCUGACACAGGUAACAAAUUAUGGAGUUGGCUACAUUCAUGAUUUCAAGAAUAACAGUAAAUAUAUCAGUUAAUUGUUGUAUAAAUUUCUUAUAGAAAUGUAACUAUCAUCAGGUUGCUAGCAACUCUUUCUUCAACUUAACUGUUAUAAGUUGAUUUACAUACUUGUGCUGAUCCUGAUUUGCUUGAAAACAUCUACUUUUGUUUUAUCUAGGGGGGGAGGAAAUUAUGCUUCCCCAAAUCACUUGUUCAAGCCAAGAUAAUUCUACAACAAGCAUAUUUACGGGUUAAAUAUAGCUUCUUCAUUAGUAUAUAAAAUUGCAAGAGACAAUUGAUGAGCAACUUAUUUGAUUUAAUAAAACAUGAAGAUUACUGCAGAGUAUCAAGAUUUUGGGGCUAAAUAAAUUUUGUAUAUCCAGUUCAUACAUAAAGUGACUGGAUCAAGUUCACAAGUACCACUACUGAAUUAUACCAAAAAUUCACAACUUUGGCAGAAAAAUGACUUAUUCAACAUUGGCAGAUUGCUAUCUACGCUGAGGAAGCAUCUAUUAACUCACUUUACCGAGGAUCUAAUUCAGAAAUCGAUGCUUCAUUGAUAGACCAUGGCAUUGAUUGACUAGUGGAUUGAUCAGACUCCAGCCCCAUGUUUGGCAUACUUCCCUCUGUUCUGCUGUGAAGGAAAAAUGCCGGUUGGUUAGGCAAUGGUAGUGUGACGGAAAAACUGUUAAGCAUGAGAACAAUGGUAGCCAUCGUAGGCCUGUCAACCGGAUCGUCCUGAACGCAUAAUAACCCAAUUUGGAUGCAUCUAAUGACUUCAUUUCUAGAGUAAGUAUCCCUCAGAAUAGGAUCCAACAAUUCUAAUGGUGUCCCAUCCUUCCAAUGUUUCCAAUCCUGCAGUGGUUCAUCAAGUAAGAUUCAAAAAGUUACCUCACCUUAAAUUUUAAUUUCGUAUUUCGUAUAGGCUGAAUUAUACUCACGUAGCUAAUGAGGUCCUCAGCACCAUCUGUUUGAUAGAAAUUAGUGUUCCUUUGGCCACUUAUAAUUUCUAGAACUAAAACACCGAAACUAUAUGCAUCUGAUUUCACAGAAAACUGCCCUUGCAUUGCAUAUUCGGGAGACAUGUAGCCACUGAAGAACCAUUAGCAAUGUUAGUAUAAUGACAAGAACAAAUAUUUUUAGUUUGAUCUAAUAAUUUAUAUAUGUUAACAACAAUCAGGAUAGCUUGUUAUAAAUGAUUUAGCUGGAGGUGUUAAUAUGUCGCAAGGAUUCCUAAAUUCGAUUAGAACCAGGGUAGAAUCAAAAUGAACUUUUAUUUCUUUAAGUUGUUCAACAAUUAGGAUGCAACAACUCAUGGUUAAAUUGCCUAUGAAACUUAUGCUAAACAUGUUCAAAACUUACUAGAUACCAACAACUCUUCUGGUGGUUCCUUGAGUUUGAUCAACACCAAAAAUCCUUGCCAUGCCAAAAUCUGAAAUUUUUGGAUUCAUUUCACCAUCUAAUAAUAUAUUGCUGGCCUUGAGAUCACGGUGUAUAAUUCUAAGCCGAGAAUCCUCAUGCAGGUAAAGCAUUCCUCGAGCAAUCCCUCCUAUGAUCUUGUAACGUCUUGACCAAUCCAAUUGUCCUUGUUUUGCAGGAUCUACAAAAAUAAAUAAAUAAAUAAAUAAAUGAAUAAGCAGUUUUGUUCACACAGUAAAUCUUGGCAGUGUUUAAAAUCAAUUCAAAGACCCAACAAAAUUCUGGCAACAGCAUAUUACACGUACCAAAAAGAAAACAGUCAAGACUUUUAUUGGGCACAAAUUCAUAGAAGAGUAUCUUUUCUUCUCCUUCCAAGCAAAAUCCGAGUAGUCUCACUAGAUUUCUGUGUUGAAGCUUGGCAACCAAUACAGCCUCAUUUUUAAAUUCCUCCACCCCUUGCCCUGAACUUCUCGAUAACCUCUUAACAGCUAUUCCUUGCUCGUUAGGAAGGGUACCCUGAGAAUGUAAGAUACCCUUCAUUAGAAAAGCUUUCCGAGAGUUUGAGUUUGGACUCUGUAUGCAUGGAUAAAAUGGCUACAUGUAAUUUAAUACUAAUAAUACCUUGUAAACUUCACCAAAACCACCUUCUCCUAGCUUGUUCCUAUCUGAGAAGUUGUUUGUGGCAACUUGUAUCACGCUAAAAUCAUACUGCAGUGACUCUAUUGUGGUUAUAUCAUUUCCUGCUGUAAAAUCAAAAUUGCAAAUGUCAUAUUCUGUAAAAUAUUAUCAAAGAACAGGUAAGACCGAAGCAAUGAGAUUCUUUUGGCACAAAAUAAGUUGUGUUUUACCAUUUUCUCCUUCUAUAGGUUUGUACUUCCUUGCUCUCCUUUUUAAUAGACAACAACCCACGAAAAAAAGCAGAACAGAGGAAAUUGGAGCAACAAUGGCAACAAUUAUAUGCCACGACUUUUGGCUUUUUCCUGCAGAAGCAAUAAAGAAUUAAAGAUGUGUCACGAUAAUUUCUAAUACUUCUCACCAUAAAGGAUACUUAGAAGGUGGAGAGAAUACGAGGGAGGCUACAACCAUCAAAUAAAAUCAAAUUCAAAUUCAUUUGAUCGCUUUUAAUUGGAGAUGUCUCUGCAGCGCAAUAUCUCGGGUACCAGAACUUUCCAAAUGUCAAUUCCAUCAAGGAAAGGCAAAUUUUAGUGUUGGUAAUUUUUUUGAAGAAAACUGUAAGGCAUAUAAUCGUCCUAAUUAUAAUUAUUUAACUCAACUAACAAAAAUAAAUAAAAAGGCAAUAGUACGGAUGGUAUGACUGCACCUGGAGCUGCUGGAGAAGGAGUUAUCACAGACGGAGGUGACGGAACUGAAACUGCAGUUUGAUUAUAGAACGGGUAAACUUCAUAUCUAAUGUUGCAGCUAGGAUUCAGCACUCUUCCCCCUUGCUUUCCACUGCAACAAUUGGGCAGAGCCGCUAUAUUCCUCGCAGACAUGUAUUACAAUCCGAGCUUGACAGGUCAGGAGUACACUGCACAAGGCUGUAUAGUGUUUGAAACCCUGAAAUAUUCGCCUCUCUGGUCGCGAAGUUUUUUAAACCUAACGUAGCAUUUACAGCCAGGGUUGCUGCAUUAUUCAUCGUAUCAGCCAGUAUCUGAUCAAAGCGGUCUUGGUCCGUGACAUUUCCCGUAUUCCACAUAUAGAAUGCAGGAACAACAGUCAUAAAUGGAAAAGAUAGAUCGAUUCGAGUAAUGUAAAAGGCUAUUAUCAUACCAAAUCACAGCAAUUUUUUCAAUAGGACAACGUUGAGUGACGUCGUUGAUGGCGGUAGACACACAUUCUUCGCAGCUACUAUUUGAAACAUCACCCUUGCAGAGAAACAGUCCGUAGACCACGUCAGAGUUUCUGCCAGAGGUUGUGUUGUAGAAUCGAUAGCCACGGGUGGCGUUGGAGGAUAGAGAGGAGAGCAGGUGAUUGAGACCGGCUUGGUAAGUACCGUUUGUGGGAAAAGUGGUCGUGUUCGAACAGCUAUGGUAGAGGUAAGUUUGUUGCGCUUCAAUGGUAAAGCUAAGCAAGGAGAGGACCAACAGAGUUAUGAAGGACUUGUAGACAAGCAUUUUUUCU
rnacentral:lncRNA from 1 species